rnacentral:lncRNA from 1 species
AAAUGAACAUACUAAUUUUCGUUGAUAUGUUCGUAAAAAAUAAAUGAACAUACUAAUGUCCGUCGAUAUUUUCGUAGGAAAACAAAUUAACUUAAUAAUGUUCACAUAUUAUGUUCAUUGACGGAUCAGGUCCCAUAACAGGAAGUUUCGAAAUUUCCGGGAUUUAUACAACGUGAUCCCAGAUUUCAGUGGAUUUAAUCAACCAAUAUUUAAUUACAUCAAAAAUCAAAUCAUGAAAUUAUAUGAACCGUUAGAUUAAGCAAGAUCGACGCACAAGAUUUGAUCUUUGUUCUCUAUGUAAGGGAGUGGUCUCCAUAGAAGCUAACCCUAUAUAUAUAUAUAUAUAUAUUUUUAUUUUAUAUUUUUAAGAUUUAUACUAUUGUAAUAUUUUGUUUUCUCUGCACAUUUGCAAAUCUGCCCCAUAAUCUACUAAGUAUCUCAUCCUCAAACAUAAGUAAUUCUUAGUCUACUUAAACAUGUGAUAUACAAAUAUAAAUAUGAUUGGAAACUAAAUUUACUUUAAAUUAUAUUUGAGUUAUAAACAUGCGGCUCCAAAAAUACAUUUUUGUUGAUUUUCGCGCAGCCACUCGAAACUUUAUUCCUACUGAGCUAUUAUAUCCAUAGAUUUGGUAAUUCUUUUUUCAUGGUGAUUUUUUUUUAUUAUAUUUUAUGAUUUUUAUUAUUUAUGUUUAAAUGUUGCAGUUUUCCUUCAAAAUCUAUUCUUACAUAUCAUAUUCUCGAGAGUAAAACUUUUCUCUAUUUUCAUCAACUAAUCACAUGCAUAUAUAUAUAGGCUGAUAAAUGAAGGAACAUGAUAAUAUAUGUCAAGCUACAUUCACUGUAUAUAGAGUAGAAUUUGUAUGCAAGAAAUCUGAAAAUUUUGAAGUCUUUAUAAGUCUCCUAUCUGAACUUAGAAGCACACGAAAACGAUAGACCAGAUUCAUCAUUCAUACGUCCUAGCUAAGCAUAAUUAAUAACAAUCACAUAUUCUUGACAAACAUAAAGAAUUUGAAAAAAGAAGUUCAAUUACCAGAAGAAUUGAUCUUCUACAGCCUAUAAACCAUCAAUUCAUUUGGAUAUGAGUGUCUUCUGCUAAUGACAAAACUGUCUAUGAUCUUCACCACUAAAAUUUGUGUUUAGAUUCUUCUGGAAAUAUUUGAUAGAAGACACUUCUUCGAAUUUUUUUUAGACAUUCCUUGUUCAAAUAUUGGCUUCAUCGUCAAUAUUGCAGUGUGUUGAAUGCUUGCAUGAACACGAUGACCCUACAUAUUAAAUAUUUGUAUGAAUACAAAUUCAUAUUAAAAUUGAAAUUAAAAGAAAAGAAAAAAAACUUGAACUAUACCUCUUCAUCAUGUAAAAUACAUUAAUUCGUGGGUGAAAAUUUUGAUGUCGUUUUGAUAUUGUGGGAUAUCGUAAUUCUGAAUCAAUCGAAGUUGUAACACAAUCGACUCUUGUCCAUCUCCAAAAAUAUUUGACCAACCCGAAAAGUGGAGGAUGUUUGAAGCAAUGAGAGAUAGAAAGAAUUUGACAAAUGAAAUAUAAAACGACAGCUACCGCAAAUGCUAAAAUGUAAUAAAUUUCUGCUGUAAAUACGUCUUUAUAUAUUGGAAAGAUGCUGCUAACAACUAUGUUAUGCUUGAAACUGCAAUGAAACUGCAUACAUGAUAUCUAUAAAGUGGAUUAGUGGUGUUGUGCUCAUGGGACAACUGUUAUAUUUUAUUAUUAAUAAAAGUGAUAGUUUAUUAUGCAGGUGACACGUAUUGUUUAAGUGGAUUAGUGGUCAUGUUCAUGCAUAAGACACUUGUUUUUAAUUUUUUUUAAUAAUAAAAAUAUGUUAUUGUAAUUGUCAUAAAUAUUGGACGUAAGUUUUAUUAUGUAAUUAAAGUUACCGUUAUUUUGAAAAAAGGCGCCAAUUUUAAGUUGUAAAAAACUGAUGUUUCAUAUAUAGAUAGAUGAAGCAAAAAGAGUAAGAGUUGUUUGCAUGAAUGAAGCAGCUUGUCCAUUUGUUAUAUAUGUGUCUAAGGAUGGGGAUGUACAUGGGUUAGUGGUGAAGACCCUAGUGCCUGACCAUACAUGUAAUAAGCAUAGAGAAGUCCGUAGUGCAAACCAGGGUUAUUUGGCCAAGUACUUUAAGAAUGCAGUUUAUAGAAAUCCUAAAUUCACCAAUAAAGACAUGCAAGGGCAUGUGAAGGAGCAUUUGAAGCUACAUGUCAGUUUUCACAAGUGUAAAAAGGUAAAGAAUGAUAUCACUACUAACCUAGAGGGCAGCUAUAAAGAAGAGUUCAAUAGGUUGUGUGCCUAUAUUAAUAAAGUGAAGGAAGUCAUGCCUGGAACAAAGAUGGAGCUAGGUUUAUCUGUUGAGCAAUUACAGAACAAUAAGAGAGUGUUCAAGAGGUUGUUUGUGAUGUUGGAGCCUUUGAAACUCAAUUGGUUGGGGGGCUGCAGGAAGUUGAUAUGUCUUAAUGGCUGCCAAGGGAGUUACCUUUGGCUGCCUUCUAACUGCAGUAGGCAAGGAUGGCAAUGAUGGUGUUGGGAACCUUGUGGCAUAUCCUAAUCCUUGUUUUGAUGAUACCAAAAUUCAUAGGUCUUAAUUGUAAUAGACUAGAACGUUUUGAACUCAAGUGUUAGAGUUCGUUUCUAGUUUAGUUUGCGGUUCUGAAGACUGAAGACUAAAGGACGAAGGACUGAAGACUGAAGACUGAAGAUACCAACUGAAGUAUCAAUUGAAAAAUCAGUUCGAAACUGAUUACUUAAUGCAUGCCGCGUGGACUCAGUGGACUGAUACUAAAGUUAAGUAUCAGUUAAACAUUCUUCCUCGGACUGAACAUCCAACGUUCAAAGGAAGCCACGUACUCACAAAAGUACAGCCGCAUUAAAUGCAGAGAUCUCAGGAUCUCCUUAUCUCUGUAGAGGUCAUUCCUAUAUGGUGGCUACUUUAUCAGAGACGUCAAAUCUCUUGUCCUUCAAGAGAGCCUUUCCACCAAACAAGAACCUCAAGAUUGAAGCCUCAGCCAAAUUCGAAAUGCUUCCAACGAAGAAAUCUUGAAGACGUUCUCCGCCAACGGAUCUAUUCAAGACUCUCCAUAAAUAGCGUCGAGGAUCACUUCAAUCUUCACCGAUUCAACGAAUAAGCUGAAGCUCUCCAAAAUCGCUACUCAGCCUAAAGCUUAACUCCCCAAAGCUUGAAUCGAAGAAGAGAAUUCGAAGCCAAAAUCAGUCACUGCUGAUACAUACAUUCUCUUAGACCUUAGGCAAACCCUCUGUUUACCCAGAAGCCAAGGUCAAACUUGCUCCAAAGAACUUGUUCUUUGAAGUAUAGUUGGCAACCGUUCAAACCUCCUUUCAGGAAGAAAUAGUAGAGUGUUUGAGUGAUUCGGAGUUCAGGAAGGUACUCUGACUCUGAGAAGUCUUAGCGCGGGUUGUGCUAAGCGAGAGAAAUCCGACACGAGUGAAGUGUGGGUACUGAAGAAGUGGUUUCUUCAGUGGUACGGUUGUGUGCACCCGGCAAGCACACAGUUUGGUUUGCAGUGCACCUAUUAAGCACUUGCGGAGUGGAUUGUUGGUCUGAUCAACCGACCGUGGAUGUAGGAAAGGGUUUUCCGAACCACGUAAAAGUCUCUGUGUUAUUUACAGCUUUCAGUUUUACAUUCUUACUUGUGUUGUUUCAAUUUAUAAACUGAAUACUGAUAACUGCAAAGAGAAACCUAAGACUAACAACGUGCUCAACCGAGGCUAUUAUGAAACAAAGUUUAUUUUCGCUGCGUAUGAUAUCAGUCUGACUGAUCUAUCUUCUGAUAGUCAGGAAGAGUGUUAUCAUCUCUAUUUUAGCAAACUCGACUGAAGCCCUUACGUGCAUCAGUUAAGUUCCAGCAACUUAACUGACAACUCCUUACUGAAGAGUUUUCAGUAUCAGUCGUCAACCCUGUUUGGUCAAAACUGUUUUCAGUUAACAGACGCCAUUGUUUGCGUGUAAAGUUUCAUUUUGAUCUCUAUCUGGAGAUCCCUCACUUUGAGGAAGAAAAUAGCCCAUAGGUGUAUCCCCCAUACACCUAUUCGAGACCCUCCGGACCUAACAAUUGGUAUCAGAGCAGGUUGUUCACAAUAACACUCUGUUUCUGAUUAGGUUCUAAUUGAACUAGAUCAUUUUUCUCAAAGGUCUCGAAAAAGUUUUUCUCUUUCAAUUUGUGCUUGCUAUUUGCUCUAUCUGUUGUUUAUCUGUUCUCUCUUUUUGAUGGAGACUAACCACAGCAGAUUAUCUUCUCUACCUAUGUUUAGUAUUGAAAAAUACGACAUAUGGAAGUUUCGGCUUGAAAGCUUCCUCACCGCCCAACAUUGCCGAAUGUGGGAAGUCAUCACCAACGGACCAAUCACCAUCACCGAAACCGUCAAAAGGGUUCCUGUUGACCCACAUCAGGAUCCUUACAAUGAGGUCCAGCCCAAGCAAAAGGCAGACUUCUCCACAGAAGAAAGGAAGCAAGAUGAGCUAGACAACCUCGCCAAAAGCAUCAUCUCCGGCACCGUUCCUAACAAGCAUGUCAUGAAGAUCAUCAAGUGCGGAACUGCAAAGGACAUGUGGGACAUUCUUGAAAGAAUGUGCGUAGGUUCUGAGGAAAUCAAGGAGAAUAAGCUAUCCAUAGCUUGCCAAAAGUUCGACUCCUUCCUCAUGCUCAAGAAUGAAUCUGUCGAAGAGAUGGAACUCAGAUUCAAUCAAAUCCUGAAUGAAGUUCAAUUCAUCUCUAAAGACAAGUACACUCAACGAGAAAUCAACCUGAAGAUUCUUCGAGCACUGCCACGAGGAGAAUGACAGAUCUACUCAAUCGCUCAUCAACAUAAGCCUGGAUUCAGUCAGCUCCCGACAAACAAGCUUUUCUCUGAUCUCAUGGCAAAUGAGUUCGACCUUCAGAGAAAUCUUGGAAUCAAGAAGGCUGGAGGAUCAGACGAAGAUGGUCCAUCAACCUCAAAAGGAGCAACACUGAAAGCUUCAACGAGAGAAGGCAAGAAACAAAUUAAGGAACCAGCGGAACUCAACCCUGAGGACUUCUUCAGUCAAUAUGCUUUGUCGACUGAAAGAUUCAACAAGAUGGAGUCCAAAUUCCGCAAGUACAGAAGGUUCCACAAGCAGCACAACAAAGGAAAAGAAAGAGAAAGCAACUCCAGGCAUUCCACUGAUCGAAGCGGAGAAAGAAAGUCAGCCGCUUACGACAUCAAAGAUAUGGAAUGCUUUGGAUGCAGAAAGAAAGGGCACUUUCGAAAUGAAUGCCCUGAACUGACUCAAUCUGAGCGCAAAGAGCUGAAAGCCAAGAGGGAUCGCAGCUUUUUAAAGAAGAAAGCGAUGGUUGCUGACGAUGCUGAUUCUUCCAAAGACACAUCAGAAUCAUCCAACUUCGACACCACCGGCUCAGACGAUGAGAGUCAAGCCCUGAUGGCCAAUGGAUCUGAAAGCGUGGCUGACAACAGCUACGACAAUAGAAUGAAUGGCUCAGAGGUAAUCUCUCAUUCAAAAACUCCUUAUACUGAUAACUUCCUGAUGUUUUUAGGAGACCACUCAGAAUCUGGAGAAAGCUCAUCCAAUGAAACUGACGAGCUCGAUCAGCUCAUGACUGAUCACUGUCAGCUGAGGAAAAUGUUCGAAGAUCUCCUCAAGCAGAAUCAGAAAAUGGAAAAGGAGAUCAAUGAUGAACGAGCUAGGAAUCAGACAAUCAUCUACUUUCCGGAUGAAACUUGCCUUGAUCAGCUAAUCAUGGAGAACAGUUGACUGGAAGAAAAGCUCAGAAUCUCCAACUCGAAAUGUGAUAGAGCAUCUCAUGAGAUCAUGAGGCUCAAUCACAAGCUGGAAGAAACAGUCAAGGACUGCAUGAUGAAGUCUCCCAUGAUGAGCAACUUUCCAUCAAAAGGCCUUGUUGAAAGCAUUGGAGAAAAGGUUGCAGCUGAUAAAGAAAAGAAUGUCAUGAUCAAUUCAAAGGACGAUACUUCUGAAGUCACCACAUCAGAAGAAUCAAGAUAUCAUGAUAUGGAUGAAGUUCGCAAACGCAAACUGAUGGCAAGAACAAAUGUUCCACCUCCAAGGAGCUACAGACGAGCAAAGGAGGCCCCCAGGCUCUGAUUAAUAUUUUUAUGUCUUCUCCUUGUUCUGUUUUAGAACUGUUUCGUUCUUGACUCUAAGUACAAGUUUUUAGGAUAUAUUGUUAAGGGGGAAUUGUAUUCACCCCAAUUUAGAACUUGUGCUGUGAGUUUAGUCUUUUUGUUUGUCUAGAACUGCUGUAUGGUUUUGGCAUCAUCAAAAAUGGGAAAAUUGUUGGGAACCUUGUGGAAUAUCCUAAUCCUUGUUUUGAUGAUACCAAAAUUCAUAGGUCUUAAUUGUAAUAGACUAUAACGUUUUGAACUCAAGUGUUAGAGUUCGUUUCUAGUUUAGUUUGCGGUUCUGAAGACUGAAGGACGAAGGACUGAAGACUGAAGAUUGAAGAUACCAACUGAAGUAUCAGUUGAAAAAUAAGUUCGGAACUGAUUACUUAAUGCGUGCCGCAUGGACUCAACAGACUGAUACUAAAGUCAAGUAUCAGUUAAACAUUCUUCCUCGGACUGAUCUUCCAACGUUCAAAGGAAGCCACGUACUCACAAAAGUACAGCCGCAUUAAAUGUAGAGAUCUCAGGAUCUNCUUUCUUUACUUACUUAGUUCCUUCUUCUAUACUACGUACGUACUACUAUAUAUAUAUAUAUAUAUAUAUAUAUAUAUAUAUGUAUAUAUAUGGGUGGGCUACCAUAAAAACACUUUUAAGUGUCUAAAAUAUGAACAAAUCUUGUCCAUUAAAUCAUAGUGAAUUAAUGGACCAGAUCAAAUUAUAUGGAGAUCCAAAAUUCGUAAUUGUUUUCCUUGCAAUUCAUAUGUUUUUCUUGUUACGAAUUGAAAGUACUUUUGUUACGAAAUAUUUUAUGCACAAAUCUGAAGUUCUUUUGUUACGAAUUAUGUUCUGAUUAGGUAAAUUUCAAGCCACAAGAUCAACAAAGAUCUAAUGGACAUGAUUUGUUCUUAUUUUAUACACUUAAAAGUGUUCUUAUUUUAGCCCACCCCUAUAUAUAUUAUAGGGGUAAGUUUAAGUAAGAUUGCUAUUUUUCGUGAGAUCGUGAGACUAAUGAAUAAUGCAAUAUAUAGUGUUGAAUAAAACAGUAUAUAAUAUUGAAUAACAAUAUUCAAAAUAUUUUGUAAAAUUUUGGCUCCCUCCAAAAUUUGAACUUGGUAAAAAAUUUCCUCCUACAGAUAAAUAUCAGUCAUACGAUACAUUAAAUCAACACUUACAAAUUAAUCUAAGAUCUCACCACAUAUAAGGGAUCUCAUUAGAACGUUUCCCUAUAUAUAUAUACAUGCGCGCGCCCUAUAUAUGUUUAUUAAUGUAUCAUCUUUGACCCUUAAUUUUCUUAAUCCAACCGUAAGAAUUUGACUUUGUCUAUUUCUGUAAAAAUAAAAAAAAAAAUUGACUUUGUCUAAUUCUUAAUUUACAAUCUUCCUUCUUUCAAAAAAAUAAAAGUACAACUGGGGCAGUAGACAUUCGUCAUUUAGCAUGGAAAUUUCCCACGACGUACACCCAUUGCCUGCCUCUACUCAACUCAUUUUAACCAAACGCAGUCUUUGAUUGAACCAAUCGGAAUGAGAAAGAGCGACUUCAUCUUUCUUUCUUUCUUUCAUUCUUUCUUUUCUUUUCNUUUUUUUUUUUCAAAUUUCGUUUACUAUAUUGUACAACUUUCAUUUGGGUUGGUAGCUCUUCACAGUAUUUUCCAACCGUGGGGUUGGUAUAUAUCUACACCAAAAUUAUAAUAUAAGGUUGCGUUCUCUUUGAUUGUAAAUUUAUCAUGGAAAAAUGAAGAAUAAACAGAAUUUCACCAUUUAAAUCUUUUCUUUCUUUUCCCACAUAUCCUAUUUGACCCUUACUCAUUCCUCAUUUAUACUACAAAGAAGGAUAAUAUUAUCCCUCCAAAAAUGAUGUGAUAAUAUUAUCCCUCCUUUGUAGUAUAAAUGAGGAAUUAGUAACGGCCAAGUAGGAAAUGUGGAAAAAGAAAAGAAAGAUUUAAAGAGUGAAAUUUUGUUUAUCAUUUGUUUUCCCAUGAUAAAUUUACAAUCAAAGAGAACGCAUCCUUAUAUGAUUUCUCCUGUCAAACAAAGGAAAUUAGACCUUAAUUUAAACUUUAAGACGAAAAAAAUAUUCCGACACCAUGAAAGAAAAAAGCAGAAAUUUAAAGAAAAAUAAUAUUGGAGAUUAGGCACCUUAAUUACAGGCCUAUUCAUUUCGUUCGAGGCACAUAAGAAUUAUGAUACUUUGGUUCUGGUGUAAAUUAUUCUUAUACAAGUAACUUUUGGUCAUUAAAUGGAUUAUUCAAAUUAAUUGAUUUUCAUGCACAUAGGAGUAUAGUUUUAUGCAUACAUGUUUCUUUCAUGCUUUUUUUAUGUAUAUAAUAUAUAAAGAAUAAUCCUUAAACGAUUUUCCACCGUUAUGUAAAGAGGAAUGUAUGUAUAAAGAAAUAUUUUGAAAUAAAAGAAAGUAUCAUUAUAUGCAUAAAGAAGCAUUAUUAAUUAAUAGUUUCUAUAUGGCGGGAGAAGUUUGUAUUAUAAUCAGAAUUCUUUUUGAAAAGAAAUAAAUAAAUAAAUUCUUAUGUUAUGUCAAAACAAAUCAGACAUAUUAUAUACAUUAAGAAACUAAUACCUUCAUCGCUUGAAGAUGUCAAACUCGUAAAUCAUAUAAAAGACACGUUCUAUAUAUUGCUUGAAGAAGUUAUCUAUAAGUAUAAAUAGUGUGGUGUACAUGUGGAAAACACAUAGCCUUCUCAUACAGAUUAAUUUGUAGAGCAGAAAAUGGUUUCCAAAAUAAAUGUAUUAUUUAUGGGUGUUUUGAUAGUAAUGGUGCUUCUCAUUUCCUCGGAAGUUGCAGAUGCUACAAGACUACUCGCUCAGACAUCCAAUACACUACUGCCAUGUAAGCACCUUCUUUCUUUUAAAAUUAAUACAAUUAUAUACGUAUGUAUGAAUUGCAUGGAGGCAGAGAUUAUCGAUAGAAAAUGAACGUCGGUAAAAAAUUAUCGAGGAAAAGUUAUCGUCGAUACAUUUUACCGAGGAAGUUUUUCGUAGGGCAUGCUGCAUGCGUGCUCAACUAUCAUGUUUACUUUCUUUUGUUGUAGAUUUAUUAAUUAAUCUUCUAACUAUUACAAUUUGCAAUACGUUUGAUCCACUUUAUAUUAAUUAAGUGUAUAUAUAUUUAUUUAUUUUUCUUAUAAUGAUCAGCUGAGGAAAUUGAGCUAAGAAGUCUCGAUGGCCCUCGUGAAUAUGCUUGCCUGAACGGCUGCUGUGGUGGUACGAGCAGAUAUUGCCGAUGCUGCCGUUAACAACAGGAAACUCAAGCCACAUAAAUAAAUUAAAUUUAUUAACUUUCUUUUUUAAUCUUGGGGAUUUUGGAGGCAUCGGCUGCGGAUAAUGCAAUCUCUGUAUAAUGAUCGGACUCUUAUCUUUCAAUUGAUCAUCGAAUUUUCUUUGAAUUUUAUAACUUUAAUUGAGGGAUUGUCUCAAUUAAAUGCAAGUUUAGAGACAUUCGACGAAGAAUGUACUGCGCACAAAAAGAAAAUGUUCUUUAAUCUCAUUGAGACACCUUAAAUAUGAAAGAUAUAUAAUUUCGUAAAAAUAAACUUAUUCUCCAAUUCUUGAUCAAGUUCUUCCAUUAUGAGUUGCAAUGUCUUUGAACUAGUAUCAUGCCCUUAUUUGUAGUUGUAGACUUGUAGGGAGAGAUGAUAUGAAGGAUCCUGAGACUGACGUGACAAGAUUUUAUUAGAAUAUUAUCAAAAUUUGAUUUGAUAUAAUAGCUCUAGAGAUGAAAAAUAAUUCUCUAAACUCUGAAUGCAAGUGAAAAUUUAGAGGUGUCAAAGGCACGAGGCCAAUUAAAUCCAAACCCAAGCCCAAUUGGUAAGUUUUGGACCAAGUUGCAGUAGCACGAAAGUGGGUCAUGCAUAGAUUUCAAAAGCAGCCCAAUCCAAAAUCUGUCAGAAUUCCAGAAAACUACCAUUCUAUUGAGCGAGUCAGAUUCUUAUCUAUGAAAAAAUCAUAACAUGAAUAUAAUAACCAGUCAGCUCAUGACUUCAAAAACUUAUAAAGUAAAUUAACAACUUCCUACAAAUUAGAAAUGUAAAGAUGCCCUGUUUCUGGAUCAUAGCACCAAUAAGCACUUUGACCAGUUGAGUAGCCAAAAAAUUAAGAUGCCCGGUUUAGAUUGAAAAUCUAGUUUGCCAGAAGCAUUGAUAUUUCACGCAUGAAAGAGUUGUUGCUGAAAUCAACAAUCUCAAACCCAAUAACUAUGCAUGCAAAAUAUACUAGAAUUAUGCAUGCAAAAUCAACAAUUAAUCUCAAACCCAAGAAUCAAGAAUCAUAAAUCAUAGAAGAUAAAUGGGAAUUAAUGCAAUUACGUAUGUAUGAAUUGAAGGCAUUCAAUUUAUUUUUCUUUGACAUUUACCGAGAUAUUAUCGAUAGAAAAUGAACGUCAUAUAUUUCAACGUCGGUAAAAAAUUAUCGAUGGAAAGUUACCGUUGAUACAUUUUACAGAGGGAUUAUGGAGGAAGUUUUUCAUAGGGCAUGCGUGCUCAACUAUCAUCUUACUUUCUUUGAUUAUAGAUUUAUUAAUCUUCUACAAAAGAUGGCAUCCACUUUAUAUUAAUUUUUCUUUUCUUGUUAUAAUCAGCUGGGGAAGUUGAGGUAAGAAGUCCUAAUGGUCCUGCAUAUGAUUGCGCCAACGGCUGCUGUGGUGUUAGUGUGAGCAGAGAUAUUGCCGCUGCUGCCGUUAACAACAUCAAACUCAAGCCACAUAAAUAAACUAAAUUUAUUUUCUUUUUUAAAGUUGGGAUUUUUCUGUAUAAGUUUCAGUAUUCAAGAACAAUAAAACAACUCCACUUGCUUCAUUGUCAAAGGUUUGAAAAUUGAGUUUCUUAUUCAGUUGCUUUAUUGUCUAAACUUGUUUAUCUUUCCCGAGUGGGCUUGUACGGAGAUCGUAUCUCAAUUAAUUGAUUCAUACACUGUAUCACUUUGCUACUUCAGUUCCAAUACUUUUAUUGAUUUUAUAUGUUUAUUUAGUUCUAGAAUUUUAUAAAAUUAAAAGUGGGAUUAUAAUUUUGUUGAUAGAGAUUGGGACGACACUCUUUCAAGCGUGUCUGACGAUCUUCGUACCCAGAUGCCAACCCAAAUUCAAUUGAGAGUAAUUACCAAAUUACAUCUUUUUGUGGGAUGAAAGAAACAUUAAGGAUUUCUAUAUUAUGAUAGACACGCGCUUUGAGUUUUAUUGAAUGUUGGUAAUUAGUACUUCUCUGUCCCAUUAACAAUGACCCACUUUUUUUUUCCAUCUAUUUUAAUGGCCCAUUUAAAAAAGAAAUUUACCACCUAUCACAAAAAGUUAUGGACUCCACCUGAGGAAACCCAUAAUUUUUAUUCAGUUACAAUUUGAUCGUGGGAAAAAUCAAAUAAACACAAAGUUCGUGCAUUUUUUAUUCAAAACAUAAAAUUCAAAAUAAUAAAUAAUAAAUAUUCAUGUAUUUACACACAAAUAACUUUUUUUUUAUUGAAAUACAGACUUUGAAUAUUACAAAACCAAAAAGUUGUUCAGUUACGAAACAAGUCUAGAAUGUCAGACAAUUCAUUAACAACAUGAGCAAUUGGCAUCCUAUCUCUUGGAUUCUCCUUCGAACAUGACACUCCAAUGCUUAAAACACGAGCUAUACACUUCAUCUUCAAUGCUCCUAUCUCAAAUUGUGGAUCAACAAUUUCCAUUACUCGAUCUGGUAAAGCAGAGCUCACAAAUCUGUGCAGAUUUUGAUCAUCACCAAAUAAAUCAUCCGUGGGUCUUUUAUUUGUGAACAUCUCCAGAAGAAUGAUUCCGUAGCUAUACACAUCCCCUUGCAUAGAAAUCGACUCACACGUCCCAUAUUCUACACACAAAAAAAUUAAAUUAAAAUUCCAACAUAAAAUGAACUAACUUGUGACAAGAAAAUGAUAAAAUAAAUAAAUAAAUAGAUAUGUACCUGGAGGGACAUAGCCUAAGGUGCCCUUAAUCCCAAUUGAACUAUUGCUUUCAUGUGAUGGAAGUAUGUUUGAGACAAUCUUAGCUAAUCCAAAAUCACCAACACAAGCAACCAUAUCAUCAUCCAACAGAAUGUUGCUUGGUUUCAAAUCACCAUGAAUAAUAGUUGAACCACUACCAAAGUGAAGGUAUUUAAUCCCCUGAGCAAUAUCAAAUGCAAUAUUAAGCCUCUGGAUUAUGCUAAGACACUUAAAAUCCUCACCACUUUCUUCAUCAUUGUACAACCAUUGCUCCAAACUCCCAUUAACUUUGAACUCAUAAACCAAUGCAUUGAAAUUCUUGCCUUGAAAAUCCAGACUAUCACAAACACUUAGUAGUUUCACCAAAUUCCUAUGCCUUAUGCUUCCCAAUGCUCUGCAUUCUGCCAUGAAAGUUUUUGAGGCCCCUCUAACAUCAAGAUUGAGUACUUUGACUGCUACAGUUGUGUCUUUAUCGUCAUCAAGGAUCGCUUUGUAAAUGGACCCGAAUCUCCCGAAACCAACCAAGUUACUCUCAGAGAAUCCACUUGUUGCUUUUAGGAGAUCUGCAUAAGAAAGCUUCAGUAAUUGGGCACCAAUGGUAUCAUCAGAUGAAAUACGAGUGGGAUUUUCUGUUUUCUUGCACUUGAGGAAUACUAAAAUCACAAUGCAUAAGCCUCCUAUAACAAAUAUUGGGAUCAAGAUCUUCAACAAAGUUGAAAGGCUAACUCCACAGUUCCACCACAAAGUCCUUGGUUUCCAUCAAGAGAAACUGAAGUCCUAUUCUUGAAUACCCCUCCUGUUGGAACUUCUCCGUGUAGCUUAUUGAAGGACAAAUUGAGCUUCCCGAGCUUCAAAUUCCCCAAAAACGUUGGAAUCGGACCAGACAGAUUAUUACGAGAUAGAUCCAACUCUUGCAAGCCCAUCAAAGCACUCAUUCCUGCAGGAACCUCUCCUUCGAGUAAAUUGUCAUCGAGGUAGAGCUGCUGCAAGCUCACACAGCUGCUUAAAGAUCUGGGAAUUGCUCCAGACAGUCUAUUGCUAGACAAGUCCAAAGCCGCGAGAUUUCUCAAAGAACCAACUUCAUAUGGAAUAGAUCCCACAAAAGCAUUGUGAGAGAGAUUCAGGACAAUGGAAAUAGAUGAAAGCCUCAUGAUUUCUUGAGGGAUCAAACCAGUGAAGUUGUUAUCAGAGAGGUCUAACUCUAACAAGUUGGAGCAGUUGCCAAGACUUGAAGGCACAUUUCCAGAAAGCUCAUUGCCAUCAAGCUGCAAUCUACUCAAAAGAGUCAAGUUUCCAAAUAGUGAUGGCAGUUCGCCUGCGAAUCUGUUUCUUCCCAUAAAAAGGUUAUGCAAAUUUGAGAGCUUUGAUAUUGACAUGGGAAUUAGGCCAUCAAGAAGAUUGUCAGAAAGAUCAACCACAUCAAGAUUGAUAAGGUUUCCAAUGCCAACAGGAAUGUUUCCAUGUAUUUGAUUCUUGUGUAUAUACAACAUAUUGAUAGGAAUGGACAAGUUGGCUAAGGAUUCAGGCAAAGAACCACUCAACAUGUUCUCACUAACAUCAAAUUGCUCUAACUUGGUGGAAUUUGUCAAUGAUGAAAUGAAGCUGAUAUCAUCUUCAAUUAGAUUUGAAUGUAAGAAGAAAUCAUGGAUCAGAGUGAGCCUCUCAAGAUUUGGUAUAGGUCCAGUAAACUGAUUGGAGGACAAAAUGAUCCACUCAAUCAAUGAAGCAUUUGAAAUGGAACUAGGAAUUGGCCCACUAAAUUGGUUGCGCUCAAGAAGUAGGACAACAAGAUUAGGAAGUGUGAAACCAAUAGUAGAAGGAAUGACUCCUUCAAGAUGGUUAACAGAAACAUCAAAGUAAUACACAUCAGAUAAAUUAAACAGAGCAUGAGGAAUACUACCAGUGAAACCAUUCACACUCAGUUGAAGAUAGGCGAGGCGACGGAGGCGGCCGAGUGAUUCGGGGAUCUCUCCGGCCAAGCUGCAUGAUCCUAAUGAGAGGCUUGUGAGCGUAGUUAGGUUACCAAAGGAUGAAGGGAUAGGCCCAGAAAUAUUUUGGUUUCUUGAAAAGGCUAUAGCUUCGAGUUUGGGCAAGAAACCUAGUUCAAUAGGGAUGGUUCCGUGAAGGAGAUUCCUGGUGAGAGCAAGCCGCACAAGGUUGGUGCAUUGGGACAAGUUUGUGGGUAUUGCGCCCAUGAAAAAGUUGUAGCUGAAAUCAAGAAUCUGAAGGGUACUUAAGAGAGUGAUUUCUGCAGGAAUUGGGCCUUGAAAAGAGUUGUUUCUGAGGAGGAUGGUAGUGAGAGAAGAGAGGUUACCUACGUGAGGGGAGAGGUUGCCGACAAGGCCUUGAGAUGUCAAGUUUAGAGCGACGACUCUGCCGCCGCGGCAUUGGAUGCCUUUCCAGCUGCAGAGAGGGAGUGUUUGGUUCCAUGAGGUGAGAGCUCCUUGUGGAUCUUGAAGGCUUGAUUUUAUGGCGAGUAAUGAGAGUUGGUCUGUUUGAUUGGUGGAACAUGAUGCAGGUGGAGGGAAAAUGAGGAAGAAGAAGAAGAUUGAUAGAGGAAGAAUCGUCAUGAAUUUUGCCAUCAUCUUUUGAUUAUUGGUUUAGGUAAUAAAGAUAGUUUCUUUUUCCAUAGUUUUGUAAUGCAGUUUAGUUUGACUUUAUUAGUUCGUUUAAAGAAGCUCCAUAAACAAACAAAUCAAAUUUGAGCUUAGUAAUAUUCGGCUCGUUAGCUCGUGAACAUGUGCGUCAAGUGAUUCAACUUGAAAAAUAUAAAUUAUUAGUAGAUUCAACUUAUAUUUAUCCAAUAAAAUUAAUAAUAAUUGUAUUAAAUCUCUAAGUAAUUUUGUUAGUUAUAAGAAAAUAAUUAUUAUAUUUAUUAUUUUGAAUAAAAUAAUUUAUUUUUGAAAUAAAAUAAUCAAUAUUUUGAAUAUAAAUAUAAAUUUAGAGAGUUCGUAUAGGCUCGUGAACUGCUCGUGAGCCUCAAAGUAUUCGGUAAGUAAAGUUCGGGAUUCGAUUCGAUACUAAACAAACCAAACUUGAGCACACCACUAUUCGGUUCGGCUCGGUUCGAUUACACCCCUAAUUCAACUCAUAAUGAUUAACUCAACACACACUCUAAUCAUUCAAUUGAAUGAUUAUUUAGUCACUUAAAAAUUGGGUGAAUUAUUUAAUCACCCCCAAAUCCCACCAAUUUUAUUUGAUCACAUCCAUCAAACCAAACAUCUCCCAACUAUAGUUCACAGGAAUUUGUUCGUACAAAACUAAAAAUUGAAAGAAAUAGAUAUCGGAAGAGGGGAAAAAAAAAGAAAGAUUUAAUUACGGAGUCAGGGGAUUUUUUAGGACAGUAACUUAAAUUGAUUUGGAAAUUAGGACAAUAACUUUUGGACAUGUAAAAAUAGGACACUAAUUUUUUUUUACAGUAAAAUAGGCCACUAAUUAAUAAGCAUCGUAANNNNNNNNNNNNNNNNNNNNNNNNNNNNNNNNNNNNNNNNNNNNNNNNNNNNNNNNNNNNNNNNNNNNNNNNNNNNNNNNNNNNNNNNNNNNNNNNNNNNNNNNNNNNNNNNNNNNNNNNNNNNNNNNNNNNNNNNNNNNNNNNNNNNNNNNNNNNNNNNNNNNNNNNNNNNNNNNNNNNNNNNNNNNNNNNNNNNNNNNNNNNNNNNNNNNNNNNNNNNNNNNNNNNNNNNNNNNNNNNNNNNNNNNNNNNNNNNNNNNNNNNNNNNNNNNNNNNNNNNNNNNNNNNNNNNNNNNNNNNNNNNNNNNNNNNNNNNNNNNNNNNNNNNNNNNNNNNNNNNNNNNNNNNNNNNNNNNNNNNNNNNNNNNNNNNNNNNNNNNNNNNNNNNNNNNNNNNNNNNNNNNNNNNNNNNNNNNNNNNNNNNNNNNNNNNNNNNNNNNNNNNNNNNNNNNNNNNNNNNNNNNNNNNNNNNNNNNNNNNNNNNNNNNNNNNNNNNNNNNNNNNNNNNNNNNNNNNNNNNNNNNNNNNNNNNNNNNNNNNNNNNNNNNNNNNNNNNNNNNNNNNNNNNNNNNNNNNNNNNNNNNNNNNNNNNNNNNNNNNNNNNNNNNNNNNNNNNNNNNNNNNNNNNNNNNNNNNNNNNNNNNNNNNNNNNNNNNNNNNNNNNNNNNNNNNNNNNNNNNNNNNNNNNNNNNNNNNNNNNNNNNNNNNNNNNNNNNNNNNNNNNNNNNNNNNNNNNNNNNNNNNNNNNNNNNNNNNNNNNNNNNNNNNNNNNNNNNNNNNNNNNNNNNNNNNNNNNNNNNNNNNNNNNNNNNNNNNNNNNNNNNNNNNNNNNNNNNNNNNNNNNNNNNNNNNNNNNNNNNNNNNNNNNNNNNNNNNNNNNNNNNNNNNNNNNNNNNNNNNNNNNNNNNNNNNNNNNNNNNNNNNNNNNNNNNNNNNNNNNNNNNNNNNNNNNNNNNNNNNNNNNNNNNNNNNNNNNNNNNNNNNNNNNNNNNNNNNNNNNNNNNNNNNNNNNNNNNNNNNNNNNNNNNNNNNNNNNNNNNNNNNNNNNNNNNNNNNNNNNNNNNNNNNNNNNNNNNNNNNNNNNNNNNNNNNNNNNNNNNNNNNNNNNNNNNNNNNNNNNNNNNNNNNNNNNNNNNNNNNNNNNNNNNNNNNNNNNNNNNNNNNNNNNNNNNNNNNNNNNNNNNNNNNNNNNNNNNNNNNNNNNNNNNNNNNNNNNNNNNNNNNNNNNNNNNNNNNNNNNNNNNNNNNNNNNNNNNNNNNNNNNNNNNNNNNNNNNNNNNNNNNNNNNNNNNNNNNNNNNNNNNNNNNNNNNNNNNNNNNNNNNNNNNNNNNNNNNNNNNNNNNNNNNNNNNNNNNNNNNNNNNNNNNNNNNNNNNNNNNNNNNNNNNNNNNNNNNNNNNNNNNNNNNNNNNNNNNNNNNNNNNNNNNNNNNNNNNNNNNNNNNNNNNNNNNNNNNNNNNNNNNNNNNNNNNNNNNNNNNNNNNNNNNNNNNNNNNNNNNNNNNNNNNNNNNNNNNNNNNNNNNNNNNNNNNNNNNNNNNNNNNNNNNNNNNNNNNNNNNNNNNNNNNNNNNNNNNNNNNNNNNNNNNNNNNNNNNNNNNNNNNNNNNNNNNNNNNNNNNNNNNNNNNNNNNNNNNNNNNNNNNNNNNNNNNNNNNNNNNNNNNNNNNNNNNNNNNNNNNNNNNNNNNNNNNNNNNNNNNNNNNNNNNNNNNNNNNNNNNNNNNNNNNNNNNNNNNNNNNNNNNNNNNNNNNNNNNNNNNNNNNNNNNNNNNNNNNNNNNNNNNNNNNNNNNNNNNNNNNNNNNNNNNNNNNNNNNNNNNNNNNNNNNNNNNNNNNNNNNNNNNNNNNNNNNNNNNNNNNNNNNNNNNNNNNNNNGUCUUCCCACAUAGUAUAUGAUCUGUCAAUCAUUAAUGAUAUGAGAAUUGAAGUGAUGGGAGUAGUUGUAAUGUGAAUCCAAAUCCUAAAAUUAUGAAGAUGGUGAUGAAUCGAUGUAAACCUCUUAUUUCAGCUGAUUUAUUUAUUUAAAUAAUACUAAUAUAUUUGAAAACAACAAAAAAUUAUAAUACUAUUAACACAUGAACUUUACUCACUUCUGAUAUUUAAACAUGAACUUUAAAACAUAGUUAUAAAUAUGUGAACUUUAAAGUUAUUCAAUUUUUGACUCCUUCUUUUUAUAUAUAUAUUUUUUCCAAAUUAAAGUUGACUUGGAAUGCCUGAAUCUUGACGUGGACAAUUUCUCGCUAUAAAAAUUAAUCUUUACCGUUCAAUUUUUGACCCGUUUUUUAUAUUCUGAAAAUCUGAAUUUGGCUUUCCAAAUAACGAAAUUGGCUUUCUGAAAUCACAAAAUCUUAAAGACGAAAUUGGCUUUCUGAUAUGAAAUUUGUAGAUAAAUUUUUAUUGUGCACUUUCAUAUUUUAGUUUUGGGUUAUUUUUCUCUAAUAAAAAAAAUAUCAUUGUCGUAUCUUAGCGCCGAAUUGUCCACGUCAAGAUUCAGACAUUUCAAGUCAACUUUAAUUUGGGAAAAAUGAAAAAUGUGUCAAAAAUUAAAUAAGUUUAAAAUUCAUGUAUUUAUAACUAUGUUUUAAAGUUCAUGUUAAAUAUCAAAAGUGAGUAAAGUUCAUGUAUUUAUAACUAGGAUUUAAAGUUCAUGUUAAAUAUCAAAAUGUGAGUAAAGUUCAUGUAUUUAUACACCAAUUACCUGCUUGCUAUAUAAUUCAUAUCUUUGAUUUUUAUGUAUAUUUUAUACAUUAUACAUUAUAUCAUUAAAAAUAACAAAAUACAAAUGAUUAUUUUAUUUUUUAUGCUUGUAAUCUAAUUAGCUCGAUGGGUUAGUCCGAAACUCGAACGUUUAGGGUUAGAGUUGAAAAUUUAUAACUCGACAAAAUCCUCAACUCGAUUAGCCUGCACCCGAUUAGUCCGAAACCCCGAUAAAACUGACCCGAAACUCGGUGAACUGGUCCGAUUGACAUCCCUAGUAAAAUUAUUGUAUUCGCCAUUAAAACUAAGGCGAAAACAAAAAUUGUGACCCUAUAUCCCAUACAUGCAAUAAAGUCAUGUAUGUAUAUACUCCAUCCGUCCACGAAAUAAACUCCUACUUGCCCUUAAAUAUUUGUCCACGAAAUAAACUCCUACUCUGCUUUUUAGACAAUUAUACCCUCCCUUGCUUUUAAAUUUACUACACUUUUAUCUAUUGGGCNUUAAAACUAAGGCGAAAACAAAAAUUGUGACCCUAUAUCCCAUACAUGCAAUAAAGUCAUGUAUGUAUAUAUUAAGAUACUUUUACCAAAAUAGGUCUCACAAUUCCCCCAAAUUUAACUCGAUGUUGAAAAGGUUAAAGUACACGUUCAAAAAAAAGAAAAAGAAAAGAAAAGGCUAAAGUAAAAAAAGAAAGGGACACGUUCAAAAAAAAAAGAAAAAGAAAAGGCUAAAGUAAAAAAAGAAAGGGACAUAAAAGAAAGAAAGAUACAUAUAAAAGGAUAUCUAUAAUAAAGGAAUGGCCUAAAAGCUAUGUUACAAAGAUAAAGCUUCUCAAAACCUUUUACAUCGUAUUAUUUGAUUAUUCAUCUUAAUUAUAUUCUUAUUAUAAAUAAUGCUAGGGGUAUCGAACUAACAAGCUAUAUGUGAUUUUAUAAUUAUACAUAAAUAAGUUGUAAUAACUUUUGCAGUAGGAGAUCAAAAAUUUCCGUUAGAUCAAACUAACCUUAUAUAUAUGUUUCAGCUUUAAUGAGAUUGUUAUUUUUCGUUAGAUAUAAUAAUAAUAAAUAAGACAAUAUAUAGUGCUGAAUAAGAUAAUAUACAAUGUUGAAUAACGAUAUAUAAAAAAAUUGUAAAAUUUUCGGUUCUUAGAAUUCGAACUCCGGUAAAUUUCAUCCAACAAGAUGAUGAAUCAACUGUAGAUCUUAAUGAUGAUCUAAGGAUUGAAAAUGAUUCCUAUUUUUUAUUUUAUACUGAGAAUGCUAUCUUUCGUGAGAAAUGAGAAUGAUUGCAUAAGCCAAUAUAUAGUGUUGCAUAAGUUGCUAAAUAAUAAUGCAUAAAAUUUUUACUUGGGUUCAAAUACUGGAGGGAGCGAAAAUUUCGUUAUGUAGUCAUUACAAGUAGCUUAUGCAAAUUACAAGCAUUUUAUGCAACAUAUAUAUUGGCUUAUGCAAAUCAUUCUCCAUUCUCAAUAUUGAUGAGGACUAAAUCCUCAUCAGCGUUGUACUUAACAAUAUCGAAAUAUCUCUCUCAAUUAUUAUUAUUAUUAUUAUUAUUAUUAUUAUUAUUAUUAUUAUUAUUAUUAUUAUUAUUAUUAUUAUUAUUAUUAUUAUUAUUAUUAUUAUUAUUAUUAUUAAGUAAGUANAAUCAUUGUAAUAAGGGUCUAUGCCCAUUUAUUAGAGUUCAUGGGUCUAAAGGUCUUUAGUUUAUACUUGUGCCUAUAAUUAGAAGGUCUAUCAUUAGGGCUGUGGGAUUCAUUCAUACUACUACACUUGCAAAUUGUAACUCUUCUAAGAUAGUGAAAACUCUGAAGACCUACCGUGGAUGUAGAUCUUAUGAUCGAACCACGUUAAAAUCAUUGUCUCGUUUAUGGCUUCUACCAUUCUAGAUAGGGUGAGGUUUUAUAAUGUCCAUUCUCAUUUGAUCUUCUUCAUAUAUAUAUAUAUAUAUAUAGGGAAGGGUUACCGUGAAAAUACUUCCUAAAAUAAAAAUAAAAAUAUUUUUCAAUGUACGAAUUUUAUGUUGAACACGUAUAAAUUCAUCCAACAGGGUUACAAAUCAACCGCAGAUCAUGAUGAUCUAAGGGCUGAAAAUUGUUUAGAGAGGUUCCUUUGUGUUGGGGUCCCGGUGGGUUGACUGACAGGUGUAUGAGGGAGGAGAAUACACCCGUAGGCUGUUUUUCGCAAUCAAAACAAACUUAAUCAAUUUCCAUUUAGAAAACAGGUUGUAAACUGAUACUGAAGAUACUUCAGUAGAUUGACAUCAGUCGAGCACUGGGCUUAACUGAUAUCCACGUAAGGCUUCAGUCUAGAGUUUGUAAAACAGAGUAGAGUUAUUAAUCGCUCUGAUUAUCAGUUGAAUCGUCAGUAGGAUUAAUAACACAGCAGCGAAAUUUAAACUUAGUGCGAAUAGCCUUUAGAAAAUAUUUGUCACUUAUAAAAUUAUUAGUUACACUUUUCAGUUAGUCUAGUUCAGUUGAAAACAGUUUAACACAUAAAAGGAAUAACUGAAAGCAAGCAAAGAACACAAGGAUUUUUAACGUGGUUCGAAGACAUCUCCCCUACAUCCACAGCCAGAUUAUUUGUCUGACAAACACUUUGGGCUUAUGCUUAGAGGUGCACAACAAACCUACCAAUCCAUCCUGAAUUGGAUUUAACACUUAGCAUGCCCUGACACUGUCGUGCCUACACAGCUAAUGUUAAGGUAAUUGGAUCCAGCGCCUUUAAGCUGAACUCCCUCUUGGCUUUCUAGGUGCCAAGGUAACCCAACUGGUUUAGUUUUGAACCGGUACUAAACCACAACCAACACUAUUUAGUUUUCGGGUACUAAACAACAACCACUUAGCUUGAAUGGUGCCAAGGGACCAUCUGUUUGGUUUGACGGUACCAAACAACCGUUGAGUUCUUUCUUAGUCUCGAACUCUAUUACAAACACUCUUCUCUCAGAAAGAAAAGGUUAAGUAAUAACCAACUAGGAUUACUGAGAACAUGCUCUCAAGUAAUCAAUAUUCUCAGUCGCUUCCUCAGUCGAGGCUAAUGCAAUGACUCGUGGAUUCCUCAGUCGCUUCUGAUGCAGUUUCCUUCAGUUGGGAUCUUUCAGUUGAGUUUGCAUCUCUUGGUGUGUUCUGGACUUGUGCGCGUCCUUCAGUUGAGUUGACAUCUUCAGUCAUCUUUGUGUUCACUGUCCAGUCUAGCUAUUCAAGAAACUCAAACCACCAUUAGCUAGAAUGUGACUUUCAGUGGUUUUGGUAUCAUCAAAACAUGUGGUUGGAUAUUCUUUCAUUUCCAAUACUUUGAGAAUGUUAAAUGUGUUGAGAAUUGAAAAUGCGUGUGAAUACACUCUAAUAAAUCAAUAAUUUUUACGAAUAAACCAAUAUAAUGCAUGAAUAGACAUUUUCUUAUGGGUUCGAAUUCUGAAGGAGGCGAGAUUUUGACCAUAUUAACUAGAUACAGUUAUUCGUGAGUUAUAUUUAUUUAUUUAUAAUUUUAUUUUUAUUCAUUAUUCUCAAUUCUCUAGAAAAUAGAAUCUCAGUGGAACCACACCCUAUAAUGAGAAAUCUCAUUUCUCAUUUCAUGUGUUGAGAAUUGAGAAUGCAUGUGAACACACACGAAUAAGUCAAUAGUUUCUACAAAUAAAUCAAUAUAUACAACACAUGAAUAAGCAUUUUCGUCUGGGUUCGAAUCCUGGAGAAAAUGAGAUUUUCAUCAUAUUAAUUGGAUACCACUAUUCGUGAGUUAUAUUGAUUUAUUCGUGAUUCUUAUUUCUCAUGACAAAUAAAAUUCUGACUGGAACCACAUAUUUCAUAUAUAUAGGAUAAGUCUAAAAUAAAAACACCUCUUAAAACAUAGAAUAUGAAUCAUUUUUCAGUCCUUAAAUCAUUAAAAUCUAAAGUUGAUUUAUUACCUUGUUGGAUGAAUCUGUGACCCUGAGUUCGAAUCUCAUAGGUAGUGAAAAUUUUAAUUUUUGCAAUUCAAAUAUUUACACAGCGAAUUCAUACAUGUUCUACAUAGAAUUCAUACAUUUACAUACGAUUUCUAUAAAAUUAAAUCUCAACCGGUAGAUUAUGAGUAGAUCAACGGUGUAAAUCUAUUCAUAUAUUAUACUCUAAGAACUAUUUUUAGCUAUAUAUAUUAGCAAAAAAUUAUUUUUUGCAAUUCAUACCUUUAUACAGUGAAUUCUUCUACAUAAAAUUCAUAUAUUUUUGUUGGUUCGUAGUUUUUAUUUUAAGAGCUGUUUUUACCGUAACCCCUCCCUAUAUAUAUAUAUAUAUAUAUAUAUAUAUAUAUUAGAUAAAUUAAAAAUUGUGUCCUCAUAGGAUUCAAACUUGAGUAUUACGUUCGGUGAUGGGAGGGGGUUGGGGGAAUUGGGCCUCAUUGGAAUUAAAAAUAAAUAAUUGGCAUUUCACCUGUAUCACUUAUCCUGAUACAUUUGCUUUGAAUAUGGAGAUUAAGAAUAAGGUGUUAACAGUGUAAAGUGGGUAAAGACCACUUAUUUAAUGUGUGUAGAGAAGGUAUCGACCAUAAUUUAUUUUUUAAAAGUGUCAUUAUAAAUGUGAUAAAUUAAAAAAGAAAGUGUGCCAAGAUAAAUAGGGUUGAGGGAGUAUUAUUUAGAUAUGUAUUUAAUAUUUUUAAAAUUAGAAAUAUCUAACAAUUUUUUAUUAGUGAUAAUAAAUUCAAUUUAACAAACCGUAUCUUAUAGUAUUUGAUAAUUUAUAAACUACUAUUUGUUGUUAAAUUAAAUUUAUUUUAUUUGGUUAAAUUUGUGCUUCUAUCUAUUAUAAUUGUAUUAAAUUAUAAAAGUGUAUUUAAUUCUUUAAUAUGUGAAUAUUAAGGCAUAAUAGAGAAGCAAAUAUAGUUAUGUAUAAUUGAUUAUUCGGCAUGUUGAUCAUUUAUUGUAAAUAUAUAUACUUUUCAUAAUUUUUAUAGCUUAAGUUAUACGCACCUUGUUCAAUAUUUAAUAUUGUUUUAUUCCAUUUGUCCCCCAAUUUCAUGCCCCUACCUUUUAUUUCAAUUAUUUUUAUUUAUUUUUUGACGGAAAAAGAGAGAUUUUAUUAACCACACGAACAUGGAAUAUGGAGAUGACCCUCCACAAACGACGGGGGUUCAUUCCAAACGUGUAACGUAGAAAUAUCUCUCGCAGCUUUAGCUAAGCAGUGUGCUAUAGCGUUUCUAGUACGACGAACAUUGCAAACUCGGACACCCGGCAUGGUCAAAAGCUCACGUCAACAGUAAUCUGCAAGGACGUCUUGCUCAUUGACAAAGCCCACUCCCUUCAAAACUACAUCACAAGUUAUCUUACUAUCACAAUCAAUCCAACCAUGCACAUAACCAAGAGACUUAUGCCACGACAAGCCUCCUUUAUACUCAUGAGCUCACCUUCCACAACGUCCCUACUCCCCGGCACCUUCAUCGACUUUUCAAUUAUUUUAUUAAAAUUCAUAUUAUUUUUAAAGGGACAUAAAAUUGGAAAGCAAAGGAAGUAUUAUCUUCAUUGAUGGACCAAUUUUAUAAUGAAAUAUCUCAUGUUGUGGAUACUUCGACUUCAUCGUUCGAUAUUUUUAUUGUUAUAAUAUAAUUGGUAAAAGAUUAUAAUUACAUUUCAAAUACUAUUAACUUUUAACUUUAUUUGACAGUUUUUAAAUAAUUUUUUUCUUUUUUUAAGAGGACCCAUUCAAAGUGAUGUAUUCACCAUAGAUCUUGGCAAUCAAAAGGUUGAAAAUGAUUCUCAUUUUAACUUUAUUUAAAAUGAGAAGGAGAACUUAGUCUUUCGAUCGUGAACAUCUACGGUGGAUGCAUCAUCUUGAUGGGUGAAUGUAACACCUGAGUUCAAAUUUUGGAAUGAACGAAUUUUUUUAGUGCCUUAAAUUUAAGGUUAUUUGCGUAUAAAUACACGAGCUUUUAGUAUUUUCUAGUUUUUCACACAAACUUUGUGUUCAUCCGAUUUUCCUAUGAAAAUUAUUUUUCCUCAAAUUGAUGCUGACGUGUCCGCCAAAGCUGCCAAUCGAUCGACGGUCUUAUUUUUUUUUUAAUUCAUUCGUGUGUAUGUAACAUAAACUUUCAUCAUUUUCUAGUUUUUCCCGCAAACUUCAUAUUUUUCUGAUUUUUUCCAUGAAUUUUUUUUUUCACACAAAAUUCAUUUAUCCCAUAUUUCUCGCUCAAUGAUACUCUCUCCAUCCACCAAAAAUAUGACACUUUUGGUGGGCACAAGUUUUAAUAAAAUGGAUGGUGAGUUAAUUUUAUGUAGUUGAAAAAUGAUCCUCUCACUAUAUUAAAUGAGUGAUUGAGAUUGAAUUAAGGAUGUUUUUNUUUUUUGUAAAUAAGAGAUAUUUGAAAGGAUAAAAGACGAGAAAAAGAUGUAGUCCAUUUCUUAAAAUAGAAAAUGUCAUAAUUUUUGUGGACACCUAAAAUGACAAAACUAUCAUACUUUUCAUGGUCGGAUGAAGUAGAAUUUUUAGAUACAAAGAUCAUAUUAAAGUUUUUCAAUUUCUCAACACAAUAAAAAAUUUGAAUGACAUUUUAACCAUAACUAAUUAAGCACAAACUCGUUGAGAAAUAUGACAUGAUAGAAUUUUUGGAUCCAAACAUCAUAUUAAAGCUUUUCAAUUUCUCGACAAUAACCGAUAUUACAACAUUAACUGAUUGAAAAACACUCUCUUCGUCCAUGAAAAGUAUGACAAUACUUUUGCCAUUUUUGGUGUCUAUAAAAGUAUGCCACUUUCCUUUUUUGAAUAUGACUCACAUCUUUUCCUUAGCUUUUAUUAAUACAAAUAUCAUUUAUUUACAAAAAAUAACCCUCAAUUCAAUCACAACCACUUAUUUCAUACAAUGGUGGGACCAUUUCUCCGCGGUACAAAAAUCAACAUUCAUUUUAUUGAAAUUUGUGCCCACUAAAGUUUUAUACUAUUAGUGGACGGAAUGAGUAUGAUAGAAAUGAAUUUUAUGGGAAGAAAAAAAAUAAAUUUCGUGGAAAAAAUCAGAAGAGUAUAAAGUUCAAUCGUGGAAAAAAUUAGAAAAUGCUGAAAGUUCGUGUAUUUACACGCAAAUAAUUUAAAUUAAAAAUUGACAUGUGUACGCCACAUAGACAAUAAUAUGCCAUGUAUUCAGUUACAGUUUGAUCUGAAUUGCUCGAGGUUGAAAAAAAUCAGACGAGCACAAAAAUGGUGUAUUGAAAUUCGAUAAAAAGUUCAUGGAAAAAACCAGAAAAUGCUGAAACUUUGUAUAUUUACACGCAAAUAACUCUUCAAUUUAAUAAUAAAUGCAUUAAUUUUAUUAAAAAAAUGCAUUAUUCACACAUUUAAAAAAAAAAAAGCAAUUCUCACUACAACCAUAUAUAUAUAUAUAUAUGGUUGGGUUAUCAUAGAACUAUUCUCUUAGGUAGUAUAUAGAUCUAAAUCUGAACCAUUAAUUGAGAAAAAUGGACUGUAUAGAUGAAUGACCGUAGCGCUAACACUAAAAGAUUCCAUUCUAAAAAAAAAACACAAAGGGGCAAAACAAUCAUUUUUUGGUUUCUUAUAUAUGCAUGACAAAACAGAACAUUAUAAAUUGCACAACAGAACAAUGCAUAUUAUAAAACAAAACCACCAUGCAUUAAUCAUGUAAACUGAAUCAUGCAUAUUGUGUCAAUAAACCCUACAUAUUAUGUUAGUGAACCAUGCAUCUCAUGUCAAUGAAACCUGCAACAUGCAUGGUCCAUUAUCACAAUAUGAAAGGUUCAUUGACACAAUAUGCAUGGUUCAGUUUUAUAAUAUGCAUUAUUUUGUUGUAUAUUUCUAUCCAACGUUAUGAAUAUUUGUGUUCACCUUUAUGCAUAUUUUUGUUCAACUCUAUGCGUAACUAUUUCGGCGAUGAGCAACAACAAAACGCAUCAGAGAGAGGGGUCGCAUAUUGAUAUUUUCUCAUGCAUAUUUCUAUCCAUGUUAUGCAUAUUUGUGUUUAUAUUUAUGCAUAUUUGUAUUCAAUUAUAUGUAUAAUUUUAAUUGCGGCCGUGUCAAAAAAAUGAAUUUUCGACAAAGAAAAAUUAAAAAAAUAAUAAUUUUUUUAAUAAUAAUUUAAAAAAAUUAAAAAUUAAUUUUAAUUUUUUAUUUAUGCAUGGGCACGCAUGUAUGAUACUGCUAGUGUUCUAGAAAAAGUGAUAGUGCGUGAAACCUAUAAUAUACUUCAUCCGUUCAUAAAAUAUUUGUCACAUUAUGGAUGACACAGAUUUUAAUAAAAUGUGAAUGAAAUUGUUAAUGGAGUAAAUGUUCCACUUUAAAUAUUAGUACAAUUGUGUGGACCCUAUUAUUAUAAAUGAAAGUGAUAAAUUUUUUAUGAACGGAUCAUAAAAAAUAAAAAAAAAUAAAAAAACUAUGGUAAAUUUUUGUAGAUGAGUGAAGUAUUAUUUUUGGCUUUUACAAUUUCGAUUCUGAAUUAUGUUUCCCUAAUUCUUAAGAAAGAAAAAAUGUAGUUGUUGAAAACUUAUGUGAAUGUAAUUCGACUUUUUUCAGCCGAAUUAGUUGAAUAUCACUACAUUCAGUUUCAACCAUAUAUAUGCAUACAUUCGACGUCGAUACGCGUUUCAGAACACAACUUUGUGUUUGUGCCUUGUGGCCAAGGAAGCUUCUUUCAUAAAAUAAAAAUAUCUAAUUAUGUUUUUUGUUUUGCACUAAUUUCAAAUUCGGAGAUUUAAAGUUUUUCAAACUUUAGCAAGAGAAUUGAAAAAAGUCUACUGCUAUAAAUUAAAUUAUUUCAUAUUCUGUGGUUGACAUAUAUUCUAUGGCUUUUACCUGUGACUUAUGAUUGGCAGUUAUAUUCACAUUAUCAUCAAUCUGCAUUUAUCUCUAUCAAUGUAUACUAUAUAUGACAAAAAUAUGUCAACUGUUACCUAAUGAACUCAUUUAAUCUCUCUCCCAAGUAUUUUUUUAAGGACUAUUUAUCCAGUAAUGGGAAAAUUUAUUAGAUUAGGAUUUCUAUAUAUGAUGCCUUUUUCAAGUCACCCUUGACAUUCUGGGGGGGAAUAUUUUUAAAUACCACGUAAUAAAAGAUAGAAGUUUUUUACCCUCAUUUAUAAGAGUAUAAAUUUUUUAUACUAAAAUAUGUUAAAUUACUACAUUACCCUUACUAUAAUAAGUCAAAAGAAAUAAAAUAGUAUAAGUUACGGCUUGCACACGAUGGCAAGACACGGUCAUGUAGCCACCGUGUAUAGCCACCGUGUGCACAAUUACACGAUCGUGUCUUGAGCCAUCAUGUGCACAAGCAAGGGUAUAUAUACAUGCACGCGAUGGCUGUACAUGGUGGUUACACGACUGUGUCUUGAGCCAAAAAGAUAUACCUUCAUCUGACCGCCCGGUGAAAUGAUCUGACCAUCCGGGCGAUCAGAUGAUCUAGCCACCCACCGGUCAGAUGAGUUCUUGACUGAUAGCUGACAAAUCGUUGACUUUUAUGACUAAUAGCUAUCAAAUCGGUUAAAUAUGUAAGACUUUCACAAAAAAUCAAACAAACCCAUCAACACCAAAUGAUAUUUAAAGAAUAGGGCAUAGGAUGCUUAUGCUUAUAAAAGUGGGUAUUUUUUAUAUAUAACUUAAGGAAUAUGACAUUUUAAAUUUUCACUCAUUAAUUAUUGGAUGAUGAAGUGUAAUGUGAAGAUGUUUUCCUUUUAAUUAAUAGUAGAUUCGAAUCAUCUAAAAAGCUAAAAUUUCAGUGCAUUUUUCCUUUUAUAAAGUGGAAUUUUUUUAAGAAAAAUACUAAUUAAUUGGCCUUCUAAUAAGAAAUACUCCAAGCUACUUUUUUCCCUCUUUAACAAAUCAAAGACAUAAUUUUAUUAAGAGUAAAUAUUAUAUUAAAUCCUAAAUUAUACUUGCCUUAUCAAUAAUUAAUAUUUCGAAUUAUAUAUAUUUUUUAAUUUCAAAUUAUUAAGUUUGUAUCAAAAAUAUUCAACGUCCAUUUUUUGGUCCUCAUAAUCAUGAUUCAUGAGGUAGUUCGCCGGAUGUCGUUAUUGUAAUUUAUAUUUUAUUUUUUUUAAAUGACAUGGCACAAAAAGACAUCGUUUUAUGCCAUAUUAUCUUAAAAAAUUAAGUCCAUACUGCAUAAACUGACCUUCAAUACGAUUUGAAUCAAUUUACCUGGCACAAAACGGCAUCAUUUUUUAAAUUAUAUAGCACAAAAUGACAUUGUAUUGUGUCAUGCCAUUUAAAACAAUAAAAUAUAAAUUACACGAUGAGAUUUUAAAAUGAUAAAGCGGAUAUAGUUUGAAGUUUAAUAUUAUAUUUACCCUUUUAUUAAAUCUGUAAAACUUAAGUAGAUACAUUCAUACAAUACGUAGUAACCAAGUAGGACUAUCACGUGUGUCAUAUAAUACAGACCGUUGAUGGAUCAGAAUUUUUGCAGUUGUAGCAGUCAACAAUGAUACAGUAGUGUUCAUGGAUAACAGUAUCUUAUGUAGCUAUGUAUAUGCAGAAUGUCGAAAAUUCACCUAUGACGUAAGUAAUUCAUUUAUACCGUAUAAAUAAGCUGCAGCACAAGCACAAUAGAGAAGAUACAAGAAUAUAUAAUUGUAGUAUGUCACGCUGCAGUUUUGAAGAGCUGCCUUAAUGUGUCAAAUAUCUCCUCUGCUGUAGCCCCUUCUUUCACGUAAGCAAUGAGCGCGCUGUCUCCCGGGACUAUAUCGUCUCUGAGGUAGCUUCCCGACGUUCUGAGCAGCUCCUCCGAUCCCUUGCCCACGACAUCUUUUAUGAUCAGAGUCUUGUGUGUUCCGGAGAUCAUUUCCUCGUAAUCGGUGUCCCCAGUUUCUCCAAGAAUCACACACAUGUUGGCCACGUUUAGUCGCCAACGGACAAAGAGAUACCUGUUCAACAACUAUAUUAACUCACUAAGAUCGAAUACUAGUUACUAGAACAAGCAAAACAAAGGUGCAAAAUUUGUAAACUCAAACAUGCAGUUUUUCCUGUUUGUAUUCAAGAACUAAAGAUUCUUCGGAAAAACCAUCCAGCCCGAUAUAAACUGAGAUUGGCCCUUCGCCUAAACACGAGGAAACCUAUGCUAUCAUCUCAAGAUGAUCAAGCAACAAAGAUCUUUGCUAACAGCUCAAGUAAAAGAGUCACAAAAACUUGUGUCAGACAAAAAAAUUCUUAAGAUAGGUCCAAACCAGUAUCCAGUGGCAUAUUUGUAACCUUUUUGGAAGUUUGAUUGUGCUUGAAUCGUAUCUUAGACCCAUCUAUUUGGACCCAUAAGACUGCCCCAAAUAGUAUUUCCUAAUCAAUCAAGCUUUAGCAUAACUUUAUUUCCAAUAGUCUGAUCUUUAAUGCAUAAAAAAGGAAUGCACUUUCUCCUAGAGAAAGCAGGACUAAAACGAGAAUAUAAUCUGAACAUAAGAGAAUAAUUUCCCAAUUUUAGUUUUUAACAAGUAAAACUUAUGUCCCCAAGGGACAUCCAAGCGGUGCAGACUUCAAUAUGUAAACAGCAAGUACUUCAAUAUGAUUCAAUUUUUAAGGUAAAUAAUAGUGCUAUUACUAAUUGGUUGGAAUACCUGAGAGCCUGUGAUCGCGAUGCGAGCAGAGGAACAGCUUGCAUUCUUGUGGAAUUUCUGCAAUACAUCAAGUGACAACGAAGGCCCCUCAUCCGAAGCUUCUGUCUCAAAUCCUCUACUUUUCUGGCCUGUCCAAAACAAAUAUAAUCAAACUUUGGGACAACUCUUCAUCCAAAAAGUUUUAAUUAACUAAGAUUUUGUGUUUGUAGAACUGACCUUACUGAGAUCCCUUAUCAAAUACGACAGGCAAUGCGAAUUGCUCGAUUUAACAUCAUGUUCGAUAACACCAGAAGACUGACUCGAUUUCAAUCCUUCCGUCGCGUUCAUUAGCUUCCAAAUGGUCUUCUUCAAACCAUCUGAACCCCAUCGAUAAUCAAUAUGUGUCGCGUAGUCUGGAUCAGGACAGGGCUUUCCCCCCUCCUCUGUGUAAGUGCCUGGAUAAUACACUUCACUACCACUACUACAUAUCAAAGCAUCAAAAUCAUUUAGUUUGAUAUUUCCCGACUUCAAAAACUCGGUCAACUCAGACAUUGGCAUAGCUGUCGACAAUGCAAAUCCCGAUUGUCUUGCCAAUUGUGCAUCCAACUUGAGCGCCUUCGAGAUCUCCUGGAUCAGAUUAAUCAUUUUCCUUUCAGGCGCUCCAUUGCUGUCAUAGCAGUCAAUUGCCAAGACUAUCAGUUUACGCCGUUUCCUCAGCAUCGGGUACUUGCUUGGCGCAUCAGCCAAUUUCCUGUCAGCAUCAGCAUCCCGUGCCCCGGGCUCCGGUUUGUUCAUUCUGCUCAGGAGCUUAUUGACUUGGUCUUGCACCUGGUUGUCGCCCGAAGCAGCCAUAUCGAGUGACUCGUUCAACGAUGUUUUGUCACCAUCUAUAGACAACCUCAACGACAUAUCUGUAACGUCUUUGAGUGAAUCAUUUAAGGAGUACUCCGCAGCAUGUUCGUCUGCUGGAGUGUCGGUCUGCCACUGCGGGUGCCUCAUCCGACACGCUGCCACCCUUGUCAAGUAUGUUCGACAAUGUUCUGGCCACGAGAAAAGAUGAAUGUUCCUCAAGCCGUUCUUUCUGCAUUCGUGCCACAAGUUUUUCUCCGACACUAACUUAAGAAGCGCAUCAGCAAUCGCAUUCUGAUCAUGAGGAUCCACGAGCAGACCGUUAUUUAGUGCCUGUAUCAUAUAAAAAAGACUGCAUCACUAAACAGAUUAUCUCAUAACAUGUCUCAUUCUAACAAAAACAGUAAUUAAGAAAUGGAUCUAUAAUAUUUUGCCAAUUAACAUUCAAAGAUAUCAAACAAUAAUGGAUAACUAGGAAACAGCAGCAGCAGCAUUCUUACCCGAUGAAUAUCCACUGGUCCACCAUUCUUCGUUGCCACCAUUGGAAGUCCAUGAGCAGCAGCCUACAAGUCCGCACUAAAAAAUUCACAGACCAUAUUUAUCUUACCGGACCAAAUAUCAGUGGUAUAACAAAAAACAAACCUCGAUUAAUGUGAGUCCAAAGGGCUCAAUAACAGCCGGAUUUAUGAAGACUCCCUGUGAUAUUCAUAUUCAACAGAUAAUAAGAAAGGAUCAUAGAAAGUUUGUACGCUAAAUUCUGAUAAAUAAAGUUUCAAACGAACCUUCGUUUUGCCAGCUAGGCGGUAUAUGUCUGGAACAUCACAUUGCUUGUGAUGCUUAGGAAAAGCCACUUGCCCAUAAAGGUCAUACUUAUCAAUUAGCUUCAACACAGUAAUGAGCACGCUAGCAUUGCCCCCUGACAUUUCAUCUAUAUCAUCCCUGUUCCCCAUUAUAAGAGUCUGCAAUGAAUGCCAUAAUCAUUUAUAUUAGUCAUGUGCCUAUUUUUGUGCAUAGAUUCAUAACAAACUGUGUCAGCCGACUUACAAGAUUAGCAAGCUCUCGUAAUGGCCGGCAUUCUCCAAAGGCUUUCAAAAGAGUCGUUAAGUUCUUUUUCGGAUCAGGACGUGAUAGUGCUAGAAUCAUCGGCUUGUGUGGAUUGGUCAAGAACCGCAUCACCUAACGAAACCAUGUAAGAUUUUGGCAUGAAAUGUCGAUUAGAGUGCAUUAGCCUGAUGGGAAAGCAGAGUAUACACAGAUAAGAUGCUUACUUCUGACCAUAUAGGAGGGACUGCUUUGGGCGAUGAAGCUUCAUUUGUUAGUGCCGCAAUGUCACCAUCGCCUUCAGCAAUCUCUUCUUGAACUACGACGUUGCUGAAGUCCAUCCCAGGAGGAAUAACCUGCGAGUAUAAUGAUUUUGAGCUCGAUUUGAAUCGUAGAAAUCAACAAAGUUCCCACAUAUUAUGCUUACCGCCAUUCUAGGCAUGAAACGACCAUGACAGUUGACCCCACGCCUCGCCCGAGCCCUCAAAACUUUCUCGAGCUUUACAUCAAAACCAUCAUAAAGUCCCCACUGCUCUUCGAUCUCCUGCUUAGUACUCGUGAUAACCAGCUCUGCAGCAUCUAAAGAAAGCUCUUCUGCUUCGAUCCUCCUCAUUAUCCUGUACGUGGAAUUAAUAUCCUCUUUCGACUGCCUUCCUUGCUUAAGCAGCUGUUCUAGCUUGUUCCUACCCAGUGAGUGUCCCGUCAAAACCAUCGGAACAUUCAAGGCACCUGAAAGGAGAGCAGCACUAUCCCCUGCAUCUGCAUAAUGACCGUGGAUCACAUACGGCCAGACGGGCUGCCCUCCACCAAUUUGGUCUCCCAAAGCCUUCGACAUAUUAAGAAUGUGAGCGAGUGCUCCAUCAACAAACUCCGGAACAUGAGGCCAUAACAACUCCUUUCUAAGAUACUUGUCCCGGGUCCCAAAUGGUAUCCUCACAAUAUAAGCCCCGCUGCUUUCUCCAAGGUUGGCAUCCUCAGGGCCGGUACUUAGCAUUUCCGUGGGCUCACCGUAACUCCAAUCUACCUCGGGAGACAAAACUUGCCUGGUAAACAGAUCUACUCUAUACACACCGGGCAUCUUAGCUAGUGCACGAGCAAGUUCUACAACAUAUUUUAUCUGUAAUUUGAACAAAAACUAGUUAGUGCAAACCACUUGAAGAAAAGUUUAUUGGUUAUAUAGUAAGUCUACGAUAACUACCUGACCACCAGUAUCGGAAUCCCGACCAAGUUCCAUAUUUUCACCACGGACGAGUCCAUGUAAACUAACCAAGACAAUAAAUUCAAUUAGAUACUAUAAUGCACAAUCAAACUACAUUAUGCACCUAGCAACAAAAUCAGCAUAAAGAUUAUGUUAGCAAAAAAUGUGUUGGGUAUCUUUGCCUUGCCGGGAUUACUCCACUUGUUUCCCGAACCUCCGGUCCGUCUCACUUCGUGCUCAGGCACUUCUUCUCCUUAGGUCUUCAAUCUUCCGUUCCAGAUAUGCAAUAUUCAGCUCCAACUCUUCCUCCAAUUACCUGUACUUCAGAUCUGCACAAAUAAAGAGAGAGAAAGGAGUAAAAGGAACACAGGCAAGAUAAUAUAGAUAAGAAAUCAGAUAAGGAUUUCAGUCGAGGGAAAAGGUGUCCUCGGGACACAGGGGCUCAGAUUUUCCCCCUUUAAACUCAGCAACCCUUCCGGCAGCUGAAUGACCAACGGCGAGGUAAGGACGAUGGAGCAGCUUCACAGAUCUCAACAGAGCUACCAACAGCAGGAGCCAAGGUCAGAACUCCGGCAGCUCAGAUCUUCUCAGGUAACCACCAAACAGGGCUCCGAUGGUCAGGAAAACCCGAUGAUACCUCCACCCACGUCAGGGAAUCCCGUAUUAUCCAAUAAACACACUUGAAAGGAAUAGCAGAGCCCUUCACUUUUUGAUAAUACGUUAUUCCCAGCGUAUGAGAGAGUACCAUAGUUAUAGAGGGAAGAGGGAGGAGCUGGACGAGCAGUAAUGGUGGAGUGGAGGAACCGGAGGGGAGUGGGCGGUGGAGCGGUGGAGAAGAUGGAGAGUCAGGGAGAGAGAGCGGAUUAGGGUUUGGGAGAGAGAGCGGCGCUGAGUGAAAGUGAGAGAGAGAGAGGGACGCGGAGGGGUAUAUCGAGGGGUGUGAGUGGGCUAGGGUUAGGGAAUGGGCUGGGAUGGGAGAUUGGGCUCGGUUCUGGGCCCUGAAGUUGGCCCAGACCCAAAAAGAAAAGAAAGGGAGAAGGGAAUGAGAAAUGGGCCAACCUCACAAAUCCUGACAUUGAUCAUUCUGUCACCAGGGAAGGGUCACAAAAGUGAUAUCAUCAAGCUAAUUUACGCUUCUCUGCCUAUUGUCAGACCAUACUUCCACGGUUGAGAAGUUCCUAUCCAAGUGAUGUCUGGGGGGGCUGUCCAGUUUAACUGGUUCGCCUAUAACUUCCCCUUUCUCGCCUUCAGACAGAUCUUCGGACAUGUCAUCCGUUACAUCCUUGCGACCUUGUUCUCUUUCCCACUUUCUGUGUGCUACCCGUUGCACAUCCUCCCAUUCCAACUACCAAACACAUACGUUAAAGACAUGACUGUGUCUCCCGACAGCAAGCAAUUGCAAUUAAUUACUAAACAGAGCAACACCAUCAGAAUGCAGCCAAAAAGAGGAUUUCAGAUGAAAAACUCUUCAACAAUAGAAAAUUAGCAAGGUUUAUCUAGACAGCAAAUUGUACAGAAAUCGAACAAUGCACGAAGGUAGAUAGAGAUUAACUCGACCUUGAUGUGUGCUAUAUGGAUCCAUAAUCUUCAAACUAUUCACUUUAUGAAACUAAGUCAAUUGCCACUACAUUUAGCAACCAAGUUAAUUGACUUAUGAGGCUCAAUUUACUUAUUAUUGUUUAAGUAUUAUAAAAAGAGUCUUUGGAAUAGACACUCUGUGACCAUCAUAGAGAAAAUUCUGAGAAAGCAGAAAAAGUUGCAAGAGAACAAACAGUAUUUGACAAAAAAUACUUUUUGUAACAGAGUGUUAACAUAUUACUAAUGUUGUUUAUUAUUGUACAAAGAGAGGGACCAAAAGGGAAUCAGAAAAGAUUUGAAAAAGAUGUAUAACAAAAAUUCUCUACAAAAAGUUGCCCCCUUCCCCACCCCUGACCCCCAAGAAUCCCAUCCAAAGUCAGAAUCAACAAAAUUCAUGGGAAAACACAAUCACAAUACAUGAGAAAGCAUAUACAACAUCUCCAUUGCUAUUCACGAUUAAUAGUAGUGGAGUGCAAGCAAUGAAAUCGAGAAUCGAAGAGAAGAAAGUGUGUGUAGAAAAUGAAAAUACCUGUUUCUUCUUGCGGGCGAGAUGCCAAAUGCGCCAGCACAUGUUCUCGAGGCGAGAGCUUCGCUCCCUGGUGUUCCUAGUGGCGACGACCUUGAUCCAUGUGCGGUGGAGGUCGCUCUCGUCGACGCCGCUCACGACUUCCUCCACGAAGUAUUUGGUGGGAUUGAAAUUGUCUCUGUCGCUGACGCUGACGCUGACGCUCACCGCCGGCGCCGGCUUGUGGUCCUCUAUCGCCGACGCCCCGCUGUCCAAUAUCGCCUCCAGAUAGCCGUUUAUCCACUCGUUUCCGGCCAUGUUUUGGCAACGAGGAAAGAGAUGUUUGGUUUGGAGAUUUAAGGUUGAGAAUGAAUGUGGUUUAAAGGAAAAGGAGGGGGUUCACAUGCAAGGAGGUGGUGUUGGCUUUUCGGUUGCGCUUCUUUUGGUUGCUGGUUUUCAUUUCUUCCAACAUGUAAUUCUAGUGAGGGAGAGAGGAGGGUGAGUUGAUGUUGAUGGAGAUGUGCAGUGGCAUGUGAAAUCACAUAAGGUGAUGUGUGUGGGUGUGAAUUUUGGCAAAGGAGAAUGGAGAAGGAGAGUAGGGAGAGAACCACAUGGCAGUUACUGGUGGGUCCCAUCUUCUACACGUGGCGUCUAGAUCUACGGAUGUUUAACGGCUCAUCAUCCCCCACACGUGUGUAUCCACACUACAUAGUUUCCUUAUUCCGUCUAUUUUGCGCAUAAAUCGCUUCUCAUGUAGUAUAGUUUUUAAAACCCACACUAAUAUUAAUAUAUGUAGAAUUGGGCUUAAAAUAAAAUUAUAAAUUAUUACAAGAUUGUGAUAAUUUGCAUAGAAUUAUAAAUUAUUUCUACAAAACGUAUACAUUACAAUUAUGUAUUAAAAAUAUAAUAUUAUUAUAGUGAAGUUACUUUAUAUUAAAUAAGUUUAUUUUAUAAUUUUACGCACACAUAUAUUUUGUACGUUCUGGAUAAGAGUUCUCACAGUUUAGAAUCACAUAAGAAUUGAAUGGCUAUUUUUUGCUGAAAAUUGUGAUCAGAAUACUUCACAAACCCAUAAAAUGGAUUAAUGAGAAAUUAUUGAAGUGAACAAUUAGAUAUUGGCAAAUAGCAUUAAAAUCUAUCAACUUUAGAUGAAUUCUCAUUUUUUUUUAUGACUUUUAAAUGUUAGUGUAAUAUACAUAAAUUUCUAAUUGAGUCUGAUUUUUUCCAUGAUAAAAUCUUUCGAUCAUACUCUUGCUGACUUAUAAGUAACGUAGGUUACUAAUGUUGUCUUGAAAACAACACCGUUUGAUAAAGUAGAUAAAACAACAUUGUUUUAGUCAUUGAUUUAAUUAAGGGUAAAUUUGGUCUAAAACCAUAAUAAAUUGCCAAAUUUUGGUUUUUCCCACAAUCUUUCAUUCUUGUUUCAAAAUACAUAAUAAAUCAAUUUUUUUUGGAAUAUCCCAUCGCGUCACUUUCCGGUGAACUUUUAAAUGAUAUGGCGCUAGACUUGAAAGAUGUGGCAUAUUUAACGGUAGGACUAGAAACGACGUAUUUUGAUACUUACUCAUUUAAAAUCUUGAAACAAAUUGCCAGAUUACCGAGUUCUUACAUUUCAAUUCUUUUUUAUUAAGUUUUUAUUUGGGUAAAAUUCCUUUUUAUUAAGUUAUAAGAUUUAGAUAUUCCUUGUCAUUUAUUUUGGGAUCUAAAUAUUAUGAGUUAAUUGAAUGCAUAAACUUAUCCAUGUAAUUACAAUACAAGUGCCACGUCAUUUAAGUUUUUCGUCAGAAUCUGUCAUCAUGGGAAAUUCCAAAAAAAUUGAUUUAUUAUGUAUUUUAAAACAAGAAUGAAAGAUUGUGGGAAAACCCAAAAUUUGACAAUUUAUUAUGGUUUUAGACCAAAUUUACCCUUUAAUUAAUAGUCCUAAUUUUCUCCUAAUUUUAGAUUUGUUUCUUAUUUUACUCUCAUCCGCGCUCAAACACUGAUAAGUCACUGUCUCAUUCCUUUCUUGUGGAGCCGUUGGAAUUGCUGUAGAAAAUCCUUGUUUAUUGAAGGUGAAUCUUGCUUGUUGUCUAUAUAAAUGUGCAAUUUAUGGGAAAAAUCAUAUUCAAAAGUUUAUGUAUUUUUACACUAACAUUUGAAAGUCAUAGGAAAAAUGAGAAUUCACCCAAAAUUGGUGAAUUUUGGCGGUAUUUGCCCAUUAGAUAUAAUAUAUACAAAAAGAGAUUAUAUGAAUCUCCUAGUCUCCUGUAGUGCAGCAGAUUCCCUUAAUAGUGCGUAGUGUUCAAUAGGUAACGCCGAACACAAAAGUGCGCAUAUUUGAAUUCAAAAACAAAUAAAUGCAUUAUAAAAACAUAUAUAUUAUUGUAUACACAAAAAUACAUGGAUAUUACAAUAGAAUGGAAAGAUUUAGAUGUGUGGAGUGGGCUUGAAAGUUAGUCGAUCGAUGUGCGUGUUUUUCAGUUCCGUGAGGCAAAAUGAGUUGAUUGUGGUAUCGUAAAAAUCGAUAGUGCAGUAAUAUUGUACACCACACAUAAAAACGACAGUCUUUAUUAUAUAUGUAACAUUAUGACAAAACACAUGUACAUUUGUUUAAUUAGGUUGAAACUGUAUUGGCCAAGGUCAACAAGACUGCAUGAUCAUCUCGAGAAUAUAUUAGUCUUUCCAAUCAGAAACCAGAUAACUCAUGCUAGGAUGCAGCUUACUAAUUGGUUACAUGAGGGUUCACCAGAAUCCUCAAGCAUUUUCGUAAAUCUGCCUUCUCCUUCUCUUGUCUUUUCGUUCAUUUGUUUGGCAAGACUUGUGAUUUCGGCAUUGGCGGAUACAUGGGCCGGCUAGGGAGGGCUGAAGCCCCCUCCCUAACUUUACGUUAUAUAUUUAUAUAUAUAUAGAUAUAAAAAAAAUACGAGAGAGAACAUAAUACAUUGUUUUAAUAAUCCUAGCAUCCAAAUUAAUUGUUUAAUGUUUUACGGUGAUUCGUUAUAUUAGUUUGUUAAAUUUAAUUAUGUUAUUUUUGUUCUCUUUAGUCUCCCUUCCUUAGUUCAUUUCCAAUGAUGAAUUUGAGUCCUUCCUCUAGUUAAAGCCAGAUUAUGAAUUUUUAAUAAUAAAAAAUAUUUUAUUUUGUAGAAAAUGAAACAAUUAAAAAAACGCAUAAAUAUAGCUUUUAUGUGCUUGUAAAUUUCAAUGUAGCUAAUUGUUGUUGAAUUAAUGGAAUGAAAACAUUUAUUUAAUAUAAUAAAUUAUUGAGUUCUAAUCUUAAGCGUAUUAAUUUUCUAGUUGGACACAAAAACGAACUACAAACUAUCAAAAAAAAAGCUCAAAGACUACCGUCCCCAAACCCCGUACUUGAGCUCUAUAUUUAACAGAUUUAACCCCCUAUCAACAAGUAGUAUUUGAUCCACCCAUUUGUGUGGUUGACUCGGAUCUAAAUUCCGUCUACUAGCUAGAUAUGAGUGGUGCUAACGAAAGGUUCUCACAGAGAGUGAGAGCAUAUCACUUCUAUAUAUUUAGGUUUUAUUUAUUUUAAGAUAACAUAAGAAUUAUUUUUAAAUUAUUUUUAAAGAUAAAUAUUACUUUAAACUCCAAACUACUUUCGUACUGUCAAUUAUAUUUUGAACUAUUAUAAAUACUUUUUGAAAUUAUAAAGUAUCAAUUUUACAUCAAUUGUACGUAGUAGUAUAUUCAUAAAUAAUGUAGUAUUUCAAUUCUAUUCUUAUUUAUAUACUUCACAAAGUACAUGUAUCAAAAUCAUAAAAGUAUUUUUUAUGAAAAUAUUUUAAAAUAGUUUAUAUCAUCUGGAGAUGAUAUAUAUAAUUUAGAUAAAUAAGAAUGAAUAUAAUUGAUAUAAAAUUGAUACUUUAUAUUAUGACUUGUGAAAAUAUUAUAAAAUAAAAUUUGGAUUCCACAUUGAUUUUUUAUGAAAAUUUAUCAAUUUUAAUACUUAUUAGUUGAUAUGAUUUAAACCAGAUCACAUCAAUUUGUCAAGCUUCAGACGAGAUGAUUCAGAUAACCUAGUUAUGUUAUUUCACAUUUCAAACGAGAUGAUGCUCAUAAGCCAGUUAUGCUUUUUCAAGCUUUGGGACAAGAUGAUGCUCGGAAGGUGAUGCACAAAAGUAUGUCAUGGUCUUUCAAGCUCCAUAUGAGAUGUUGUUUAGAUGUUAGUUAUGAUAUUACAAGCUCCAGAUGAUAUAAUCUCACUAGUCAGCUCUAAUCUUUCAAGCUCCGAAUGAAAUAAUGUUCAAUAGUCAGUUAUGAUCUUUUAGCUCUAGAUAGUGAUGCUCAAAAGUUUGACCCAUAAGUCAUUAUAUAGUAUAGUAUUUUAAGGUGCAGACCAGAUGAUGUUCAAAAUUUCGAUGUUCAAACAGUCAAAUAUCAUCUUUCGAGCUCUAAAUGAUGAUAUGAUCUUACAGAGUUCAAAUGAAAUUAUGCUUAGACGACAGAUGUGGUCUUAGAUUAAUUCUUAUCCGUCAAUGUAAAAAAGUUGUACAAAAUUAAUAAAUAGUCUUUUGUAUUUACAUUUAACGUUAAAUGUAGCACAUCAAUCUCUCCAUCAUAUCCUCCAUCUAAUUUAUAUAUGUUUUCUUUUCAUUUUUCUAAAAUCUUCAAUUAAUCCUACAUCAAUUUUUUAUAAAACUUCAUCAAAUGAAUACCUAUAUAAAAGGAUAUUUCUAUUCUUCCAACACAAUAUAAUAUUUAAUUAAUGUAAGUGGAUGAAAUUAAUAUAUAUAAUUUAAAGUCAGUUAUAUUAAAUUAAAUAAAAAAUAAUAUUAAAAUAAUUUUAAUACACAGAAAACAAUAUAAAAAAAAUAAUUAAAUCACAAUAUAAAAUAAUAUCCUCGUCGAAUUUCGACAAAUCACAAAUUGAUUUUAAUAUUAAAAAAGGAAAUUGUUGGGAGUGCUUGAGCUCACCCCAAUCCUUGACUCCGCCAUCGAUCAUCAUUCAUGUGCCUUCAAAAUAUAUCCGCUGCGAAUUAAUCCAUCCUAGAAUAAAUCCUAUUUGAAAAAUAAAGAAAAAAAUCGUUAUGUAUGUCGGCAUUGCUUGCACCAUAAAAUGAGAGUCUCCAUCUUAUAUAUUUCCUUUUUCCAAACAAGAUGGGAAUUUUUAAGGAGAUUUUGUUCUUUGUGUGCAAAUUUAAUGAGUGUCUCCAUCUUAUAUAUAUAUAUUUUUUCUAUUUUCAAACAAGAUGUAAAUUUUUAAGGAGAUGUAUUCUUCUUUGUGUGCAAGUAGGGGUGUAAAUGAGCCGAGUCGAGUCGAGUAUUGCCAUGCUCAGACUCGAGCUCGACUAUUUUGAUGAAGCUCGAGCUCGAGCUCGACUCGGCCGAGCUUGAUUUUUUUGAGCUCGAGCUCGACUCGAUGUCAUAUUUGUGAGCUCGAGCUCGACUCGGUUAAGCUCGAUUGUGGAGUCUUGCUCGAGUUUGAGCUCGAGCUCGUUUAAGCUCGUUGAGCUCGAGCUCGUUCAAACUCGGUGAACUCGAGCUCGUUUAAUUUUGGACCAAUAUAUAAUACAUUAUAUAAUAAUUACUUGAGCUCGAUUAGGCUCGCGAGCCUAACGAGUCGAGUAUCACGAAACUCGAACUCGGGCUCGGUAUCAACUCGAGUAGCUCGAGCUCGAGCUCGACUCGACUAACAUCGAGUCGAUUUCGAGUAAUCUUCGAGCCGAUCCCGAGUAGCUCGCGAGCUAGCUCGACUCACUUACACCCCUAUGUGCAAGAGCGGAGCUAAGAAUUUAUUAAUAGGCGGGCGAAAUUAUAAUUAUGUAUUUAAAAGUAAAUUUAAAUGGAUAAAAUUCAUCUAUAUAUAUAUAUUAAAAAAAAACUGAAGAAAUUCAAAAUACGAACUAAAUGUAUUAAUGGUAAAAAAUAAUUUGGUCGGACGACUGCCGAGGUUUGCCCGAGCCUGGCUCCACCCCAGUAUGUAUGUACGUGUCUUGCACUAAACAAAAUUUGACGUUUACUUUGUUGUUUUAUUGUAAUUUUACAAAGGUUUAGUUGUAUAUAACUAUAUAAGUUACAGAACGUUCAAAUAAAUUUCAUUUUGCAUAUCAAUUUACAAAUUUGUAUUAAAAUUAUUUAAUUUUUUUUUCAUUUUUUAUUUCGUCGGAUUUCAGUAUGACAUGACAUAAAUAUACUAUCGUAAAAAUGUUGAAUAUUUUGAUGAAAUUAAAUAUUUUGUAAAAUUUAGAAUCGUUGAACCGAUCAAUAAUUUUGAUGAACAGACAUAUUUUAGAAAAUCUCAUCACUCCAAUAAAUAUUGUUACGAUUUACAAAUUUGAUUUAAAUUGCAAAUGACCCUAAUUAUUUGGGUAUUCAAAAUCCAUAUUUAUAAAAUUUCAUUGCUCAAACCAAUCUCGCCCUUAAAAGUUUAGAUUAUCAUACUUCUAGAAAUAUAAUCUGUAGUAAAGUAAAACAAAAAACGAAAAUACUUGUUAAGUAGUACUCCCUCUAUCUCAGCUUUUAAUAUUGAUCUUUCUUUUUUUUUGUUGUUUCAUAUUUUGGUAUCCAUUUCUAUUUUUAGUUAAAGUAUGUGAGAUUUUUUCUCCACUUUAAUCAUUUUAACUCUUACAUAAAAAGUGGGACCUUAUUCUACUCACAACACACCCAAUCACUUUAUUAAAAUAUGUGUCACUUCCAAAUGGAUACUAAAAGUAAAAGAUGAGACAUAGAGAGUAAAAUUUAUUAUUGAUUGGUGCGAUCAAGGCAUCAAGGUAACGCCUACCACUUGCCGCCAAAGUAUCUAAAAACAGUGCCUUAACAUUGCAUAAAAAAAUAUGAGGACACAUAUGUUGCGGGAAAUUAUAAGGAAAAAUAGUAUGUGGCAGAAAAAUGAUCAUCCAAGUUGAAAAUAACCACAAUCAACCAAACUUUAUCUUCUUGACAUAUUUUGCUAAGGAUGGAUUCAAACAAGUAGCUUUCGCAAUAGCUUCCAUCAGCUUGUAAUAAUAUGGUGAUUAUUAUCAACAGCACAUGAUGCACCAAACUUCCAAACAAAAAAGCUACAAAAGCAAUUACUCUAAUUAAAUGAGGAUACUUUUUUGAUAGGUUGUGGAUUCCAUCUAUUUAAGGAAAGGGUAUCUAUUCAUGUUUUCACUAGCUAACACUUUUUGUUCUUUCACUAGAUUGUACUUCGCACAUGCAUAUGCUGUUAGUGUAUGUGGUGUGUGUGCAUUAUUUUUGUUUCAAUUAAUGAAGUAAUUCGGUAGAGGAUUUGAUAUCUUAUUGUAAAAUUAGACGGAAAAGCACCAAAAAUAUAUCACAAUGUUUGAACUUUUAAAAAUAAUAAUAAUAAAGCUUUUUAAUUUAUGCCAAAUUGGCUACACCGAUACGUAAGGAUGCCAAUAGGGCCAAUUUACCAAGUUUCGGGCAAACUAUCAGGUUCCGGGUUGUUCGGGUGCAGGCUAAUUGGGUUGAAAUUUUUUUUGGAUAAAAAUUUCUAACUCUAACCCUAAAUAUUUGGAUUCCAGGCUAUAACACAUUGGGCUAGUCGCGCGGACUCAAAAAUUUAUUUAAAAAAAUUAAUUAAUAUAUUUUUCUCUUAAUAAUAUUAUAUUUGUAAUAAAUAAAACACACAUAAAUAAGUAAUAUUUUAAUAUUGACUUACAUAAUAACUAAUAUGCAAGUCUUAGAGAUAUAAAGUGAGUGGAUUUGUAAAAUGUCCACUUUCAUAUUGUAAAGAUAAAAAAUGUCCACUAAAAUAAAAAAUUUUAAAAAUGUCCACUGUUACCAAAAUGCCCUUCACUUCUAAUAUUGAAUCAAAAAUACAUUUCACAAACUUUUGAAAAAUAUCUAUUAUAAAAUUUUCUAUACAAAACAACUAGUCGAAUUCACAACCAAAAUUUGGUUGUAAAUUAACUGAAUUCACAACUAGUCGAAUUCACAAUUUGAAUUUAGGGUUAAUUGCCGCUAAAUUCAAAAGCUUUUAAAAAAUUCGCGAUAUUCUCACCAACUUCAAAAUCGGCGUAUGAAUACAUGAAUUGAGAAUUCGUUCUUAAUGUUCCCAAAAUAAGAAAAAUCCCCAAAUUGAAGGUGACGUGGACUACCGUAAAUACAGCGUGGCAUAGCCGGCGGUGCAAGAAAACGACGUCGUUUCUUUUAAAAUAAUACGACGUCGUUUUGAUUUCCAACAAUAAUUUAAAAAAUAAAAAAUUGCAGAAAUCCUCAAUCUCUCUCUCUCUCUCACCUUCCUCGCCGGAAAAUUUGCAAAAUUUUGCAGCUCGCACACCAACAAUCGUCAAUCAUCUCGCACACCAACAAAUCGAAAUCUCUCGCACAGCAACAAUCUAUCUCUCAUCUCUUGCCUGAUUCUAGGUCCUAGGGUUUCGAUUUGGGGAUGGAGAAAGCCGGCGGCGCAACAGCAGAAAGCCACCCACCGCCGCUCUGCAAAUCGCGGGUCCUAGAGUUUCGAUUUGGGGGUGGGAGAAAGUCAGCGGCCCACCUGCAAAAAGCGUGGGAUGGAAUUUUUUAAAUUUUUUGAUGUAAAUCUGGUGGAUGCUGCGUCGUUUUCGUGGGAUGGAAGGGCGCGGUGGCGGCGAGAGGAGAUGAAGAGGGUGACGUAGCACUUGGAGGUAGUGGGUGGUGGGAGGGAAUUGCGGUGGUCUUGGAGGUGGAGGAGGGCGGAGUGGUGGUAGUGGUGGCGCGAUUUUGGAAAUCGUUAUUUGGGAGGCGGCGAUUUGAGAGAAUAGAAAGGAAGAAGAGAGAUAGAUAGAAGAGUGACCAAGGAGGGAGGCAGCGACCGGAGUGUCGUCGAAGUUUCAGAGCGUGACCGGCGUCCAGAGCUCGACGGCAGUGGGGUGUUCUGGUUUCAGAGGGUGACCGGCGUCCAGAGCUCGGCGACGGGUGUUCUGGUUUCAAAGGGAGCCCCAAUUUUUAAAAAACAUACCCACCAAACACUGCUGUGUUUGGGGAUGGGGGUAGAUGGAGAAGGCGAAGGUUUGGGGAAGGAGGUAGGCUGGGGGGUGUCUGCAGGCCGGGCGAGUUUGGGAGGUGGCGCCGGAGGUUUGGGGAGGUGGUGGUCGGGGGUUGGGGAAGGGGGUAGAUGAUUUUUAUUUUUUUUAAAUUAAUUAUAAAUAAAUAAAAUUAUUAAAAAAUUAAAACAAUGACAUGUAUAGCUGAUUUGGAAUGAAAUUGACAUGUCAUAGGUAUUUGCCAUGUCAUCUCGCCGGAUUUUUUAAUUUUGGGAACAUUAAGAACAAAUUUUCAAUUCAUGUAUUCAUACACGGAUUUUGAAGUUGGUGAGAAUAUCGCGAAUUUUUUAAAAGCUUUUGAAUUUAGCGGCAAUUAACCCUUGAAUUUAAUUCACAACCAGAAUUUUUUGAUUGUGAAUUCAUAACCAGUCAAAUUCACAACCAAAAUUUAAUUCACAAUCAGAAUUUUUUUAUUAUGAAUUCACAACUAGUCAAAUUCACAACCAGAAUUUUUUUUGUUGUAAAUUCGACUGGGUGUGAAUUCACAACCAAAAUUUAAUUCACAAUCAGAAUUUUUUGGUUGUGAAUUCACAAUCAGUUGAAUUCACAACCAGAAUUUAAUUCACAACUAGAAUUUAUUUUGGUUGUGAAUUUACAACCAGUCAUUCACAACCAGAAUUUUUUGGUUGUGAAUUCACAACGAGUCGAAUUCACAAUCAGAAUUCAAUUGACAAAUAAAAUUUAUUUUGGUUGUGAAUUCAAAUAGUUGUGAAUUUGAGUUUUUAAAGUUGUGAAUUCAUAGAUCUGGUUGUGUAUUAAAAAACAUUAAGUUGUGAAUUCAUCGAGCUAGUUGUGAAUUUAAGAACAUCAAGUUGUGAAUUCAUCGAGCUGGUUGUGAAUUCAAGAACAUCAAGUUGUGAAUUCAUAAAUCUAGUUUGCAAUAUUCUCUAAUUUCAAUUUCAAUUCUUAUCAGCUUUUCAAAAACUACUUUAAUUUUUGAAUCUUCAUAUUUCAAUUUUCUUAACUAUUCGUAAAACAAAGAAAUUAACUAAUAAGUAAAAACUUAGUCAAUCAAGUAAAGAAAAUAAACGGAUUGACUUUCAUUGCCUAUCCUAUUCGUCUAAAUCAUAGUGUAAUGAGAGGGAAAGCGCAUAAUAGCUUUUCAGAAAAUUGUUCAGCCUCAAGCCUUCUAUUCGCCACUCUCAAAAUCUGCCUUCUACGCAUCAAAUUCAGCCGCUGCUUUAGCGAUAAAGCCGGCGCCGGCGCCAAUUGAAACAACCCCCAAUUGCUCUCUGAAUUAAUUCACCAUGAAUUUACUUUUCAGAGCUAAAUUAUCUGGCCGAAUCUGCCUCUCCCUUUCACCACUUUCUUCCCUUCAACAAUCAAAAUCCUAUGCCACCUCAAAAACCCCAAAACCAACCAGCCCUAAAUCCCAGAAAUCAUCGACUUUUUAUGAGAGAAUCGCCGACGAGAACUAGCCGCAGGUUGAAGAGAUAGGCGGCGGUGGAGAUAGACGGCGGCGUCGAUGGAGAUGAAGGCGGUGAAGAUAGAUGGCGGCAUCGAUGGAGAUGAAGGCGGCGAUGUCGAUGGAGAUGAAAGCAGCAACGUCGAUGGAGAUGAAGGCGUGAAUUUAGGAUUUUAGGCUGAGGGGCGUUUUCGUCUUUUCAACCACAAAGUGGACAGUUUUUAUUAUUUUUAUUUUAGUGGACAUUUUUUAUCUUUACAAUAUGAAAGUGGAAAAUUUUAUAUAUUUACUCAUAUAAAGAUGCAAUAUUUUUAUUAAAUAAAUAUCAUUUUUUUAUUUUUACAUCUAAAUAUUUUGUGUUAAAUAUUGGAUUUAAAAAUACAGAGAAGUGAAAUGAUGAGUAUAACUUUCUAAUAUUGAACCAAAAUAAAUUUCACAAACUUUUGAAAAAAAUAUCUUAUCAUACUAAUUUUCAUAAGCAAAGUAAUGAAGUUGAAAAUCAAAUAACGGAAAAAAUUUCAUAUAAUAAAGCGAGCACAUUAUUUUCGGGUCAAUCCUAUAGGGUUUCAGAUUAAUUUCGGAUCGAUCCUAUCAGAUGUCGGGCUAUUCGAAAUGUAACUUUUAUCGCAUUGAAAUUUUUUAAUACUAACCCUCUUGAAUUGGCGGAUUAAUCGGAUCAACCUAGAAAUUUCGAACCGAAUUGACAUCUCUACCGAUACAAUUUAUUUUCAAUAAUGUCACGAAGUCAAUUCUCUAGCAUUAAUAUAUCUACAUGGUCAUCAAUGGUGACACAAAACAUAUAUUUCACAUAUGAGAAUUUUGACGUAGUUUUGGCAUAUCGGCCAUACCUAGUGACGUAGCCAGACUUUUCAGUCAGGGGGGCUCAAAUAUUUUUCUCGACUUAAUUAAUAUGAUCAAUAUUAUUUUUGGACCGUCUCUAAGUUAAUUAAUUUUCUUAUAUAAAAUAAAUAUAUGCAAAGAAUCAUUUAUUCAUUUUAUUACCAAAUUACUUAAAAUAUUAUUUUCUUAAAUUUUGUGUCGAAAAUAAGUUCGAUCAAUUUAACUGGGACGAAGAGAGUAAUAAUCACAAUAUUAUAAAUUCAUAAAAAGAAUAUAAAAAGACUCCAAAUAAAUUACAAUUUCAAUAAAAUCACAUUAAUCAUGCAUUAGUUGCAUCAUGAUAUUACAAAAAUUAAAAUAAAAAUAAAUACCUUACUAUCAUAAUAUUUUUUUUCUUAUUUUCAUGUUCUGAAAUGACUACAUUAUCGAUUUAUUAGUAAUAUUUACAAGCACAUCGUUUUAGAGGUUAGAUAUCUGACAAUCAUUCAAUAGUUUAUCUCUCGUACAAUUGCAUAGAAAGAAAUUGAAAUUAUUACUAAAUAAUAUAUUUAUGUAUUUAUUUAAUAUUAAAUGUGAAAUUACUAAAAUACCCCUAAUAUUUUUGAUAUUUUCAGUGGAGCCCAGUGCCCCCACUGCCCCCCUCUGGCUGCGUCAAUGUUUACAGACAAUUAACCCGAAUUUUUAAAUGGAUUAAUGGUAAUUUAUACCCACUCUCAAAAUCAAAAAAUAAUAUAUAUCUACACAAAUUAAAAUAUAUAGAUAAUACUCAAUUAAAAAAAAUUGAGAUUUUUUCUUAAUGAAAAUAUAAUUAAGAGGAAUUUUUUUUAAAGUCACGACCUCUACGGCUCUACCCACAUCUCUCUCUUUCUUUAGACUCGCCGCCUCCCCUCCCUUAGAUCGAAUUCUCUGCUCGCCUCUUCCUCUCUGCCGCGCUCACUACCUACCGCUCUUUCUCUCUCUCACACACUCACACACAAACACACACACACAAAGAGAGAGAUUUGAUCGAUACUCUAUACUUGAUCAUCAAGCAAUAGAGAUUUGAAUCAUUGCUUGAUUGCUUGACGCACGAUUGCUCGAUGCUCGACAUUGAGCAAUCGAGCAAUAGUUCAAUUCGAAUUAUUGAUCGACGAUAAAGAGUCGAGCAUCCAACAUCGAGUCGAGUAUGUAUUGAUACUCGAUCGAUCGCCGAGCAUUCAAUGUCGAUUGUGUAUGGUGGUAGUGGAUCUCUACGUGGAUUGGUGGUGGUGGUAGUGGUGGUGGAUUUUCUUUGGGCGACGAUAGGUGGCGGCGAUGGACUUGCGAAGCGCAAUGGUUGACGGCGGUGCAUGGAGCUCAUUUUUUGAUUAAAUUUGAUUUAAUAAAUAUUAAAUCAAAAAUUAAAAUAUUAUAAUAUAUUCUAAAUUAAAUUAGUAUAUUAAGGCAAAGUAUGUAGUCAUAAUGGGUAGAAUUAAUUAUAUGUUUUACGAAAGGUGAUUUAUAUUUUCUUUUAUUUUUUUAAAGUCUAUAUAUCAUUUUGUGUAGCAUUAACUUUUCUUUUUGAAGCAGAUGCAGCAUUAACCUAUCAUGUAAUAAUAAAUUAUUUUGUAUUUAUAGAAACGUUUUUCCUCCAAUUAAUUGGUAUAGGGAUAUAUUAGAGACAUUCAAAGGAUAUUAGAGUGUGAGUGUAAUUUUUUUAGGGGUAGUGACAUUUUUUUGUCAAUUUUGUAUCGGUAAGAAAAUAUCAUGUGACGGGAAAUAAUACGUGUAAUUUACUUUUGGGGUCCGUAAUUAAAUAGGAAAAGGGUAAUGAAAAAAAAUUUGAAAUGAAGUUUUUUUUGGACGAAUUUCGGAAUUAUGAAGUAUGAAAACAUGACAUGCACUCUCUGAAUAAAUUACAUACACACGAAAGAAUAUGUUGAAAAGGCUAAAGAUGUUGUCAUUAUCUGUAGAUGUGUCUAUCUAUUUCCUCAAAAAAGAAAAGUAUUUAUAUAUGAGAAACAUAAUCAAUUAUACAAUUACACACCCUAGAAAACAAGAAAACGAAAAAAAAUAGAAAAACGUUCCAAAUUACAAGCAGUCAAGUUGAUGGAUUGAGAUGAUUUAACUAUGAAAACAAUCUCAAAUGACAGCAACUGAGGGUCCGAUCUUUCUGUUACAUUUUAAAAUUACAUUUCGUAUUUCUCUUCAUCAAUAUUGCAUAUCAUGUGUACAAAACACAUGAUGAAUUCAAUAAUAAUGAAGAUUAUGAGAUGUAACACAAAAAUUGAACAUAAAUCUCGUACAUACCAAAUGUUACGAUAAAACUAAUGGUGAUGUGGAUCUGGUCCCCCAGGGCUAACUCUUGCAGGCCGGUCGUGGUCACUCUGAUCCAUCUUCUGCCUUUCGAAUUGAUUUUGGAGCGCUCGUCGCGCUAUUGCUAUAUGCUUCCGAGAUCGAGCCACAACGACUCGCGCCGAUGAGAUCAGCACGAACCAAAUCAUGACCCACAUUAACAAGCACUUGCAACAAUUCUUCAUGUUUAUAAUGUAUGCUAAUUAAUUAGCUCUCCCAAUUCAAAUGUAAGUGGGUUUAUGAUCAUCGACCCUUAUUUAUAUAUAUAUAGUUUGUCGAUCCUUCUUAUUAGGUAGGCUGAUUUAAAGCAAGCUGAUCCAAAAGUAGCAGUUGCUCGUUUAGGUUAAUUUAUUUUACUACUAUAUCUUAUUUAUAUUAAAAUAAAAUGCGAUUGGAAUCAUUAAUUGGAUGGCCUGAUUUCAGUUAAAGUAGAUUUUGGCAUCAACAGUCAGACUCGAGCAUGAUGUGUUGUCCAUUAGAGCAAGGUGCAGUUCAGAUGUACCUCGAACAAGUCGAAUUUGAGAAUUCAUUUUCUUGGUGUCAGCAUUUCACUUCUUUUUAACCUGAUUUUCAUUAUCCACAAAAAUUAACCCAUCUCAUGUGCAAAUUUAUUUAACUUUUUGUUGUAUGAAAGCAAGAAUAUGAUGGGUAAUGACUUGAGCACAGCUACGUAGGACCAACUUUUAAGUGGUGCUGAUCACAUUGAAAAAACAUAUUCACUGGAUACAUUUUGGUACGACUCUAAUUCAGAAUCUUUUCGCUGCACAAUUCUAGUAUAUGUCUGCUCUUUUUCUCUAGAUAUUUUUCAAAGGAACUUAAUUGCAUUUCAUGACUUGAAAAAGAAAAACACUUCUAUAGCUUAAAAUUUCUUACUUCCUCCGUCCUUAUAAAAAUUAUCCAUUUGUAAAUGACACGGGUUUUAAUAAAAUAGAUAAAUGUGUUGUGAUUGAAGUAAGGGUCCCAUUUUAUUGUAAGUGAAAAACUUACCAAAUUAAAAUAGAUUGAAUACAUUUUAGAGGAACUCACGAAAAUAGUAAAUUGGAUAUAGUAUUUUAUGAGGACAAUGAAGUAUUUUAUAAGAACAUCCACAUUCAAGAGGCCCCUUGGGGCUCUAACUAAGGAGAUUAACCUCAUUUAAGAGCUCAUCCUCCACAUCAUAACCUCUAGAAAGUGCUCUAAAAAUUUAAUUUUUAUUUCAUUCAAAAUAAUCUCUUCAAUUUUAAAAUCGAACAUUUCAUUAAAUUUAAAAUUUCCGCAUUAUAUUAAUUAAAAUAAAAUAAAAUAAUAUAAAUAUUACAAUAAUUAAAAUACAAUAACAAUAAUAACCAAAUAAUUCCAUCAUCGACGAUUCUUGACUUCCUCGACGACGAGUUUCAUCUGCAAGGCCGAUAUCCACAUCCAUCUUUGAUUUGUCCGCAUGAAUAAUUUGAAAGUCUGAGAGCCUUGCGUUGACUGCAGCUGAGAUCCUCGAUGCCUUUGUAACCUGGUCCAUUAUGUCGUAAUAUAAAAUAUUUUCCCCGGCCGUCCAGGACUUCACCUGCCCUGAUUCUCCUUGUCUCGCUUUGCCGUUUUUUGGCCUAUAUGCCUCGUCAUUAUGCUCGGGUCGAAGAAUGUCGUCGUGUGUAUGCCCUAUCGGACCCCUUCGAAUGCUUCAAAGAGUGGACAUCCUUGCCGGUCGAUGCGAAACGUUGAGAUUCACGGAGAACUCGCCAAACUUUAAAAUAUUUGAAUGGAGCCUCAUAGUUGGCUUGGUAUCUCUCCUGAGCUUGUUCAGUGAUCUCUUCAUCACUCAUGCCGCUCCCCCAAUUGGCUCGGCAUUUCUCAUAGAUUGGCUCUCAUUGUUUGACGUCAUUUUAGACGCGUUGAAAUGGCAACGUUAUUUUCUUGUUGUCGCAAGUCUGAGUGCCGGAAGGCCGAGCUUCGAUGAAUUUCUGAGUAAUCUCCCCCAAUAGACGAGUGCCUUUUGAUCGGUACCCUUGAUGGCAUUGUGUGGGUCAUCUAUGCCCACAGCUUGCACACGAGCUCAGUCUUGGUUGAGAUGUAGACGAUGCAUGUCCUCGUUGUUUUGGGGAGAGAAGGAAUCUCCGCAAUAUCGUCUUGAACGAAAUGAGUGUCGUUCAAGUUGAUGCCUUCAAGAGCCGUAUUGAAGGCGUUCGAGCCUUGUGAGAACUUAUAUUUUUAGUUAUUUGGUCAAGUAAUUAUUGUAAUAAGAAAAAGUAACCAUUGAUAUGAAGACAGAUAAUAUUUCAAAACAGAAAAAGAAAAUUAAAAAAUCUCCAUGUUGAAAGUUUGAACUCAAUAUCUUUGAGUUGAAACUAUGGAGCUUUACUGUUGUACCAACAUCUUAUUUUGGUUUCUCUAAAAAAACAUCUUAUUUUGGUAAUUUUUAUGAACAUAUUAUAUACAUAGUACUGUUCCGCACGCCCAGCCCCAUGACCCGCGCUUAGCCCAUCCCAAUCGACUCGUGCCCAACCCCGAUCGACCCGUUUCUUCUAUAUACAUUUGAUCUCACAGGAGAUCAACUCAUAAAAAAAACAACAAACAAGAAUUCUUACGACAUGUUUCAGAUUCGACUUGAUCCAAUAGAUAGAUUAAUUACCUAAUAUAUAUGGGUUUAUAUAUAUAGUUUAACAGGAAUAAGGUUUCGUCUAAAAAAAAAGGAAUAAGGUUCAAUUGAAUUUAGUAGAAAUUAUAAAAUAGGAAUAUUUUCGAACCACAUGACAUCCAGAAGUGUCCCUAUUCAAUAUUCAAAUAAUUUAGAUAAUCGGUCUAGAUAAGAUAAAGAUUGCGCAAACAUGUAAUAGAAUAAUUGAUUUGAUAAUCUCUAGCUACAUCGGCCAGUAAGAUCAUCAAAGGAGUUGGUGCCAGGUUUUGCAAAGUUGACACAAAGAUUUCAAAAAUUAGAAUUCUUUUUGUCCCAUUAUAGUCCACAUUGCCUUUUUUGAUAUAUAUUUAAAAAAAUAUGAUUAAUAUUAUUUGAAAAAUAUAAUUUAUUUAUAAUUAUUUUAUUAUGCCGUUAUUAUUAUUUUACUUAUUAUUUUCACACUUAAUUAUUAUUUCAAUAAAAAUGCAAUUUAAAUUUAUAUUUUAGAAACAUUCCAAAAAAGAACAGGAGACUAUCAAAGUGGGACGAAUGAAGUAUUAUAAUUAUAAGAUCAGGGCUUCAACUAAUAUUCGAAAUAAGGGUGAAGCCUCAACAUAUGAAAUGUGUACUUGAAUUUUUACUUAUGUAAUAUUAAUAUAAUUGAUUUUUUUUAAAGAUGAGGAUUAAUAAUGGUUCUCCAUUUGUCACACCCCAAUUCUUGAAAUAAUAACUAUAACCGGGGUACGACUCAUCAUUUAAAAUGAACAAGGGAAAAACCUUGUGACAUCCGAAUAAAAGGGAUAACAAUCAGGCUUAGCCCCUUUGGGUAAAGAAAGACAAGUAUUCAAGUAAUACAAAUCCAUCAACAAACAUAAUAACUUCAGAAUCACAAAUUUAGUGUCAUGCUUCAGAUAACCAACAUUUAUAGAAUAUAAUACUUGCGAAUUUAUAGUCUCGACUCAACAAAAGAUGUCGUUCAGAGUCGUAGCGUAAAGGUCUUAAGUUAAGGAAACAAAAGACAGAUACUGGCUAGUUCUACAGCGGAAGUCAAAAUACGGAGUUGAACCCUAGCCUCAGCUCGUCCCGUCAGCACCAGCCAUUAACCUGAAAAACAUUUGAAGAUAUUUGGGCUAAGUACUAAUGUACUUAGUGGGCUGCAACUUUUGAAACAUUUCAUAAUCUGAAGAACAGUUUAUCCAAUCAUUCUUGACAUGACUUAGAAGGUUUUAAAGUGAAAGAACUUCUAAGCAUGUUAAAACAUUUCAUUUUAUAUAUAUAUAUAUAUAUAUAUAUAUAUAUAUAUGCUUAAUUUGCGAGCAGUUGUCACACUCUAUUUCUGUUACUCGCUAUGAUCUCGGACCUUUUUGCCACCGACGGAUCCAUUUCUCCCAUUUACUUGAACUGAGGGCGUAACCCAGACAAGUUUACUUUUGACCUCGGGAUGCUACCCAGGCAGGCCCUUACAUUACAUGCUCCGGAACACAUCCAACAAGCAUCCUUAUAACGCCUCUUAGUUAGUGCCCGAAUGGAGAUCAACCCACCGAGUCAGCUAACAGUGUACACAAUUCUCAAAUAACGUGUUAGGCUAUAAGAGAACCUCAAUUGAUUCGUUGUGGCGAGCAUUAAACAGAGCAGAGUGCACAUAAACAUUUUAUUGGAUAAACAUUUAUAUUUCACGAACAUUUAAGCUCAUUAGCUCAAUCAUACAUUUGGAAAAUAAGCCCACCUGUUUAGGCAAAGCCUGUCGUUUAACUUAUCUCUGAAUCGGAAUAGCAGUGCUAAUCCUCCUGAUGUUCAAGGCCUACAAGAAAUCUAUUCUCAAUAGGUCUCCUUAAAUCUAAACUCAAGUCACGUAAAGUGCUUAACAUUCUAUGAUUCACUUGCCGGGUUUUCAAAAUUUAAGAAUAAAUAUGAAAACAUUUUUCUUGAGUUAAGAACACCAAAAUAUUCUUACUCGUCUUUCUUGUGAUUGAAGUUUUAAAAUCCAAUUAAAUCAUGAUGCAAUGCAUGACUCAUUUCAUACUUAAGCAUAAAAGUUUACUUAAAAAGACACAAGUCCAAGAUACAUAAACAAAGGCAGCCCUCUCGCCUCUGCCCCCCUUUCUCUGCUCUGCUAUUCAGCUCUGGCAUUUCAGCUUUGGCUAUUAAGCUCUGGCAUUCAGCUCUGGCGGUCCAGCUCUGGCAUUUCAGCUCUGGCAUCAGCUCUAGCGUCAGCUCUGGCGUCAGCUCUGGCAUUCAGCUCUGGCCUCCCAGCUCUGGCCUUCCAGCUCUGGAUUUCCCAGCUCUGGCUUCAUUCCCAGCUCUAGCUUCCUUCCCAGCUCUGGCUUCCAGCUUGGCCUCCCACUCUGGCUUUCCCAGCUCUGGCUUCUUCCCAGCUCUGGCUUUCCCAGCUCUGGCAUUCGCUACUCUGCUCAGCACUCAUCUCCCUACUCAUCUCUUCAUCCCCAACCUCUGAACAUACGCCGACUCUCUCUCUUUCUCAGCCUACCAGUACAGCUCUCGCCGAUCACCUUCUUGGCAACGGCGAAGCCCGUCACCUCCCUCUGUUUCCGGCGACCGCAGCAAGCCACGACCGCCACCCUCAACUCUCAUCUACUCUCGACUGAUCCACCCACAACCAACUCCACAAAAUAAAACACGCACAAGGCACGAUCUAAAGCAACAUAAAUCAAGACUCUACCUUUUUCUUUCAAAAGUUAUGCAGCUAAGAUACAUAUAAACACACAAAAACAUGAACAUGAAAAUGUGUUUCCUAAUCGAAAAGUGAAGUGAAGUAGCAGGGGAGUUAAAGGUGAACCUUUAGGGUUGACCAAAUACUGUGGCGCUGUGAAUCGAGUUUGGUUGCUGCUGUUCUUGAAGUCUCCGGCGUGUUGGAACGAGAGAGAGAAUGAGUGAUGGAGGAGAUGAUUUGGUGAAGCAGCGGAGGGAUAGAUAUUUGAAGAGGAGAAAAAGGAGGGUGGAGGUGGAGAAAAUAUCAAGGAGCAAAGGUGGGUUGGGCUUUGAUGGAAGAUGAUAGGUUGGGUUCUUCUUUUCUUGAAAGCAAUUAAAAGCUUAAGGCCCAAAAAAAUUAAAGCCCAACUCAUGAAAUGCUUGAAUGCUUAAUUAAAUAAAUAUGCAAUGCAUAUAAAUUUAAUUACUAAAUUUACAAAUGCUUUUGUAAAUCAUUUUAGUUCGAAUUAAAAUAAAUUCUUUUUCUCAAUCCGGCGUGAAUCAUAAAUCUAAGUUCAAAAAUUAUUCUAAACUUAGCUCGAUGAAACGGGGUAUUACACCAUUUCUCCUCAUGGUGACUCGAAUCCCUAGAUCUAUUAUUUAGAGGGGAAACGUCUUACCAAUUGAAUUGCGCUUUGUUAUCUAAUGGAAAUUAUACUCAUGUAACUUAUGUUUAGAAUUAGAAUUUAACUUUUGAUGAGUAUGAUAUUUGGGCUCAGCUUGUAUCUCAUAAAAAGGCUCAAAUACUGAAGAUUAACUCAAGAACGAGCGGCUAAGGCAAAAAUCAGGAGCUCAUAUUUGAUCAAGGGGAAUUUGCGAGCUAGGCUAAGGUUUAAAAGAGAAUAAAGGAGAUAAGAGAGAUAACGAUGUGAGAAAAUAAGAGCUAACGGAGGCAUUCAGUGCAUAUCUAAUGAAUGAGCUAAAGACAAAUUUGAGAAGAGACAACAAAUUAUUUUUGUCGGCAACAUGUGGCAAAUUUGCAGUGGUUCCAUAACCAUUUCCUGACAAAUGGUGGACCACGCGAGACACAUUGUCGGUUGACAUGGAGAGUGAAGAGCUAAAAAGAUAAAACUACCUCGGGAAAAAAGCGACAGGCCCGAAAGGAUGAAAAUGCCCUCCGCAUUCAUAUUUGAAAAGACCAACAUACCCUUCCCCUAUAACGUUUAUAAGUAGGAGGAAAACCUCACUUGUAAGACACAUUUUACCAUGUACUAAAUUGCUGUCAAAACAACACAAAAACUCAAGUUUCACGCAUUUUGUGGUAGUGUUUUCCAUUGUUAUAGUUACAUUGAUCUACCUCGAGUUCACUGGUUCCCGAACCUCCUGUCUUCCCCACUCGUGCUCAAGCACUUGACUCUUCUUCUGCUCUGGAUCUUCACUUCGCUGCUCUGGAGCGACUUCUCUGCUCUGGAGCGACUUCACCUCCUCUGCUCUGGCACUCGUCGACUUCGCUGCUCUGCACAAACAGGGAAGAAAGCAAGCAAGAAAAAGGAACAACAGCAGACCAAAAGGAAGAGAGAAAAAAGGAAAUCAGAGGAAACUCGAGUUUGGGAAAAAUGUGUCCUUGGGACACUUUGGCUCAGAUUUUUCCCACAGUAGGCAGGGCCCUUCCGGCAGCUCAAUGAUCACGGUUCAAAAGGGAACAGGAGAAACAGAUCAGCACCCCAAUCCCGAUUGCACAGCCACCAGCAACAGGAAUCCGAUGGCUUGCACACCCACAAAGUAUCACCAAACCAGAAAAUCGAUGGACAGGAAUCCGGUGAUACAAGCACUCAAUCGAAGCGAAGUUCACACCCACAGUCACCAAUCAGGAAACCACGAACAGGAAUCCGGCGACACUUCAAGAAAGAAUAGCAGAGCCUUCUGAGUCAAACAGUGUGUGAAAACUUCCUUACGAUUGAAAGACUUGCAGCAGGGAUAAAAAGGAGUGGAGUCAUUGGGAAGGAGGGUGGAGCAUUGAAGUCGGAGGUGGGGAUCGAGGAGACGGGCGGCGAAAAAAGAUGAAGCGGCGCAGGUAAGUGAGGAUGAGGGGAGUAAAUCUGAAGGGCAGUGGGCUUAGGGUUUGGGAAUGGGCCGGGUAGCAGAUUUGGGCUAGGGAAGAGUAUUGGGCCAGAGGAGUUAAUGAGAAUUGGGCCAACUCUCCACAUUCCACCUUUGGCACAAUGAUCAUUAUGUCACCAGGGAAGAGCCUGCCUUUGAUUUGAGCUUAUCAUCACAGCCAUUUUUACUAUCAUCCUAUCACAAAGACAAGACAAUAGAGGGUGAGAAAAAUAUUAUACAUAUUUAACUCAAUCUCAACACUAGAGACCAACCCAAGGGAAAUCACCACAUUCUCAAACCUGAAGAGGUUAUCAUUGAAGACUCAAACACAAACACACAGGACACACACAUGCAGAGGCAAGACAUACAGAGCAGAGCAGACAGAAAGACCAGAGCAGAGCUGAGCUCAAAACUCGACAUGCAGAAAAGAAAACAAGGCAUACACACACAAAACUCAACACACGAAACUCAAUAGAAAAGAACAACAACAGAGACAACAUGCAAAGGGGAAACAAGAAGAAACACAUGCAGGACCAGACAACUACAAACUCAUAUGCAAGGUUUUUCGACAAGAAGUGAGCUUGGCAACAGGAAGACACUUAGUACCCAUGUCAGCAGGAUUGAACUCAGAGGGUAUUUUCUCAAGAAUGAUCUCACCUCUCUCAACAACAUCCCUAAUGAAGUGAUACUUAACAUCUAUAUGUUUUGUUCUAUCAUGAAACACAGGAUUUUUGCAUAAUUGGAUUGCAGACUGACUAUCAGAGAACAACAAGGGUUUAUCAUCAAUGUGUUGGAGUUCAGAUAGGACUCCAUUCAACCAGAUAGCUUCCUUUACAGCCUCAGUGGCUGCAAUGUACUCAGACUCAGUAGUGGACAGAGCAACAAUUCCUUGCAAUUAAGAUUUCCAGCUAAUGCAAGAACCACAGAGAGUAAACACAUAGGAGGUAGUUGACUUUCUAUUGUCCUUAUUAUUAGCAUAAUUAGAGUCAACAUAACCAACACAUUUGACACCAUCAUCAGAUUUAUCAAAAGAGAGACCACAAUUCACAGUAGAUUUCAAAUAUCUGAGCAACCAUUUAACAGCUUCCCAAUGAGGCAUUCCAGGAUUGGCCAUAUAUCUGCUAAGGCAAGAAACGACAUAGGCAAUAUCAGGUCUAGUGCUUAUCAUCAAAUACAUGACAGAACCUAUGUCAUUGGCAUAAGGAAUGUUUUGCAUUUCUGCAAUUUCAAGAUCAGAUUGGGGGCAUUGCUUUUUGCUUAACUCAAAGUGAGAACCAAGAGGCACAUUGACAGAAUUGCAAUUUUCCAUAUUAAAUUUCUUUAAAACCUGCUUCACAUAAUCGGACUGAUGCAAAAGUAAAGUGGAUUUCUCCCUAUCUCUAUCAAUACACAUGCCCAAAAUUUUCUUAGCAUCACCAAGAUCUUUCAUAUCAAAACUCUCACAUAAACAUUUAUGAACAUGCUUAAUAGUUUUUAAACAAUGACUAAGAAUCAGCAUAUCAUCCACAUACAAGAGCAAGUAAACAGGAGUACCAAAUUUCAUGUAGUACAGACAGUGAUCAAACUUACUUCUUGUAAAGUUCAUGCUUCUCAUACAUUGAUCAAAUUUGAGGUUCCAUUGCCUUGGUGAUUGUUUUAAACCAUAUAAAGAUUUUUUCAAAAUGCACACAUGAUUGGGAAAGUUUUUGUCAAUGAAACCCUCAGGUUGCUUCAUGUAAAUGUUGUUUUCUAAUUCACCAUGCAAGAAAGCAGUUGUAACAUCCAUUUGCUUUAAUUCCCAAUUGAAAUGAGCACAUAAAGCAAGCAUAAUUCUGACAGUAGUGAAUUUCACAACAGGGGAAAAGAUUUCAUCAUAAUCAACACCUUCCUUUUGAGUGAAACCUUUAGCAACCAAUCUAGCUUUGUAUCUGACAUGGUCCACCUCAUUCUUUAUCUUAAAAAGCCACUUACACUCAACCAGAGAACAAUUAUCAGGUUUUUCAACAAGAAUCCAAGUAUUAUUAUCAUGCAAUGAGUUCAUUUCAGAUUCCAUAGCAGCAUACCAUUUCUCAGAUUCAGGACAGUUCAUAGCUUCAAAAAAAGUACAAGGUUCAGACACAUCCACAUUAUUAAACACAUUAAAAGCAUACAUGGACAGGUUGAAAUCAUCAAACCUAACAGGAGUUCUCACAUGUCUUCUCUCUCUAUCUCUGGACAGUAGGUAGUCAUUUUGAGCAGUGUUCCUAUCAGAGCUAGGUUCUGGAGCAGUAUCAUGCAAAGGUUGGGGUUCAGGUUCUCUGCUAUUGUUAUUGGUUUGGUCAUGCAUAUGCUCAGGCUCAGUGUUUGGUUUUGGGUCCACCUCAGAAGGAAUGGGGGGAGUGAUCAUGAACUCAUAUCUUUCUAGGUCAAAAGGCCUAGUUGUCUCCACCUCACUUGGAGCAGCAGAAUGUGAGGAUUCAGGUAAGCAUGGAAAGACAAGUUCAUUGAAAACCACAUCCCUACUAAUGCAUGUUUUAAAACCAGGUACAGACCUAUCCCAAAGCCUAUAACCCUUGACACCAUCAGAAUAUCCUAAGAAAAUGCACUUUUUAGCUCUAGGUUCAAGUUUACACACAUUUUGAUGCACAUAAGCAGCACACCCAAACACCUUCAGAUUGUUCAAACAGACAGGUUUAUCAGAGAAAACAGAGUCAGGCAAUUUUCCAAGCAAAGGCACAGAGGGAGAUCUGUUUAUCAAGUAUACUGCAGUCAUAAGGGCUUCACCCCAAAAAUGUUUAGACAAUCCAGAGCCAACAAGAAGACUUCUUACUCUCUCAAGGAGAGUUCUGUUCAUCCUUUCCACAAGUCCAUUUUGUUGAGGAGUGUAGGGGACUGACUUGUGCCUUGCAAUACCAGACUCUGAGCACCAUUUAUCCAUAGCAUUAUUACAAAAUUCAAGCCCAUUGUCAGUUCUUAAGCAUUUGAUUCUUUUCUUAGUUUGAUUCUGAAUUUGAGUAGCCCAGUUAGAAAGUUUCUCAAAAACAUCAGAUUUGUUUUUCAUCAAGAAAACCCAAGUUUUUCUAGAAAAAUCAUCAAUCACAGAUAAGAAAUAAGAAUUUCCACAAUGGGUGGGUACCUUUGCAGGGCCCCAAACAUCAGCAUGUAGAUACUCAAGGAUUUCUGUACUAACAUGUUCUCUAGGGUAUGAUUUGGACACAGGGAAUGCAGACUUAUGAUGCUUGCCCAUCACACAAGGUUCACAGAAUUGCAUGCUUGAGACUUUAUCCUUGCCAAAUGCACCAGCUUUUCUUAAGAUUUCUAGACCUUUGUUACUCAUGUGACCUAGCCUAGUAUUCCACAAUGCAGUCUUGUCAUCAUGCACCAAAUUAAUCACAGAUGGAGGCACAGAUUCAGCUUGGACAGCAUACAAGUCACCUUUUCUGGGAGCAGUAAAGAAGAGUUUGGAGUCCUUUUCAAAUUGAAAUCUCAAAUAGUUCACAGAUCCAUCAAGCAUUUUAUCAGCAAUUUUUGAAACAGAUAAGAGACUGAAUUUCAAGUUAGGCACAUAUCUGACUUCAUUCAAGGUCAACAAACUCCCAUUUUCAAAUUUCAGACAGACAUCUCCUUUUCCCAAAAUAUCACAUUUUUGACCAUCAGCCAAAGCUACAUGACCAGUUCUGACAGACUCCAAAUUGUGAAACAUGUGUUUGAAGGGUGUUACAUGAAAAUGCAGCCAGAGUCAAUCAACCACUCAUUGGUUUUAACAGAUUUUGACACAUCAUUGGAGUAGUUAAUGUACUGAAAAUCAUGUUCAUGCACCAUGUAGACACUAUCUUCCUCAUAGACAUUAUUAGCAUGCUUUUCAGGUUCAUUAAGAACAAAGCUCUUGUUUUUCUUAGGCAGUCUACACCUAUUUGAAAAAUGACCAGGCUUACCACAAUUCCAGCAAAGCUUUUUAGGCUUUUGAUCAAGAUUUUGGUUUCUGUACUGAUUAGGAGCAAAAUUAGGCCUUUUUUCUUCCCUUUGUCUAUCAGGUGUAACAUAUUUAGCAUCAUUGGAAGACUGACCCUUAUUGAAACUAUGAUUAGAGGUUCUCUGAUCAUUUUUGUUCGCAAACAUCACAUCACCAUGCAGAGAUUUUGGUUUCUGAAUCUUUAGUUCACUUUCUUUAGCUUUUAGGCCAUUUACAAUCAUAUCACAUGUUACUUUAGACCCUCAAUAUUUUAAUGCAAACUUGACUUCAGCAAAUGCCUCAGGAAUUGACCCUAACAGAAUUUGAGGAGCAUAUUUUUCAAUAUUAUCAUCUCCAGCAAGUUUCAAAUCUUGAUGCAGCUUAUUAAAGUCAUCCAUAUUAGAAUCAACAUCUUUGGAGGUGUCCAUUUGAAAAGACAUAAACUGAUUUUGUAAAGACCAUGCAAGUGUUUCAGAAGAUGCAGAAUACAAGGAGGUCAGUUCAUCCCACAAGUCUUUAACACUCUUAUGGUGAGACACCUUUCUUACCACAUAACUGCUCAAGUUUAACAAAAUUGUUGCCCUUGCAUUAUCAUUCAAAUCCCUUAAUUUUUCAUCAGCAGUGUUUUCAUCAUAUCUGUUCACAAUAGCUUUAUUAACCUUCUCUUUUACAAGGAUGCAUUCAAUCUUGGUUUUCCAGUCCUGGAAGUCAUCCCUUCCAUUAAAGGGAACCAUAUGCACAGUGUUCAUGAUGAAUGCAGCACUUAGUCAAGCAGAGCACAGGGCAAACCAGCCACACAACAAAAAUGGUCAAGAAGACCACAAGGAGACCACAACUGAAGUUGCAGAGCAGAGGAGAGCCUAAUUCUCAGCACAGUUUGAACUGUGGAGCAAGGAUUCACACUGGUCACCUCAGGGGCUCCAACAAUGACUAUCUCAGUCAAAAGUAGAACAAAACUCUCAAUCUGAGAGAGUUUUACAAAUGUACACAGUACCAACCAAAACAACAGAACGCAGACAACAAGGCAAACAAGGGCACGACACAGCUACACUAGAUAAACCCCUAUCUCUCUUGCUUUCCAGGAUACUCGCACGAGGAGACUUCUUUAAAGAAGAAUCCAGACGAACUGGACCAAGGCAAGAGGGAACUCGCUUGGCUUGAAAUACCAAGGGUUUAUCGAGAUGUAGAACAACAAGCGAAAGCACAAAAGCACAGGAUCGCAAGAUACCAGAAACUCAGCAAGCAAAAGCAAGCAAAAAGGGAANAGCAGCAGGCAACACCAACCCUAGAAUCUAGGAGUUUAAGGUUUAAGCCAAUUUACCAGAGCCGCCUUCCCAAGAAGGGGAGAGGCCGGUCCUACCUUGUUCCUUGCUCGUCGGGAGCGAAAAUGGCGCAGCCAAGGGGCGGCGGGGUGGGUAAGAUGUGUUCGGAGGGUGCCCUGGCUAGGUCACCGUGGCUCUGAUACCACUGUUGGGUAUCUUCGCCUAGCCAGGGUUCACCACUUGAUUCCCGAACCUCCUGUCUUCUCCACUCGUGCUCAAGCACUUGAGUCUUCGUCUUCUUCUUCUUCUUCUGAACUUUAACUUCUUGAAGCUUCAGGUCUUCAGAUCUGUAAUAAAAGAGAAAAGAAAGAUAAAAGUAUACAAGAGAAAGGAAGGAAAAGAGAAGAGAGAGUUCAGAGAGAGGGGAAAAGGUGUCCUUGGGACACGGUGGGGCUCAGAUUUUCCCCUUGUACUCAGCAACCCUUCCGGCAGCUGAAUGAUCAAGACCACAGGAUGAACAAGGAGCAGCUUCUCAGAUCUUAACAGAGCCACUAACAGCAGGAGCCAAGUACAUAACUCCGGCAGCUCAAAUCAACUCAAGUAACCACCAAACAGGGCUCCGGUGAAUAGGAAGGCCCGGUGAUACCACCACCCACACAGGGAAUCCCGUACUAUCAAAGAAGUAAUCACAAGAUUGAAAGGAAUAGCAGAGCCUCUCACACUUUGAUACUACGGUUAUCCCCAUAUGGGAUAGCAUCAGGGUUUUUAAGGGGAGCAGCAGCAACGGGAGGAAGGAGCGCCAUUGAAGGCGAUGAAGAAACCAAGGUAAAAGGACGGUGGGAGGGUGGAGGAGCCGAGGAGUCGGGGAGAGAGAGAGAGGAAUAAGAAAAGGAAGCGGCGCUGAGUAAAGUGAGAGAGAGGGUGGGGUUCGGGUGGGGUAUAUCUGAGGAUGAGUGGGCUACAGUUUGGGAAUGGGCUCGGUUCUGGGCCCAAGAGAUGGCCCAGACAAAAAUAAAAAGAAGGGGGGGAAAGAAUGAGAAAUGGGCCAACCUCACAGUUACCUCUCAAAAUAGAGGGAAAACGAAUCCCUUACUAAUGAUUCAUUUCCAUUGUUUAACCAAACACUCAAUAAAAGUAAUGGUUAUCAUUGUUACCAUUUCACUCCUUUACAUGAUUCCAUUUCCUUUUCAUUCUUUUACUUGAACCAAACGAGCACUUAGAGUUUUCGGCGAAGACUGUGUUAAAAUCAUCCGGGUAUUUAUAGGUGAGAAUAGAGAACGAGCCUUUGGAGAGCUCGUUGAAAUUCACCGCUUGUGAUUCGUCAAAAAUAUGUGCUUGUUGGUGGUUGAUGGGAUGUCGCUUUGUGUUCACAACUUGGUACACAAUCUUCUGAUAUUUCAUAUUAUUUGAUGAUCUUAUCGGACACUAAUCAGCUAGGUUGAACAACUGAUAAUUGUUGGCUGAAACAUCCUUCUUAACUAAUUGCUUCACGGUUGCUCCAACUGAUGGUUUAAUAUUAGAAGCUAAAGAUCACAUUUCUUCCUACAUUUCAACUUCUACAAAGCUUUGAGUUCCCUUUUAAUUAUCUAUAAAUAAAAAUUAACUUUCAAACAAGUAAGCUGAAAUUUGUUGAAAUAAAUGUGCAGUGUCAUUUUAUGGGUUUAGGAGGAAUCUAAUCAUAACUCAAAAUUUUCCAAUAAUUAAUUUUCUCCAUUUUGAUGAUUUCAAUACCUAACUGAUGAAAUCUGAAAUCUAAAAACUAAAUAUCGAAAGACUAAGUUAUUAAAAAAAAUAGGAAAGGUUAGUACAAUUUAUGGUAAAAAAUUCUCAAGCCCCUGUAAUAUUCUAGGGUUUCAAUUUAUUUUAGUAAAUAAUGAAUUAACUUACCUUAAUUUCAUUUGUAUAGACUAAAUUUUUGAGGGUGCGUUCUCUUUCAUAGAAAAAAGGUGGAAUGCAUAUAUUUUUUUUUACUUUUCCACACUUUUCACACGUUCCCUGUAUUGAAAAAAAUUUCUCGGGCAGGAAAAAAAAAAUUCUAGGGCAACCCCUUUUUCCCACCUUUUCACUCCAAUUAAUGAUAAUAUAUUUCUCCAUAUUGAUACUUUUGCGAUCUUUCAAUCAUUUACCCACAAAAUUUAUACAAUUUAACUUUUCUCUCUAUAUUUCUCCUUCUCUUUCUUCAUUUUCUCUCUCUUCAUAAUAAUUUUAUACUCCCUCUCUGUCCUGGUCCAAUAGUCUCAUUUCUUUUGGGCACGGAGAUUAAGAAACUUGCUUUUUUAGUGUAAAAGUGUAUAAAGGUGUGUGAGAUCAUAUUGUUUGUAAUGUAAAAUCAUUACCAAAAAUAGAAACAAGAUUAUUGGAGUGGGACAUCCCAAAAAGAAAAACAUGACUAUUAGAGUGGGACGGAGGGAGUAGUAUAUUUUUUCAUCAAAGAGAAUACGAGAUAAAAGGAGUGGAGACCACUAAAAUGUGAUAAAAUCUUUUCAUUUUUUCUUUCCUUUUAUUUUUUCAUGAUAAACUUAAAACCGAAGAGAACACAUCCCCAUAGUAAACGCCCCUAUAAUAUUUUAAUUAUUUAUUGCAAUUUUUCUUACUUUAGGUUUUCUAUUCCUUUUCGAAGUAGAAUUUAUUAUUAGUUUUUUUUUAUUAUUUAUUAUUAGUUUUUUAAAUAGCUGUUUUGAUGUUCCCUUAAAAAAUAUAGCUGUUUCGAUGUUUUGAAGUUAGACAUUGAUACUAUAUUUAGGUUUUCAAUUAAUUUUGUUUCCGUUGAAAACUGUUCGUCUUCUACAUAUAUAGUCCCUUGUCACCGUAAUUAAAAUUUUAUUUCAUUAAAAUUGGUUUUGCCCUGUAUAUAUCCUGUUUCCUUUUAUUUUUAAAAUUGGUUUUGCCCUGUAUAUAUCCUCUUUCCUUUUAUUUUUAAAAGAAAAGUAAUAUGAGGUGGUCUUGAGUAUAUCCGGAUGUACCGUACAUUCAAAUUGAUUCGUACCCAGAUCCUGACCCGCAUUUUGAUUCAAACCCGCAUCCUGGCUCAAAUCGUGUAAAUGACAUUAUUGUGUAAAUGACAUUAUUCGAUUAUACAAAUGACACUACCUGUAAUUGACACUAUAACAUUGUAAAUGACACUGUGUAUAAUUGACAAUUUGAUAUUAUUCAUAAAUAUAAAUGACACCUCCUGUAAUUGACACUAUAAGAUUGUAAAUGACCCUAUAAUAGUUUAAAUAAUACUAUAAUAUUGAAAAUCACACUAUAGCAUUUUAAAAUGUUACAGUGUCAUUUAUAUAAUUGAAUAGUGUCAAUUAUAAGCAGUGUCAUUUGUAUAACUGAAUAGUGUUAUUUAUACAAUUUGAAUCGGGAUGCGGGUUUGGAUUAGUAUGCGGGUCAGGAUUUGAAUACGGGUCAACCUGAGUGUACGGUACACCCGGCUAUACAGAAGAUUUUGGGUUCUAACAUCUAGUCUUUCUUUUAUUCGAAUGAUAUAUGCAUUAUUAAAUAAGAGGAUAAACAGAUAGCAGCACGUAUUCUAACAUCUAUUCUUUCUUUUAUUCGAAAGAUACAUGCAUUAUUAAAUAAAAAGAUAAGCAGAUAGACAUCAUAAAUAUUUAUUAUUAUUUUUUUGAUAAAAAAUAUUUAUUAGUUAAGGCAUCCGAGUUAUUUUUCGAAUGCCCAUAUUUUACUCUAGCUCCGUUAUUCAUUCAGAAAAGGUCAAUUGCUUUUGUUAAACAAAAAAUAAAGAAAAUAGCUACAUCUUUCAGCAUUUGGUAUGGAUCCCCCCAAAAAAACAAAAACAAAAAAAGAAAUAGUGGCUACAUCUUUCCGCAUUUGGUUGAUAAUAUCAGAUAUUGUAAAGCACCAAUCCAUGUUUGUUUGUUAUAUAUACACUUAUUUGGAGAUGAUCAAAUUACAAUAUCUCAUUAUUGUUUCUUUACUUUACCUAACUGAUCUAUGCCUUUUAAUAAACUUAAAUUACUUAAUGAAGAAAGGCACUUAGGCACUGAGUCACUUCCUGCCACGUCCUCCCAAAUCCUUUUUUUUUUCAAGCCAACUCCUCGUUAUUAGACUUACCACUCCCCUAGAUAAACCUAUCAAGCUUUAAAAAAACACACAUACACACAGCAAUUAUAUAAUUAAUUGAUUAAUUUUUUAUUUAUAAUAAUAAUAAUAAUAAUUAUUAUUAUUAUUAUUAUUAUACAAUUGUGAGCACUACUAUCACAUACAAAUGCAAAAUAACAGAAAGAUGUGGAAUUAUAAAGGGUUAGGUUUUAUUGUAGAAUCAUAUUUUUUGUGAUAAUUGAAAAUUAUGCAUAAAUAUAUAUAUAAAAAUACAUAAAUUAGAGAUGGUCAAAUAAUAAACAAUUAUAAUACACAAACAACCCUAGUUGAUUUGCAAUCUUGUAUAUAAAUUAUUUUUAAUUGUUCUAUAUAGUUAUCUAUUAUUCAUGUAUUUUAUAUAUUUAUAUAUGGUUCUCAGUUCUCACGAAAAGACGUAAUUUUCAGUAGGAACUAAUUAUGACUUUUAGAUAAAAGAAAAAAUAAAAUGAUGGCCAGAUUUUGCCCCUAAAUGUGCCAGAUUUCACACUCCUAUAAUUCACUUGGGCUUCAUGGUAAUUUUACAUCUCAAGAUAUAUUUACUCCAAGAUUUAAACGAUUACAAAAGUUAUUAUAUUAUUAAUUCUAUUUAAAAAUAAAAUCCAUUUUAAUUAUGUGAUAUAAAAAAUUUGUCUGUUUUGAAUCAGCGUACACAUGAUUCAGUAAUUCACUUUCAGAAUUCUCAGACCCUGAAGAUGGAGAAUUAGGGCACGAAUGAUUCUCCAUCUUCUAUACAUAACCAUCCGUAUACUUGCAAUAAUAAAAAAGUUGAAUUAUUUCAUACAAAAAUGUGUUGUUAUUUACUAAUUCGCACACUGCAAUAUUGAAUUCACGUUAUAUUUUUAUGAAUUUNGGUUUUCUUUUUAAUAUUUCUUUAACACCCUCUUGGUCCAAAUAAUAGCUACUGGGCUUAUCAAGUUUGCUCACAAACUUGGCAUUCGAAAAUAAAUUUGAAGGUACAUGAACUUUGAAUAAAAAUUGAGAUUAUAGCCCAUCUCUUAACUCAACAUAAUUUGAGUUUCUAAAUAAAAUAAUAAAGUAUUGGACUUAACUAUACAAAUUCACAUAAUCACUUGCCCAAAUAAUAGUUAUUGGGCUUUUUGCAUAAAAUUUGAGAAUUCUCUUUCUUUUUUAAAAUAAUAGAAAACAAUAUUAAUAAUAUAAAUACUGCAGUGAAAAUGUUGGGUGUUACAAAUACACAUGUGUGCCAGUUACUUGCUUAGCUCCAACAACUUAUAAAACGUAUACAAAUAUAAUUAAGGAACUUUAUUUGUAGAUGAAUUUGUGGCGAGAGCAACCGAUGGAAAAAUUGUCGAAGAUUCUCAUAUGGAGUCAUGCAUGUCUACCUUUGGCAGGUAAUUAUUCAAUUCAACCAAUUAGAUAAACUUUUAUUUCUAAUAUUCUUCGUUGUUAACAAUAUUAACUCAAUCAUUUAGGCACACUAUACCAGGAGAAACAGGGCCUUGUGGAAAAAAACAUCAAGGAAGACUAAAACAACUCAAGCUAAAGACAAACAAGUAGCUAAGGGCGUGUUUGAAAUUAAUUGUUAGGCCCUGGUAAGGGCGCUUAUUAGAUUAAUGUGGGCGUUUGAAAUUCAAGCAACGUAACAUGGGAAGCCCGUAAGUGAAGUUGGGCCCAGCCACCAAUCCACUGUUCCGCCAAGUAAAUGGAUGAGGGGGAGUACGUAAGUUAAGGAAACUAGGUUGCUACAGUGCAUACACCUAUAUUUCAAAUACAUAAUCUACAUAUCAUGAAUAACUUAGUGGAUUUCAAACGAUUAAAUACUGAAACACUACGGGCCCACCCGCCUUCCUUUUUCCUUGAGUUUCCUUAAGUGGGUUUAGCAUAACAAGAAAAUCAAACGGGCCCUAAGGGUACAAAACUAGAGAAAAACUAUUGUCAUUAUAGACACUUAAUCUUUGUAUGAUUGAUGGGAGUUUCUGUGCAACAUUAUCAAUAAAGAAGGCAAAGAAAAUGAAGUCUAACACUACAAAAAAAUUUACCGGACUCCGACGGAAAAUAGAUACCGACGGAACAACGACGGAAUUCCGACGAAGAUGUUUUCAAAAGUUUAUCGACGGAAUUUUUAACAACGGAAAAUAAUCCGUCGUUUGAUAUUAUUUUUUAUUUUUAAUUUAUUUUUUUAUUAUUUUUUUAGAAUUACUGACCGAAUAGCGACGGCAAAUAAUCUGUCGUUAAAUAUUAUUUUUUUUAUUUUAUUAUUUUUUAGUCUUACCGACCGAAUAGCAACAGAAUUAUUAGCGACGUAAUCCGUCGUUAAAUAUUAUUAUUUUUAUUUUUUUUAAAUUUCAGUUCGCAACGGAAAAUAAUCCAUUGGUAAAUAUUAUUAAUUUUUUAUUAUUUUUAAAAAAAUAUUUUUUAUUUUUUAUUUAAUAUUCCAUUUUUUUAUUUUUAAAUUAUUGAGAAUAUUUUAAAAUUUAUUGUUAUUUUCAACAAUAAUAUUUUUUUAAUUAACGAUAAUAUUAAUUUUAUUUAUUAUUUUAAAUUUAGAUCGUAUAUUUUCCGUCAUUCUUUCGUCGGCACCACAAGUCUUAGAUAUUAUCUCGACAUAUUCUAAGGUUAUGGAUAAAUGAUAUUAUAUAUUGAAAUAGAACCUGCCGCCGGUUGCCACCGACCCGGCACCACCUCCAGCCUCCGGUCCGCGGCUUCUUCUNUAUAUAUAUAUAUAUAUAUAUAUAGGAUUGAUAUGAUUGAAACAUGAUUAAAUAAUCAACUUAAUCUUAGAGUUAUAAAUAAUCAUUCAAUUGCAUGACUACGUGCAUGGCGAAUUAUCUAUCACUGGUCGAAUUGUGAAAAUACUUGAUUAAGUUUGAUUAUUUAUCAAUCAUGCUUUAUCAUUCAAAUCAAAUGCCUCCAAAAAAAUAUUGCUUUUUUUAUGUACAUAAUAAUCCUUCUUUAUGUUAAUGUUUUUUUAUAUACUACAUCCGUCGACGAAAAUUAUGUUAUAAUUUUUUUUAUUUGUCCACAAAAAAUAUGUCACAUUCAUUUUUAGUAGUAGGAUCUACACUAUUCCACUCACAUUUAAAAUGAGACCCUUACUACACUAUCAACUCCACUCACAUUUUAUUAAAAUUCGUGUCAAAAGCAGUGUGGUGUAUUUAUCGUGGAUAGAGAGUAUAUAACUCUCGAAAGUGGGAAUUAUCACAUAUAGCCCUUUUUGUUAAAAACAUAAGUUUUAUGGCCCUAGUUUAUAAGAGAUAAUUUAUAUAGCCAUUUUAGGCUUAAAAGACUAUAACACCUUUUACUUUUUUGUAUUUUAUUUAACAUUAUACAUUAUAGUUUUAUUUUACAUUUUCUUCUCUACACAUUCUCUCUCUACAUCAAAAUUGCCUCCGGCGGGUCGCCGCCGCUGCGCUAUUCCAGUCACCGCCGCUGUACUCGAUGGCACCAUCGAGUAAUGAAAAAAAAUAAAGAUUUUCUAUAACACUAUCGAGUAAUCGAAGUACUCAAUGGUGUACACGAUGGCACCAUCGUAUACACCAUCAAGUAAAUGAAAAUAUAAAAAAAUUAAAGGAUAUUAUAGUCUUUUAAACUUAAAAUGACUAUAUAACUCAUAUAUUAUAAAUUAGGGCUAUAAAACUUAUGUUUUUAUAAAAGAGGAUAAUAAGAUUUUCCUCUAUAUUGCUGAUGAAAGUUAAUUCACUUUUACCAUAAAAAAUAUGACAAAGAUUUUCCUUUCUGGAAAGGGACUUUGAUGCCUUUUACCCCAACAUUAAUAGUAAUAAUAAAAAAAUAUAUUUCUAAUUGAAUUAUGGAUGAUUUAUACUCCCUCCAUACCUAAAAUAAGUUCCUUUUUUUCAUUUUUGGGACGUCCCCCAAAUAAGUUCCUCUUUAUUUCUUUCCAUUUUUGGACAACUAUCCCACCACUAAUAAUACUUUAUUUAUUCUUACUUUUCACUUUUUCACCACUCCCAAUACUAAUUAUAACACUUUUUCACCUUUUCACCACUCUCAAUAUUAAUUAUAACAUAUUUUUCUCCACUAUCAAUACACUUUAUCACUUUUUCUUAAAACUCGUGCCGUCCCCAAAGAGAAACUUAUUUUGGGGACGGAGGGAGUAUUAAAUAUUCUAAUUUUAAGACAAUAUUGGUAAGAGAUAUAAAGACAUGAUAUAUACCAAAAUAAUCUCAGUUCAAUUAGGUGUUUGAUACUCUAUAUUAUUAACACGUGCAGCUUGUGUUGUUGGAGGUGGUCAAUGGCCGAAGAUGCUCUAGGGUAGGGGUUGGGCGUUGGUGGGUGGAAGGUUUCUUUGUUGCUGGGGUAGGGGAAGGAGGCCGAACCCAAAACAACAUUUCAUCACUACUCUUUACAUCUGGACUAGAGGGAGCAUUAACACAUUCGUCAUCCAUUUCAUCGUUACGAUAUUCAAGUGAACGUGCUCUGUCAUCAUUAUCGCUUUCGUCCAAAUCGAAAACAACAUUAAAUCGAAUUUAACAUCAUAUGGGUGUCUACCAUUUGAAUCGAAAUCCAUUUUCGCGGCAAUAUUCAAAAUUCAGAACAGGGGAAUCAUGUCAUUAAAUUGAAGUUAUAACCUCAAAUCACAUGAUUCCACAUAAAAUACAAUUCCCAAAUACAUAUAUUUCGAGCUUACUGUCAAACAAAUUCGAACUAUAUUUCAGCUGGAAACAUGAAACAAUAUGUCAAACAACCAUAAAUAAUAUAAAAUUUUCAAUUCUUACGUUAUAGGUCUUCAUUACACAACAACUAAGACAUAGACCCAAUAUUAAUUUCAAUUUCAGCCUUCAAAUUUAACUGCAUCAGAUCGCACCGCAUUAGUGGUGAAGAAAAUAAAGACACAUAAAAUGAGCAAAAACAAAUUGGGGAUAACACGGAAUUAGGGCUCAUAACAACAAAACCAUCUCCUACACAAAUAAUACACAACUCAAUUUUAAAAAAUAAUAUAAUACAGUCUUUUGUACAUCUUAGUUCCAUUCGAAAUACCUAUCACAACCACCACCAACGAAAAGCAGACUUUCUGCACAUUAAUUUUAAAAAAAUAAAUAAAAAUACGAUGGUGUCAACUCCAAGACAAACAUCAGGGACUUUUUUUGGGAGCCUUUUUGGAAAGUAGACAGAGUGUCGAGAAGCCCUCCACCAGCUGAGCCAGAUCCACCUUCACCGACGUUUUUUCGGCACCGACGUGUUCAUCAAUGCCUUCUAAAGAAUUUUGACCAAUGUCGGGGCCUUUUUUCCCACCAUUUAUUGAAGUUAUAACCUCAAAUCACAUGAUUCCACAUAAAAUACAAUUCUCAAAUACAUAUAUUUUGAACUUACUGUCAAACAAAUUCGAACUAUAUUUCAGUCGGAAAUAGGUGACAAUAUGUCAAACAACCACAAAUAAUAUAAACAUUUCAAUUCUUACAUUAGAAGUUGUUGGGACACAAAAAGAUAUAUCCAACCUCCUGGUUUUCAUGAUACCAAAACUGUUAGAAAGUCUCUCUAGACUAUUAUUCUUCUUGGACUUAAGUGUUUUAGUCCUCACUAGUUUAGACUGAAGACCAACGUCUGAAGACACCUGACUAAAGCCUGAAGACUGAAAUCAAAAGAAGUUGAACUAAAGAACUACAGACACUUGAUUGAUGAACGAGGCGAUCUCUGAUCAGCCGAAUCAAGUGAAGGAUGCGCACUAAAGAUGCAAAUACUGGAAUAACAUCAAGGACACUAUCUCAGCCGGAAUAUUCAACUGAUGAACUUUAGCUGAAUACUUUCUCUGACUAGCUGGCGAUUCGCGGACUGAUACAUUGGAAAGCUUCAGUCUGUCUCCCAAGAAACUGAAGUAGUUAACAGCCGUACAUGGUGAAAUUAAUGCAAAGGACAGAAGCAUUAAAUGUCGAAGCUAGGAGAUUGUCCUUCUUGACACAAAGCUUCUCUUGCUGUGUCACAUCGGCCUGCAACACCAUCUCUAAGAAAGAAGACUUUACUUCUUUCAGAUUCAAGGAGAUCAGAAGAUUGAAGACUUGAGCCCAAAUUCAAAGUUGUCUCACAAUGGUAAAUUUCUAAAGACAAUCUCCACCAACGGAUCUUUUCAAGACUUUGCCUAUAAAUAUGCUCAACGUUCAAGUUCACUCUUUACCAAUUCAAGCACACCUCGCUGAACCUCUACCAAAUCCGCAAGUCAGCCUACUCAUGCUUAUCCAUAGUUUGAAUCGAAGAAGAGAAUACACCAAGCCAAAAAUCAAUUAUUUGAUUACAUAUAUUCUCUUAGAAUCUCUAGGCAUCCCUUUGUAAAUCCUAAGCCUAGAUGUGAAUUACAGAGAGCUUGUUCUCUGUAAUUUAAUUGGUAGUACAAACUCCAUUUUCAACCAAGCGAAAAGAGUGUUUGGGAGAUAAAGUUUUAGAUGAUUGUCUAAACUCGAAGAGUUCUUAGCCCCCGCAAGCAAGACGAGUGAAGUCUUAGCUAAUCUGCGAGAUUGAGAAAAGAGACGAGAAGUCCAACCCAGUGUGUUGGCACUAAAAUGGUAGUUCAGUUGUAAGGUUUGCUGUGCACCCGUAAUGUUGGAAAAUAGAAGAAUUAUUUGAUCCCAGUUUUUAUGAUCCCAAAACCCUUAGAUUCAUUUUCUUAGACUAGAUCUUUUGCCUGAACUCAACUAUUAGAGUUCAGUCCUUUGACUAGAGUGAAGGUAACUGAUAGAUAUAGUCUCUCGAUGACAAAGACUGAAGACUUUGAAGACCAAAGCUCAACUGAAGACUGAACAACGGAAGAAAGAUAUUGGAAAUACAAAGGACAUUCUUACUGAAGUCAACGACUGAUCAUGUGCACGACUGAUCAUGUGCACAACUGAUCGAUGAAACCUUAUCAGUUGACUCUUGUACUCAGACUGAAGAUCAGAAGAUUUGCAUUAAAUGCUUCUGCAACGACAUUAAAUGCAUCAGAUUUGAAGAUCGUCCUUUCCAGUACAAUGACUUUCCUUUUUGGUGCCAAAGUUCUAACGCAUCAUGCUCCUAAAACAAAGAGGAAUCAAACUCUUAACCAAUUAGGAGCAAAGCAGAUUGAAGCCUCAUCCCAAAAAUUCGGAACGUCUCACAACGGCAAAAAUCCUGAAGGCCAUCUCUCCAACGGAUCUAUUCAAGACCCUGCCUAUAAAUAGAGCUCGAGGAAGAUCUUCAAUCUGGUGGGAAUACCGAUUCGAAGACAUACACUGAAGUUCUGCCAUAUUAUAGAGCCAACAAUUCCUUAGAUUUACUAAUGUCGAAUCGAAUAAUAGAGUAAAUCAUUGUUGUAAAAUCAGUCUAGCUGAUUAUCAAAAGUCUCUUAAUAGACUAGGUACAUCAUGUAAUAUCAUAAGUCUAGUCUAGAUUACAUGAGAGUGUUUUCUCAGUAAUCUUAGUUGGAAGUGCUCAAACCACAUCUCUACAAGAGAAAAUGCUGAGUGGUUGUUUAGUAUUGUUAAACUAAGCAGUUGGUCCCUUGGCACCAGUCAAGCUAAGUGGUUGUGGUUUAGUACCAGGAAACUAAACCAUAUGUCCCUUGGCACCCGGUAAGCCAAGUGGUUGUGGUUUAGUACCAGGAAACUAAACCGUAGGUCCCUUGGCACCCAGUAAGUCAAGUGGUUGUUGUUUAGUACUAGGAAACUAAACUAGGUAGGUUACCUUGGUACCUCAAACCAAGAGGGAGUCCAGCUUAAAGGUUCUGGCUCCAAUUACCUUAGCAUUAGUUGAUUGGACACGACAGUGUCAGGGCGUGCUAAGUGUUAAAACCAAUUCAGUUGGAUUGGUAGGUUUGGUGUGCACCUCUAAGCAUUAGCCCAGAGAAGUUUGUCAGACAAAUUAUCUGGUUGUGGAUGUAGGGGAGAAGUCUCUGAACCACGUUAAAAUCCUUGUGUUCUUUAUUUGUUUUUCGUUAUUUCCUUAUCUGUGCUAAACUGAUUCCAAUUGCAUUGGAUUAACUGAAAAGUGUAACUAAGAAUUUUUCAACUGACAAACAUAUUUCUAAAGGCUAUUCACAUUAAGUUUAAAUUCCGCUGCUGAGUUAUUAAUCCUACUGACGAUUCAACUGAUAGUCAGAACUAUUAACAACUCAACUCUGUUUCACAAACUAUAGACUGAAGCCUUACGUAGACAUCAGUUAAGCUCAUGUGCUCGACUGAUGUCAAUCUACUGAAGCAUCUUCAGUAACAGUCUUCAACCUGUUUUCUAAACUGGAAAUUGGUUAAGUUUGAUUAUGCCUUGUGAAAAAUAGCCCACAUGUGUAUUCCCUCCCCCCACACACCUGUCAGUCAACCCUCCGGGACCCCAACACGUAAGCAGAAGCCUAGUGGUUGUCAGUCUAACCAGCUGACCGUGGAUGUAGGAUUUUGAUCCGAACCAUGUAAAAUUCUUUGUGUUCUUUACCGCUUUCAGUUGUUACUUUUCUUUUUAUGUGCUCAAUUUUUACUUUAACUGAAUCUCGUAUAAGUGAAAAGAUAAAUAUGAAACCUGACAACUCAACCUUCAAAAAGGUUAUUUUGUAAAAAAUCAUCUUUCCGCUGCGAGUGUUAGUGAUUGAACUGAUAAAUCUUUGAUUUGUCCGUGAAAUUCAUAACACUUAUCUGAUUUUACUAACACUAGACUGAAGCAUAAAUUGGAUCAAUUUGUUCAUUGAUCUGUUUCUUGAACUGAACUAUCAUCAAAUUCAGCCUAGUGCUCACUCACAAACUUGAAACUCCUUGACUGAAAUUUUGUGUCGUCUUAUCUCCAGUAUCUAUCAACAUUACUUCAGUUUACAGAAGUGAGUAUUUCAAAAGAAGCUUUAAAAGUUUCAAAAGUCAAAAUUAGCCUUCUGGUGUAUCCCCCCAUACACCAGUUCCGUAACCCUCAUGGACCCAACAGAAGUCUUCAUUACACAACAACUAAGACACAAACCCAAUACUAAUUUCAAUUUCAUCCUUCAAAUUUAACCGCAUCAGAUCACACCGCAUCACUGGUGAAGAAAAUAAAGACACAUAAAAUGAGGAAAAACAAAUUGGGGAUAACACGAAAUUAGGACUCAUAACAACAAAACCAUACCUUGGACUCCUAGACAAGUAAUACGCAACUCGAUUUCAAAAAAUAAUAUAAUACAGUCUUUUGUACAUCUUAGUUCCAUUGGAAAUACCUAUCACAACCACCACCAACGAAGAGCAGACUUUCUGCACAUUAAAUUUAAAAAAUAAAUAAAAACAAGAUGGUGUCAACUCCAAGACAAACGUCAUGGACUUAAUUUUUUUUUUUUGGAGCCAUUUUGAAAAGUUGACACUGCGUCGAGAAGCCCUCCAUCAGCUGAACCCAGAUCCACCUUCACCGGCAUUUUUUCGGUGCCAAUACGUUCAUUAAUGCCUUCUAAAGAAUUUCGACCAAUGUCGGGGACUUUGUUUUCCCACCAUUUAUGAAAAUCCAAACACCUAUCGACUCACCACGAUUAACCCUAUGCGAAUAUGCUUUCACCGACGUGAUUUAGUCUCCAAAACAAAAAACCGACUUUGAAUCAACGUUUUGCAUCGUUUUUUAUGGAGAAGAGUGCAGCUGACACACGAAAGGACGGUGGGACCUAUCAUCAACCAUGGUUAUAAUUAAAUUUUGAAUUAUUUAUAAUACAUGCACUCAAUGUUAAUUACAAUUUUGCCGUGACACUUGGCAUGAUCCUAUCGGGAUCAUGCACUACAUUUUAAUCAUGAAGGAAUUUUUCGUUUAUAUGGGACGGGGGGAGUAUGUCUUUCUUGCACUAUCUUGUUGUAUGAUAUAACAAGUUGUAUAAGAGAGUAGCUUGUAUUUUUUUUACCAACCAAUAAUAUUAAUUAUUUCAAAAUUUUAUCUUGCGUACCAAUUACCAAAUUCCUAAAUAAAUAAAAUCUUUCACUUUUUCUAUGUUAUUUUUUCUUAAUUUUAUUUUAAACUCGGGACAAAUUAUCUUUGUUCUGCUCUCUCAAAAAAAAAAAAUGAGUGAUGCUAUUUGGCCAUAUUAUGGAUGGCCAUUAUAACUUUAAAUUCAAUGUAUUUAAAUAUUUUUGUUCAAAAUAAAAAUAGAAUGUUGUUAGAUUUAUUAUUUUGUCACAUUACAAUUUUAUUUGUUAUUUUUUUGCAAUUAUUUAUUUAUAUUUCAGUUUUUUAAAAAUAACUAAAAUGUGUAAAAAGUUUUAUUUUUAUUUCAAAUAUAAAAAAUUAAAUACAUGAAUUUUAUAAUACUAUUUUGUUAGCUAAAACAGUUUUUCCCAAAAAAUAUCUUUGUUAUUAUGAAGUAAUAAAAGAAGUUAGCAAUAAUUGGAUUUGGGUAUCGAUAUGACCAACCGCCAUGUGGCGGUAUAGAUAAUUCCGCACAACACGUUUUGGCAGACCACGACCUUUACUUCUCGGAAACUUCUUCUGUUUCAGUUAGGAAUACCUCUACUUCAUCUCUCUUUUAUUCAUCCCCCAAAUCACAACCUCACCCAAAUUCCCUAAAAUUUCAAUCUUGAGCUCUACAGAUUCAGAUAUGUGCUGCGGCGGCGACGACGACGAUUGCAGAUGCCGCCCCUUGGGCUUUCUCCUCGGCCUGCCCUUCGCCUUUGUCGCCCUCCUCCUCUCCAUCGUCGGCGUCGUCAUCUGGAUCGUCGGGUACCUCUCUCUCUCUCUCUCCCUCUAGCAUUUAUAAAUUGAAAUCCUUGCUGAAAUUUAGGUGGACUGGGUAAAAAAUAUAUUAGGUCAACUAUAUUAGAAUGCAGAUUUUUGGUGAAUUAACGAAUUAGUUGUUUUGGCGAUUGCAGGAUUUUGCUGAGCUGCUUGUGUCCGUGUUGCCUGUGCGUGACGGUGAUCGUAGAAUUAGCGAUAGGGCUGAUAAAGGCUCCGUUUUCUGUGAUGAAGUGGUUCACCAAGCAGAUUCCUUGUUAGAUUUUUAGAUUCUUUUAUGAGUGUGUUGAUUAAUUAGAUUAAUUCAUUUGUUUUCCGUAAUACUGUAUUUGUAUCUAAAUGUUGUUAGUCAUUAAAUUUGAUUGGUCCACUUACUCCACUAAUACGUAAUGACUUCAUUAAUUUAGAAAACUCACGAAAUUAUAAAAGAUCUUAGCUGUCGUACAACUGUAUUAUUGGUGGAGGUUAAUAAUAACCAAAGAAAAUCGUGAGGAAGUCAAACUAGGGAAAAUAAGUACUAACAAAAUACUCCCUCCGUUUCUAUGGUUUCGUCAAGUAAUCUCGGCAAUAAAAUUAUAAUACUCGAUAGAUAAUAAUUUAGUUCGGCUAAUAUAUUUUUAAAUUUAAAUGUAUAAUUAAAUUUAUAACUAUUGAAAAUAGUAAUUUUCGAAGCAUGUUUAUUAUGUGAAAUAAAUACAAGCAAGUUGAAAUUGAAUAAAUUUCCCUUAUUUUAAAAAAAAUUAAACAUAUAUAUAUGUAUAUAUAUUGUCUUAUCAAUGAUCAGUGGUCAUUCCUUUCACGAGAUUUCAUAUUUUCGGCCGCUAGUAUUUGGCAAGGAAUUUUUGAUUGUUGGCAGAAUUUUGUUUAAUUCGGCAAAAAUAUUUUUAUAUUUAACUAUAUUAUUAAAUUAUAAUUAUGACCAAUAUCGUAGUAUGUUUAUUAUGUAAACUAAAUAGAAGCAAUUUUAAUGUGAAUAAAUUUCCUUUAUUUUGAAAGAAUUUAUAUAUUUUUUAUUCCUUCAAAAUGCAGUUUUCAUGCAUUACACGAUUUUCCAAGUUUUCGGUAGCUAUUAUUCGACAAACCAAUUUGAAUGCUUGGCAGACAUUAGUUUAGUUAGGCAACAAUAUUUUUAUAUUUAUAUAUAUUAUUAAAGUUAUAAUUAAGAAAAAUAUUAAUUUUCAAAGUAUGUUGAUUAUGUGAACUAAAUAGCGGCAAGUUCAAUUAUAAGAAAUUAGCUUUCUAAAAAAAGAAUUUAUACGUUUAUUUUAUUCCUUCAAAAUACACUUGUAAUGCAUCACCAUUUUCCAUGGUUUUGGCAGCUGUUAUUCGGCCAGCCAAUUUUAAUGCUUGGCAGACAUUAUUUUAGUUCGUUAACAACAUUGUUAUAUUUAUAUAUGUUAUUAAAUUCAUAAUCAUGAAAAAUAUUAAUUUUGAAAUUAUUUUUAAAGAGAUGCAGUUGUUUUUUUUAAGAGAGUACGUUUUUUUUUUUUUUGCUAAAAUUCGAAAAGUCUUUCCCUUUAAAGGCGGUUUAUUUCAUUUUAGGUAUUUUUUUUCCGCUCUUGUUUCUCUUCUUCUCCAUUUUCUUCUUCCGCCUCGUUUUCGAUUUUGCUCUUCCUUUUGGUGAAUUUUGUUGUAAAUCGGUUCGUUGUUUGGAGGUCGCUCUUCGUUUCGUAUCUGUGUUGGUGAAUCGUUCUUCAUUUCAGAUCUCGUUUGGUGGUGAAUAUGGCUCUUCUUUUCGAUUUUCUUACUUUUAAGUUUUUGUAAUUGUGUAAUUCUAUGGCUUAUUUUUUUAAACCCACUUUUCAGUGAUACGAUGGCAAAGCUAAAAAGGCUGAAGAAGAAAAAGAAUAGGCCAGUUCUUCUGGUAUUUUUCUAUGUAGACUAUGUUUCGACAGUUUUUCACACACACACAUAUAUACAUGUAGUUGCUUUAAAGCAUAGUAGUUGGUGGAGGUGUUGGUUUGGUAUACUUAUAAAAAUCCAAAAUUUGGGCGGAAAUUCGGCGACACGUGCGGCCACGUCACGCGGCCGCAUGGCAAGGCCGUGUGACCUCGCGCGGCCGCGCGCCACCCCUGUGCGGGCCUCCAGAACUUCAUGUUCCGUCGUGCGGCCGUGGCAUGCGGCCGCAUGCUCGGACCGCGCGACCUCUGACGCGUGUGCUCCGACCCGUGAACUUCCCGACGCUCGUUCUUCCUCGUCCGGUGUCCAAUUUGACCUCCGUUACUCGUCUCUUCAAGUACUUCUCUCUACUAUCAUCAAAAUCAUCCCAGUUCGAGUCCAAAACCUGUAAAAACAGCACGAGCACGGACGAGUAGUCUAUUUCCCAAAAAAAUAUGCAAAUUAAACCAUAGACAACUCAACAACUCAAUAAGAAACGCCCAAAACACUAAAGAAUAACACGAUAAAUGAGUGAAAAAUGCAUGUAAAUCAUUCAAUAAAUGAAAUACAAAAGUGUGUACAAAUCCAAAAUAUAUGGAUUGAGAUGAAUUUGUUGCGGGUUGCGAUUCUCUACUUUAAUCCUCUGAUUCUCAUCUUCAAACUUCUUCAAAUCCUUGGAGGGAAAUAUAGGGAAAUAUAAUUUCUUGAUCUCCUUGAACUUGAACGUUGACUUGAAUUUGAUUUGAUAACGUCAAUCCAGAGGGCUUCCACCUUAUUUCUGAAUCAAACGUUGACUUGGAUGAAUUUGAUGAAGAACUCUUUGAUUUUCUUUGUAGAACACCUUGAUUGUUGGAGAUGACUUCGUUGUAGAGAAUUAUUCCUUCAAUGUUUGAGCUCUCAAAAUGAUUUCUGUUCUCUUUGACUCCACAAAUGACCUUUAUUUAUAGGUGAAGAUCGAGUGGGCUGGUAGGCUUUGGGCCAUCAUUUUGGGCUUUUAGGGCUGAGGUGACGCGAUUUGAUUGGCUCCUCAAUAUUUGUAUUUAUUAUCUAUAUAAAAUAUUUAAUAUUUUAUGUAGAUUUUCCACAUGUCAAUUUCUGAUUGGUCAAUAAGUCUACAUAAUCAAAUAUUAAUUAUAUAUUUAUUUAAUCUUGAAAUUAUAUUUAAUUUAAUUCUAAAAUAUAAAAUAAAAUAUAUAAUUUCAUAUUUAAUUUGUAAUUUCCACAUGGCAGGAUUUAAUAGGCUAUAAAUUUAAUUGCCUACAAGCUCGGGGUAAUGAUAUGCUAAAACUUCCAAAUUUUUUAUUGGGUAGAAAUCAAAUACUCAUUAGAUUGUAAUCCUUGUAUUACUAUUUUAAACAAAAUACCAAGACGUAAUUUAAGGAACUUAUUCAAAUCCAAUAAAAGUUAUUUAAGGAACUUAUUCAAAUCCAAGACGUAAUUUAAUUCCCCUACAAAAAAUAGUGAGUUUACAUAUUUUAUAAUGUGUUAUUUUAGGUUAUUAUAUUUAUAUAUAAAAGUUAGACAAUCCCAAAGAUCGUGUGGCCUAAUGGAUAAGGCGCUCGCCUCCGGAGCGGGAGAUUGUGGGUUCGAGUCCCAUCACGAUCGCUAGCACAAAAUUAACAAAUUUUAUUUGUUAAUUUUUUAAUUCUUGACUGCAGAAAUAAGAAGACAUGGGAGACGUUGGGCCAAUAAUAUGAAGCAUUGUACAAUAAGCUUGUUUUGCAAUGCUUUUAAGAUCUUGGGCUUAUGCUUGGGCUUAGUGAUUGUCAAAGGCCUUUAGAAUUAUAUUUUUACUUUUUAUUUUUGUGAAGCGAAGGCCUUUUGAAGUUCAUGUUUAGUAAUUUCUAUAUUCAAUUAUUUUUCUCUCAUUGUAAACAUUUUUUUUUUUUGAUCGGGAAAAGAAAAUUUUAUUAAAAGAGAAUGCGAGGUACCAGGGGUACCAAAAAAGGAAACAACAAUCCUGUGUCAAAGGCAAAGAUAAACAUCAGAAGAAUAAAGUUCAAAAAAACCAAGCUCUGCAACCCCUAAAUUGUGGCUUUAAACAUCCAAGAUCUAAAAUCUGUAGAUUGGAUCUCCAACUUGUAAACUUUCUUCCAACUCCAGAUCAAAGAUUUAAUCUCCAAGACCAUCUUUUCUUUGUUCCACCCCCCAGUGUUGAAAAUGCCGUCAUUCCUCGCUUUCCAAAUACACCAAACCGUGCAAAUCCACACACAAGAAAGAAGAGAUGUCGCUUCUUUACUCCCCAAGCUCACAAAAGCACUAAAAUGAUCCUUUGCAUUACAAUUCAAUGCCGUUUGAAAGCCAAGCCAGUUGAGUAAAUCAUGCCAUACCUCCACAACCUUUUGACAUGUGAAGAAAAGAUGGCCCAUUUCCUCAAAAUGCGACUUACAGAAAAAACAGUCAGAAUCCGGCGAAGGAAUGAACACCUGUCUUUUUCGGAGAUUGUCGUGAGUAGCCAUCCUUCCUUUGAGAAUUCUCCAAGCCGUUGUUUUUGUCUUAUGAGGGGCAGGAGCUUUCCAGAUCUGUUUAAACUCCGGUUUUCUCCUUUGUAGUCGUCGUGUAUCUCCACUUGUUCUAAUCGCCUUAUAGGCUGAUUUGACUGAAAAAUUGCCAUUUUGGCCAGGUUUCCAUCUCCAUCCGUCUGGCUUUCCUGCAAUCAGAUUAGAGUUACUGAUAAAGGAAAAAAGAUCAGCAAGUUGAGCUUUUUCUCUGUCCCUAAGCUCACGAUUCCACACCAAAUUCCACUCCCAAACUCCUUCCUUCCAUUCCCCCAUGUUUUUAAGAACCUCCCUCUGGUUGCAACACAAUCGAAAAAGCCUAGGAAAUUUUUCACUCAAGCUCUUAUCACCAGCCCAGCAGUGUUGCCAAAAAAGGAAAGAAUUCCCCUCCCCAACAUCGACGACGAUAUUCUCCCUAAACCAUCUUCCCCCAUCUCCCCGACUAAGUCCCAUCACCUUCUUCCACCAGCCCCAUUUUGGUUCCUUAACAUUGUCAAACCGAAAUCCACUAUCAUCCCAAACAAAAUUACCCUUGCAAGCUUUCACCACUCUAACCCAAAGAGAAUUGCUCUCAUUGAGGAAUCUCCAAAUCCACUUUGCCAUGAGAGCCCUAUUGAAACUAUCCAAGUCUUUAAAACCUAAACCCCCUUCUUCCACUUCCUCACAAAGGGCCUUCCAUUUUACCCAAUGAAUUUUUUUCCCCUCCGAAUCCCCCCCCUCCCCAAAGAAAAUGACACAUCAUCGCUCUAAUUUCUGCCAAGGCACUCUGAGGAAGAAUUGAGAAAGACAGUUGGUAAAUUGGGAUAGCAAAGAGAAUUGAACGGAGCAGCGUGAUUCUCCCGGCAAAAGAGAAUUUACGAUCUGACCACCUGUUGAUUCUCCUCUUGAUUUUAUCAACCACAUACUUCCAUUCAUUCACCCGAGACAUCCGAGCCCCGAUCAUGAUACCCAGAUAUUUCGUUGGAAAAUCAUCGAUACGACAUUUGAGAAUUGUCGCGAACUGAUCUCUUGUUUGUUCUUGAACUCCCACUCCAAAGAUGUUGCUCUUAUCAAAAUUGACCCUCAAACCGGAAAGUACUUCAAAAAGUUUGAGUAUACUUUUAAAAGCCCAAGCAUUUUCACUUUUUCCUGAGGCAAUAAACAUAGUGUCAUCUGCAUAUUGCAGAUGAGAGACUCUAGUACCAUUACUACCAACUUUAACAGGUUCGAGAAGACCCCUGUCGACUGCUCUCUCAGUGAGAAGAUUGAGACCCUCAGCCACAAUAAGAAAGAGAAAAGGAGAAAGGGGAUCACCUUGUCGUAGGCCUCUUUUCAACUGAAAUUGCCCUGAAGUACUGCCGUUAACCAGGACGUUUGCAGAGGCUGAACAUAAACACCCUUUCAUCCAAUUUCUCCAUCUUGUGCUAAAAUUCAUCAUUUCAAGCAUAAUGUCGAGGAACUCCCAAUCCACUGUGUCAUAAGCUUUUGCGAAUCAACCUUGAAGAGAAUUGUCGCCUUUUUCCUUUUCUUUGCUUCCUCUAUGAUCUCAUUCACUACAACAACACCAUCGAGAAUGUACCUCCCUUCAAUGAAUCCGCUUUGACAAUCCGAGAUGAGAUGGUGCAUAACUUUCUUCAAUCUUGAGGCGAGAACCUUGGCUAAUACUUUGUAUAGGCAGUUAAUUAACGAAAUCGGCCGGAAGUCCUUCAAUUCUGAAACCUCUUCUUUCUUCGGUAUCAAGACGAUAAAAGAUGGAUUACUUCCUCUGACAAGCUUUCCAUGACUGUGGAAAUCGUUUAAUGCUCCAAGAAGAUCUCCUUUAAUAAUGGACCAACUCUUUCUUAAGAAGAGAAAGUUGAAUCCAUCGGGUCCAGGACUUUUCCCUCCUUCACAAUUCCAGAUUGCCUCUUUAACUUCCUCUUCUGUAAAAGCCGAAUCCAAACUGUUCCUCAUUUCGUCCGACAAUUUUUUAUGAACGAAAUCGAAAGGUAGGAUCGGUUUAGUACCAACUUGUUGGCGAAAUUGUUUUUCAUAAUGUGAGCGAACACAAGCUUUCACUUCUGCUGGUUCUUCAACCCAAGUGUCGUUGAUGGAGAGCCCGGAAAUUGCAUUUUUUAUUCUUCUCCCAGAAAUGAUCUUAUGAAAGUAACUACUGUUGAUGUCUCCGUCUUUCAACCACCUCUCUCUCGCUUUCUGUGAAAGUAAACUGUCUCUGUUCUUAAGCUGGAAAAACAGGUUGGACUCCACUUCUUUCCUUUUGACAAUGUCGUCUUCGAUCAGCCCCAAGGUGUCAUCCUCGAUAUCCCAUUCUUCUAAUUUAGAUUUGAGUCUUGCAAUAUUCUCUUCAAUUAAUCCGAAGUUCUCUUUGUUCCAUCGCUUCAAAUCUUCCUUCAACCUCUUUAAUUUUUCUUUAAAUAUGAAGCAGUACCAACCAGAGAUCCCAUCUCUAUUCCAUGAUUCCGAAACGACCUUAUCGAAUUCUGCAUGAUUUGUCCAAGCAUUGAUGAAACGAAAAGGCUUAGGCCCCCAAUCAACUGAUUUUGUGUCGAGAACAAUUGGGCAAUGAUCCGAAACCGAUCUUGGUAAUCCUCUUGCUUUUGUAUGCUGCCAAGUCUCCAGCCAUUUCUCAUUAAUCAAAAAUCUAUCCAACUUGGUCUUACAAUUUCCUUGUGGCUGGUACCACGUGAAGAACCUACCCUGAAGUCUAACAUCAGUCAGGUUGUUUCCUUUGAUGAAGUUAUCAAAGUUCUGAAUAUCCCUUGAUGGAAAUUGAAUACCUCUUCCAGCUCUUUCUGCACUUGCUCUAACUGAAUUAAAAUCCCCACCCACACAAAUACAAACAUUUUUGUUUUGUGCCAACACCAAACCAAUUUUAUCCCAUAAGACUUCUUUAUCAAUCAAAUUUUGAGGAGCAUAUACGUUAAUAAAACAGCAAUCAAUAGAACCUGAAUUAGUGACCCAAUGUCCGUUCACCACCACUGCUCCCGGUAAGUCCCAUUGACUGGAGGAAGAAAACUUUUUUGUGUUCCACAGCGUGAGAAUACCUCCCGAUCUCCCUUCGGCUUGACGAUGAGCCUUUUCCGAACUCCCACUCCCCCAAACAGCUUUCAACUCCAUAUCCCCAAAGCUUUCCAUCUUAGUUUCUUGAAUGAAACAAAGAUCGACAUCCAGACGUUGAAUCAUCUCUCGAAUCUCUCUCUUUUUAACUUUACUCCCCAGCCCUCUGAUAUUAAAGGAUAAGACUUUCAUUGAUCACGAUCUUGGGAUUUCUCCUCUGCCCCUUCUUUAGCUUCUUCACCUUCCAGUAAUUUGGCCAUCUCCUCAUCCGAAAAAUUGCUGCGAAGCCCAAUUUCUUUCCCAAAUUCCCAGAUUUUUCUCCCAUCCUCAAAUAACUGGUGUAUGGAUUCUGAAGUUGAUUCUUUAAAACCUGUAGACGGUAGCUUCGAAAUUUGAACUGAAGCUUCUGUUGUUCCUUUUUCUUGAGCAGUAGCAACGACCCUUUUUUCAACUGGGUACCGUGUUUGUUGUGAUUUAUGAAGAGGAAACUUGGGUUUUCUUUGAAGGAAACGAUUCAAGCCCAGUCUGAUAGAAUUUUCAACGCCAAUUUUCUUUUUAAGCGCCUCUUUUUUUCGAGAAGUGAAGUCAGUAGCUGUUCUUGAUUUUGGGGAAGAAAUGUGAGCGGCUGUUUCUGAGGAGAAUGAAGAAUUUUGUUGGGCUGUGUUAGAGUGGUAAUCUGUUGUAAGAACAGGCCCAUCCCCAUUCGGCCCACUCUCCAAGCUAUUUUCCUGAAUUGGGUCCUCUUCAACGGGCCCAAGUGAUUUGAUUGGGCUUGAUAAAAUCCUUUCUGAACCUUCUGGGCACUCCUCGCAGGUUUCUUUAGACAUUUCAUGGUUGGCCGAGGUCCCACCACCUGUGGCAUGUCUCGACAUCUCGAAUCCUCCACAAGUGAAACCGUAUUUUCUUUUUGAAAACCUGAUGAUUGGGGGACAUUCCGCAUGCAUUCUUCUUGGGAAACUGAAGCGGCAUUGUCAAAUAUUGCUGCAUCCGGCAUUAAUUGCUGAACCGUAUCUGCGCCGGAUUUUUCUCUCUCUUGAACUCGAUGACGUCCGCAACCUGAGCAUUCGCCGGAAAAUUCAAGGUCCUAUCUUCAUCUUCCUCCUCGGAGAAAAUAUCUUCCUCCGUUUCGGAGUCGACCUCACUGAAUUUAUCAUCCGCAAAGAGAGGGUCUGCGAUUUCCUCAAUUCUAAUUUUGAAGUGAGCACCAUUGAUUCGGCAUUCUGUAAUUCUGUUAAGGGUAGGAAUACCUGUAGAGAGUUGAAUGAACGCGGCAUCCAAACGAUCUCUAUUCUUCGUCUGAUCAUGGAUCUUGAUGACCAUCCCCAUUCGCGCACCCAAGGUUUCAAAGAAUCUCGUAUUCCAAGCUUGUAGAGGAACCCCAAGCCAUUUCGUCCAUGUUGAUCUUUGUGUGCUCACGUCAACAUAAGACCAUGGACGAGCCCAUUCAAACCAAAACUUCCUCCACUCGUCAAGCUCUAUCAAAGAAUCUUGAACUGAGACUUGAUUAAGGCUCUGGAUAAUAACAAGGUUCCCACCUAACGAUGAAAUCUUAAGGAAAGUUGAACAUUCGCUGAUGAUCUCAGCACCAAACUCUUCCCAGGCAAAUUCAGAUUUAAUGAAACCUGUGAAGGACUUAUUAAGCCAGUCCGUCUCCUCUUCAGAGGAUUGAAAACCAAUGAUUUCAUCGACCAAAGGAUCGGCUUUGUUAAUGCUCCCUCCCAAGACUUCAGCAAAAGAUUUGCCAGUCUCCGAAUCUUGUUAGGAAUGUAGUAAGCUCUUCUCCUUGUUUUCUCCGUUGUUUUCUCUGUCGCCUGCUUUUCCACCGAGAGAGGAUUGUUUCCGCCGUUUCCAUCAUUCCCCUCCGGCUGAAAUUUAGGCAAUGGUGAUCUCUUGAAUCUGGGAAUGUAACUUCGCAGUUUAUAACUUCCAAUCCAAAUGUUAUUCAUCUCUUUCAAAAUCCUAGCUUUGUCGGAGACUUUUUCGAGUCGCACAAAGCCAAACGGCUUUCCUUUGACAUCUCUCUUUCUAGGACAGAAAAUGUCCGUCACUCUACCAAUCUUGUUGAAGAUAUUUUCCAAAGUUCCAACUCUAGUUCCUUCAGGAAAGUUGUUGAAGAAGAAAGUAGUUUCAUUCUCAUGGCUCCUUGUCUCUCUCCGAUUACCAACAUAUGAGGGGAUAGGAUAAAACCUAGGGCUGGGUUUGUUUUGGAACCUCACCGGCAAAAUCUCGGGACGGAACGGACCUACCCUUCUCCUUCUCACCUCUCUCCACUCCUCCAUGAAACUUUGUAGGCUGCCGGAUCUGAACUCGGGGAGCCUCUUCGAUCCGAAGCUCGUCGCCGCGUUUGAGCCGGAGAGGAGAUCGCGAAUCGAGGAAGAGAUCGACGAAAUACCGCCCUCGAAGAUGCGGGGAUCGAUCAAGCGCCAGAUCCGCUGACCGAAUUCGAGGAGAGGUGCUCGCCUGGAGGGAGCGUCACCGUCGUGCUCUGGAUAGGCGGCUGCUGGGCUGUCCUGCUGUCGACGCGGCGAUGGCGGCGAUGGCGGUGCUGCUGCUGCGAUGGCGUUGCUGCUGCUGGGCGAUGGCGGCGAUGGCGGUGCUGCUGCUGCGAUGGCGGUGCUGCUGUUGGGCGGAGCUGCUGGCGGUGGCUGGCGGAAGUUUCACCGGAGGAGAUGGCGCGACUCACGACAUCUUGAUGACUUUUCUACUUUAUUACCUAUACACCUAAUCACUUUUCUACUUUAUUACCUACACACUUAAAACACUAAACUCCAACUUCUUAAUUCCCGUGCCGAAAAGAAGUGACUCAAGAUUCGUGAGACGGAGGGAGUAGUAUAUUGGAGACUUGACUUUAGAGUUUUAAUGUUUUAUGUUUUGGGAGACUUUUCUUAGAUUGUGGAAUGUGUUGUGUCCAAAUUGAAAAUGAGUUAGAUUUGGUUAAGAUAUAUUGAUUUUUCUUGAAUGAAUAAAUAAAUAAUUUUAUAAAUCGAGUGAUGAUGGACUCGAAAUAAAAAUAUUUAAUUUCAUAGAUUUACUAUUCUAUCACUAAAUCAACAGCUACAAAUAUACAACAAAUAUACUGUUUUUUUAUGACGACUUUAAUUACUAGGAAAACAAAAAGGAAGUAACAAUAAACACAUUUAUAAGAUAAUUUAAGUGAAAAUUGUAUGGUUUGAGUAUCACAUGUUAAGACUUAUGAAAUUAACAUACACAUAUAUAUAUAUAUACUCUAUAUAUCUGGCUUUCAUAGUUUUAGUUGCCAUUUCUAGUUAUUGAAAUUGUUUACUAUUUUUAUAAGUGGAUGUUUUGAUGCUUUUGUACUUACUACCUCAGAGUAUGUUAGUAUUUUGAGUUCGACACAGGUGUGUCAAAUUUGUAAGAUUUUUCAGCUACUUCGGAAUCUCAGUAUUAGUAAAAUAGUUGAAAGCCAAAUUAAGCUUCUCAAGGUAGCCAAAUUUGCCAAAAAUGGUGAAGAAAAGUAGGAAAUUCCCUUGAUGUUGGUCUAAUUUAUGAUGAUGAGGAGUAUUUAGAAUCUCGGCAGUCUAAAAAGGUAAAAAUUAAUAUAUUUAACUUAAUUUCGACUGUCAAUUAAUCUCUAAUUUCAUUGAAAGUCAAACUUAGUUGAAAUUUGCAACAAAAAUAUAAAUUCAUGUAUUUUUUAGCUUAAUUGAACGUUCAAGUGAAAAUUGCAAUUUUUUUCAAAGUUCGUGUAUUUUUUAGCCAUAAUCCCUAAUACAUAAAUAGACAACUCGAUCUAAGCAAAUAUGACUAUUGAACCAUUAAGAGGGGUGUUUAGCUAAGCAAAGAGCUUAGAGCACCCGCAACGCGGGUACUCGAGGAGAGGGAGCCGGUCGAGGAGCGCGAUGCGGGGGGGAGCUCCUCGAGGAGUUCUCGAGUUAUCGGGUAUGCUCGAAGGGGGGAAUGGAUGGCGCGUGCAAUGCACGCGCCCAAUUAAAAAAAAAGGAAAAAUUGGAAAAUUCGAAUUUUAUUCGAAUUUUGACUGCACCUCCUCGAUUUGCGCACCUUUGACCGACCGUUUUCAAUUUUUUUUUUUCCUUCUUCUCCUCUUUAAAAAACCCCACCUUCUCCCCACCAUCUUCACACCUCUUCUUCUCCAAUUUUCUUCUUCUCCAUUUAUCAACAAUACAAUUUUCUCUGUCAUGGAUCCACGCAACCCUUUCUACGAUCCAAAUUGGUGCCCCGAUCUCUCCUCCGAUUAUCAUCCCGAUAUGGGAGGAAUCAACAUGGAGGAGAGCCCGCCCGAGGAGGAACCGGUCAGUGCACGACAGAGUGUCUCCCCACCAAAGAAAGGCGGCCGGAGGAAGGAAAUGGUCGCCGACGUGCAGCUCCUGAACACGGAUACGAUGCACAUGACGGACGCACAACGUGCAUUGCACGCGUCCAUGGUCGCCGACGUGCUCAGGCGUCGUGGUAUAUCCUAGGCUUUUAAUUAUGUGAUUUUAAUGAUGUUUUAGGUUUUUUAAAUUUUUAUGUAUUUUUUUAGGUGUUUUUAAUUUUUUAUGUAUUUUUUUAUGUUUUAAGUAAUUUUAAAUUUUAUGUUUAAUCCAGUAUUUAACUAUUACAAAAAUAUGCUAUUUAAAUUAUGCAAUAAAAUUUAAAUGAAAAACAUAAAAUCAAAACUAAUAUUAUCAAGUAGGCUAUCAAGGAACCCCAAUGCAGCACUACCUACUCAAUAACACAAACACUAUCAAGUAAGCUAUUAAGGAACCCCCAUUGCGGAUGCUCUUAUAAGCUUCAACAAGCUGUGAAAAAAUGUAUCAAGAACUUAUUAAAUAUAAUAUCUCACAAAUUUAUAAAUUGUCAAAAUAUUUUCACUUUUGAUCAGAGCCACAUAUCACACCAACUUCGUCUGCGUAAGAAAAUUCAAAAGCCAACAAAUUUCUGAAGUGGGACAUAUAUGAAUAUUUAUUUCCUUUUGAGAAUGGGACAUACAUUUGUGAUAAGUGAUAACAAUACCUUUGUAAAUGUACAAUGGAGUAAUUAAGAUAGUUUUUUUUUUUGAAACGGAGUAAUUAAGAUAGUUGGUACAACUUCAAUUAUUUGAUAUCGUACAGGUCAAUCUGAUACACGAUGGGAAAGAAAAAUNNNNNNNNNNNNNNNNNNNNNNNNNNNNNNNNNNNNNNNNNNNNNNNNNNNNNNNNNNNNNNNNNNNNNNNNNNNNNNNNNNNNNNNNNNNNNNNNNNNNNNNNNNNNNNNNNNNNNNNNNNNNNNNNNNNNNNNNNNNNNNNNNNNNNNNNNNNNNNNNNNNNNNNNNNNNNNNNNNNNNNNNNNNNNNNNNNNNNNNNNNNNNNNNNNNNNNNNNNNNNNNNNNNNNNNNNNNNNNNNNNNNNNNNNNNNNNNNNNNNNNNNNNNNNNNNNNNNNNNNNNNNNNNNNNNNNNNNNNNNNNNNNNNNNNNNNNNNNNNNNNNNNNNNNNNNNNNNNNNNNNNNNNNNNNNNNNNNNNNNNNNNNNNNNNNNNNNNNNNNNNNNNNNNNNNNNNNNNNNNNNNNNNNNNNNNNNNNNNNNNNNNNNNNNNNNNNNNNNNNNNNNNNNNNNNNNNNNNNNNNNNNNNNNNNNNNNNNNNNNNNNNNNNNNNNNNNNNNNNNNNNNNNNNNNNNNNNNNNNNNNNNNNNNNNNNNNNNNNNNNNNNNNNNNNNNNNNNNNNNNNNNNNNNNNNNNNNNNNNNNNNNNNNNNNNNNNNNNNNNNNNNNNNNNNNNNNNNNNNNNNNNNNNNNNNNNNNNNNNNNNNNNNNNNNNNNNNNNNNNNNNNNNNNNNNNNNNNNNNNNNNNNNNNNNNNNNNNNNNNNNNNNNNNNNNNNNNNNNNNNNNNNNNNNNNNNNNNNNNNNNNNNNNNNNNNNNNNNNNNNNNNNNNNNNNNNNNNNNNNNNNNNNNNNNNNNNNNNNNNNNNNNNNNNNNNNNNNNNNNNNNNNNNNNNNNNNNNNNNNNNNNNNNNNNNNNNNNNNNNNNNNNNNNNNNNNNNNNNNNNNNNNNNNNNNNNNNNNNNNNNNNNNNNNNNNNNNNNNNNNNNNNNNNNNNNNNNNNNNNNNNNNNNNNNNNNNNNNNNNNNNNNNNNNNNNNNNNNNNNNNNNNNNNNNNNNNNNNNNNNNNNNNNNNNNNNNNNNNNNNNNNNNNNNNNNNNNNNNNNNNNNNNNNNNNNNNNNNNNNNNNNNNNNNNNNNNNNNNNNNNNNNNNNNNNNNNNNNNNNNNNNNNNNNNNNNNNNNNNNNNNNNNNNNNNNNNNNNNNNNNNNNNNNNNNNNNNNNNNNNNNNNNNNNNNNNNNNNNNNNNNNNNNNNNNNNNNNNNNNNNNNNNNNNNNNNNNNNNNNNNNNNNNNNNNNNNNNNNNNNNNNNNNNNNNNNNNNNNNNNNNNNNNNNNNNNNNNNNNNNNNNNNNNNNNNNNNNNNNNNNNNNNNNNNNNNNNNNNNNNNNNNNNNNNNNNNNNNNNNNNNNNNNNNNNNNNNNNNNNNNNNNNNNNNNNNNNNNNNNNNNNNAUAGAUGCACAAUUUCGAUUUGCUUGAGUAUUUUGUCAUUGUUGGUUCAAUUGCAUAAAUUGCAUAUUUUUAAGUGCACAGUAAAAUAUAAUAGAUGCACAAUUUAUUUUGUUGAAUAAAUCCUAACCAUUAGAUCUAAUAUUUAAAAGGCCAAGAUUAGGUUCCUAGUUCUCAUUUUAACAAAGGUUUUUAUUAGAACAUCUUCCAUAUAUAUAUAUAUAUAUAUAAAUAAUAUACAUAUUAAAAAAAACAAAUUUGGGGGGCUCUAGCCCCCCCCCCCCCGGGCUACGCCCCUGAACAUCACUCUCCCACCAAUAUAUACACACACACAAUUCAAUAUAGAAUAUAAAAAUAUUUUAUGUGCAUUGCACAGAGUGCAAUUGCUAGUUGUGAUUAAAAGAAGAAAAUAAAGUUAUGUCCAAGAAAGAAAAAUAAUAUACUUAUUGUGAACUCUAAAUUAAGUAAUUGUUGUAUACUUAAGCUGAACAAAUUCAAAUCUCAAUCACACUCAAUAUUUACAAAAUACUCACCAUUUACUUUUACCAUUUGGUGGGCUCAAUACUACCAUUUAAUAGUAAAAUCAUAUCUUUCAACUUUUUUAUUAAAAUUCGUGCCCUCCAAUCCACCACACACUCUUUGUGGGCGGAGAGAGUAUCAUUUCUUAAAUCGUAGAAUAUAUUAUGUCAAAAUUUGAAAAUGGAAUAAAAUAAAUAUGGUAGAAAGAUAUAUGCACAUAUUAACAAAUUGCUUGAGAUAGUUUUUGGGGUAAUUAAGAUAGUUAGUACAGCUUCAAUUAUUUGUGUCUUAAAGAUAGACGAAAACGUGGUCCAAAAUUCACGUUCGAUAUCUGGCAGGCCAAGCAUGAUAAACAUGGGAUUUCAUUAAGCGACACUCAAAACAAUAUGGGAUUUUGUUUGAAUAAACCAUUGGUUCACAACCUCAAAUUAACAUCACACUCCCACCAACAAUACACAAUCUGACAACAAAAAUACACAGUAAUAAGAAGAGUUGAAAUUGUUGAGUUGACAUGAAUAAGAGUGGAAGAAGAAUGAGUGAAGAAAAUGAGGUUCAUGUUGUGAUGCUGCCAUGGCUGGCAUUUGGUCACAUGAUCCCAUUCUUGGAUCUCUCUAUUGCCUUAGCCAAAUUUGGCAUUCAUGUCUCCUACAUCUCUACUCCCCAAAACAUUCCAAGACUCCCCCAAAUCCCACCAAAUCUGUCACAAUUCAUCGAAUUCGUGGCCCUUCCUCUCCCCCAGCUCGAGUCGGAUCCCCUGCCGGAGAAUGCUGAAGCCACGACCGACAUUCCAGUGGAGAGAAUGGAUGAUCUGAAGAUUGCUUGUGAUCUCCUCCGAGAACCUGUCAAGAAAGUGAUUGCUGAGAAAUCUCCAAACUGGAUAUUAGUUGAUUUCUUUCACCACUGGGCAGCUGACAUCGCGCGAGAACUGGACGUCCCAUUGAUACUUUACUUUGUAAUGACUGCUGCCUCUUCUGUGUUCUGUUGGACACCUGAGUUUCUGGCUGGUGAGGGCCAAAGACAGACGAGGACAUCGCCUCAGGACAUGACAGUCACUCCAGAUUGGGUUGAUUUUCCCUCACAAGUAGUUUGCAGGAAUCAUGAAGCUAUAGCUAUGUAUAAUCUCCUGUAUGGUGCAAGAUCAUCUGGAAUCCAAGAUGGAGCACGCUUGACUAGAAUAGUCCAAGGAUGCCAGGCUAUUGUUAUACGCACCUGCUUGGAACUCGAAGCUGAUUAUUUGAAACUAUACUCAAAAAUCACUGGCAAGCCGGUGAUUCCAAUGGGAUGUCUUCCACCUCGGAAGGUGGAGGAGACGAGAACUAUACCGUGGAGUAGGGUCUUUGAUUGGCUUGACAAACAAAAGCCAAAAGCAGUAGCGUUUGUUGGGUUUGGGAGUGAAUGCAAAUUGCAAGGAAAGGAGAUUCAUGAGAUAGCAUAUGGGAUUGAACUAUCCGGGCUUCCCUUCUUAUUUAUACUGGCAAAGCCUCAUUGGGAUGGUGAUGAUGAUGAUGAUGAAGUAUUGCCACCAGGAUUUGAGUCCCGGACAGCAGGGAGGGGAGUCGUGCAUAUUGGAUGGGCGCCCCAGAGGGAAAUCCUUGCCCAUCCUUCAAUAGGAGGUUCGUUGUUUCAUGCAGGGUGGGCUUCUGUUGUGGAAAAUAUGGCACAUGGAAACUACCUUGUGCUGUUGCCAUUCAUCAUCACUCAACCGNUCCUAUUAUAUUGGCAGCGUGAAUUUCAGCCUGAUUCUUGGGAUCAAAUCUAACCAUUGAUUGAUCUUGAUCCAUUGGUUAAUAUUGAUUCUUAAUUUAUAUACUAAUUCUAGUUCUUAUUUUAGUCUAACCUAUAUAUAUGUAUUAAAUAGAUAUAAAAUAUAAUAUUCAAUUGUAUAUAAAAUUUUCAAUCGCUGCAAAUCUAUGAAUCACAAUUGAGCAUUUUUUGUGUUUAUUAGGUAAACAUAUUAGAUAUAGUAUACCUAUAUUAUUUACAAUAUUAUUUACAUAUUUUUCCCUUCCGAGUUUUGAAUCGAAUAGCAUGAAAAACGAAUUGAAUACUCGAAUCAAAUUGAAUAAUUCGAAAAUGACAUCGAAUCGAAUUUAGUAUUCAAAAUCAAAUCGAAUAUUAAAAUAUUUUCAUAAAUAUGAAUCAAAUAUGGCGUUAUUCGCUUCGAUUAGAUUACAAUCCUAUUCCCGAGCUAAAACACAAAAUCCAAAUUACAGAAGUGAAAUUAAAUUUUUACCCCCAACUCCCACAUGAUUGAAAUGCUCGAUUUAAGUCCAUCAAAUGGCCGAGAGAUAUAUGCACUUACUAAGAAAUUGUUUGAAAUAGUUUAUUUGGGGUAAUUAAGAUAGUUGGUACAACUUCAAUUAUUUGAUAUCAUACAGGCCAAGCAUGAUACACGAUGGGAAGAAAAAAUCAGUAACCUACAGUCAAUUAACAAUUUACCCUAUUUAAUUGGUUCACAGCCUCAAAUGAACAUCACUCUCCCACCAAUUUAUACAUACACACACACACAGAGUGAUCAGAAGAGUUGAAGUUAAAGAGUUGAUAUGAAUAAAGGUGGAAGAAAAAUGAGUGAAGAAAAUGAGGUUCAUGUUGUGAUGCUGCCAUGGCUGGCAUUUGGUCACAUGAUCCCAUUCUUGGAUCUCUCUAUUGCCUUAGCCAAAUUUGGCAUUCAUGUCUCCUUCAUCUCUACUCCCCAAAACAUUGCAAGACUCCCCAAAAUCCCACCAAAUCUGUCAAAAUUCAUCGAAUUCGUGCCCCUUCCUCUCCCCAAGCUCGACAUUCCGGCAGACAGAAUGGAUGACUUGAAGAAAGCCUGUGAUCUCCUCCAGGAGCCCAUCAGCAAUUUUAUUGCUAAGAAGUUACCAAACUGGAUAGUGGUUGAUUUCUUUUACCACAAGGUGCUUGAUAUUGCAGAAGAAUUGAAUAUCCCUGUAAUAUUUUACCUUAUAGUAACUGCUGCCGCUGCUGUUUUCUGUUGGAAACCUGAGUUUCUGGCUGGUGAGGGCCAAAGACAGACGAGGACGUCGCCUCAGGACAUGACAGUUCCUCCAAAUUGGGUUGAUUUUCCCUCACAAGUAGUAUGCAGGAAUCAUGAAGCUACAGCUAUGCAUAAUCUCUUGUAUGGUGCAAGCUCAUCUGGAAUUCAAGAUGGAGCACGCAUGACAAGAAUAGCCCAAGGAUGCCAGGCAUUUGCUUUACGCACUUGCCUGGAACUCGAAGCUGAUUAUUUGAAACUAUACUCGAAAAUCACUGGCAAGCCGGUGAUUCCAAUGGGAUGUCUUCCACCUCAGAAGGUGGAGGAGAGGAGAACUAUAGGGGAAGAGCCGUGGAGUGGGGUCUUUGAUUGGCUUGACAAACAAAAGCCAAAAGCAGUAGUGUUUGUCGGGUUUGGGAGUGAAUGCAAAUUGCAGAGAAAGGAGAUUCAUGAGAUAGCAUAUGGGAUUGAACUAUCCGGGCUUCCCUUCAUAUUUAUACUGGCAAAGCCUCUUUGGGGUGGUGAUGAUGAUGAAGUAGUGCCCCCAGGAUUUGAGUCCCGGACAGCAGGGAGGGGCGUCGUGCAGAUUGGAUGGGCGCCCCAGAGGGAAAUCCUUGCCCAUCCUUCAAUAGGAGGUUCGUUGUUUCAUGCAGGGUGGGCUUCUGUUGUGGAAAAUAUGGCACAUGGAAACUACCUUGUGCUGUUGCCAUUCAUCUUCACUCAACCAUUGGAGACAAGGCUUCUAGUUGAGAAGGGUUUGGCAAUAGAGGUUCGAACGAGCUGAAGAUGGAUCUUUACAAGAAAUGGCAUAGCAAAUGCAUUGCAAAAGGCAAUGGUCGCUGAGGAAGGAGAAGCACUAAGAGCCAGAACAAAAGAAGCUGCUGAUGGGAUUUUCGCAAAUAAAGAAUUCAACCAUAGUUAUAUGAAGAGGUUUGUGGAGUAUUUGAAAGAUGGGGUUUACGAGAAGAAGUAAGUUCUAAUGGGAGUAUUCGCUACAUAUCUGUUGUUAUUAUGCUUAUUUUACUACAGUUAUUCAAGCUAAUGCUUUUACUCCAAGUCCCUUAGCUAUAACUGUUUUCUAUGUAUGAGUUUGCUAUGUUACUAUGUAUGUUUGUAUUUGAUCAACAUGAAUAAUACCAGUUGCUUUAUCCAUGUACAUCUUUUCUCUACUUCCUAAGAAUACUAGAAAGUUAGAAACCAAUCAACUAGGAGGGACGUUUAAUUUUGAGGAUUAGCCUUAAUAGGUAAAAAUAGCAAGGUUAAUCCCUUGUUUACUAAAAUGGAUUGCAACUUUGGGAUAUCCCAAGACCAUUGAUUAUUUUCUAUCAUUUGAGCUAGUUUUGUUUGACCCUGACGUAUAUCCUAUAGAAAGAGUGAUUGGAAAAAUCCUAGUCUUGAGGAUAAAAUACUUAAUCAUGCAAAGUAAACGCUCUCUAAUUUCGUGAAGCUCUCACAUUCUCAUUGACCAAAACUUGAACUCCCAAAAGGUAUGUACAAAAAGAUAAUGGAAUAACACUGGAAAAUUCAAGAAGGUGGCAACUUAGUUUUAGACAAAGAUGAGAAUUCAAAAUCCAGCAAGUUUCACUACAUAAUUUGCAUAGCUGUAUCUAGUAUAUUCAUCAUGUCACAAAUUAAAAUCAAGCUAAC